CCAAAGCGCGGUCCCGAACUGGUACUUCCGAGGGCCUCUAAAUUCUGGAUUCGUUUGGUGCUCCAGGAACCAAAUUAUAAGCAUUGUGUAGAUGAAUAAAGCACUACUCACCAUCCACAUCUUUAAGUUAAAAGGCUUCAAGAAAAUCCAUGUUGUAUCUUCAGUCUCAAGUGGAACUAUCAUGGACAAUCCUGACUCUGCAUAAGGUUGAGUGAAUUCUACGUAUUCUGCUCUUCCAGCUAAUAUGGUUAUAUCUCCAAUGGCAGCAUCAUAAGUCUUCCGAUUAGCAAGUGGCACAAAAGUCAAACAAUGGCACUCAGCACAAAAAUAAUGUUGAAAAAACAGCUGAUAGAACGAGACAGGAGCAAAAUAAAGGCAAAAUCAUACAACUCCUCAGAUAGGCCUCAAUGGACAAGUCAAAGUUUGUCUAGUUAAACUAUGAGAAAAGUCUGAAGUAUCUCAUAGAAAUGUAUGGUGGAGAAAUUUCAAUUUCUUAUCAGAAACAAUGCUAUAUGAAUUUAUUCUUGGUUUUGAGUAGCAGCCAAUUUUGACUCUGUGUCAUCUCUUCUAUUCGGAUAAGAAUUUAUUGUCGGCAAAUUAAGGAUAUUUAUAUAUUCUAUCUAUAAUAUAUAAUAAUAAAUCAGAAACAAUUCCAAUUAAAAUAUUAGAAUAACAUAUGAACAACUUUUUUUUUAUAUCAUCACCAUAAUUAAAUCUUCUCAUUUUUUUAUUUUUUUUUAAUCUUUAACAACGUCUACUGGCAAUAGCGUGGUGGCAUUAAGACUCUAACACCUUGUUAAAAAACCAAUUCAAUUAAAAAAUUUAAUUUAAAUCAUUCUUUAAUAAAUAUCUACAAGCAAGGUUAAAGAGUCGAUUCUUUAAUAAAUAUCUACAAGCAAUUCAAUCGUCGUUACCUUGUUGUAGACACCUUCAAUCAUAUCACCAUACUGCCCAUCAAACUCGAAGAAUACGGGUGGUAUAGAAUAAUUCAAUCGUUUCACAACUUCGUCAAAGAGGUCAACGCAAAAACCUACUGGCCGCUUCUCGCCAAUUCGAAAUGUCACAAACUUAUCGAACGAGGUUCUUCGAGGGACUAUUAUUCGCAAUGGCUUUGCUUCAGAAGGCAUUGCCCAUCCUUUUGGGUCUCGGCCGUUGAGAUCACCAGGCCAAAUCACUGGACCGGACAACCCUCCUGUGGUUUUACCACCAUCAUUGUUUCUGCACCUUCCUUUGCCUUGUUCCACGUAGAGGGUAUCCGAGAAACCGCAAUUUGGCAACCAAAAAUCCAGUUCCUUACAUUUCUUCCCAACCACAUUAACAAUCCUUAAUGUAGGAGAAUCUGACAGCAUCCCAUCCUUGAAACGUAUUCUACCACUCAAACCAGUGAAAUCACUUUCUAAUACACUGUUUAGAAACAUUUUUGGACUAGUAAUGUUGCUACCUAGUUUUUCUAUGGCCUGUGUGAUAAUACCAAUGCUGUCAUAGGCUCUUAAUGCUUGAAUUCCUGGCUGAAAAUCAUUUUCAUUUAGAUACUCUGACCGGAAAAUUUUCUGGAACAGUGCUUCGAAUCUUUUGUAAGAACUGUUGGAAGAAUAGUAGGUUUUGAUUCCUAGAGUGCCUUCCAUAGAAGAAAAAACAGGAUUGUCCACAGAAUCCAAGAAACUAGUAAUGCUGUUUCCAACUAUCCAGACUGUGUCAUUGCCUACAAGCCCCGCUUUCUUAGCUUCUCCGAAAAUACAAGUGAGCAUAGGCAAAGAUGACUGAAGAACAAUAAAAACACGAGCUUCUGUUUGAUUUUGUAGCUUAAUAAGCUCAUCUUGAACAACAUCUAUUGGAUCUGUUAAAAAUGAAAACGGUGGAAGAACCAAGCGGUAUUCAAUCUCCGAACCAACCUCUUGUAGAGCCUCGGUUAAAAGAGCUAAAUUGCCAUAUUCACUUCCUAACACCUCAUCUUCAUAAAUCACUACUACCCUUUUCCAAUUAUAAGAAUGGACAAGAGCUGCAAUGCAUCUCAUCUGUUCUGACCCAUCACUGGCCAUUCUAAUUAGAAAAGGCCAACGAAGUGAAGUUAAUAUCGGGGUUCUGGCUGGUGCUGCAAAUGAAAGGAUUGGAACUUGAGACUGGUUUCCAAUAUUAGCAACCAGGGCUGCUUCCUCCCAUUUGUCCAUGCCAAUAAUCACUUUCACUUUCUUCUCUUUGAUCAGCUCUUCAGCUGCAAGAAAAACUGACCAGUCAAUAUACUGCUUCAAAUCUUGCUACUACUAAGCUAGAAACUCAAAGUCAUUUAGAGAUGGCUAGAUUAUUACCUGCAUAAGCUGCUUGAAGAGGGUCUCCUUUAGGAUUCUUGAAGUGAAGAGAGAGCUUGUGGUUUCUUGAGAUGUUGUUGAAGUUUUGGACUGCAAUUUCCAUUGCUGUUUUCUCUUCUUUCCCUGUACGGGAAUUACCAUCGAUGAUGGCACCAAUAUUAGUAACCUUGGUCGUGCUGGCCGCAGCUUCAACUCCAUAGGAGAGGAUGAGAAGGAAGGUGAUGAGCACAGAUAAAAGAAAGCAAGGUUUUAGAACUUUAUUAACAGGAAUAAGAGGGCAAGUGCUUAGUUGGGAAUUUACUUUGGUGAACAAAUUAGUCCUUUUCAUUUGUUAUACGAAGUUUUGAUUUUGGAAGUCUGAAUCCUUAUAAUAUCUGAAAUUGCUAAGAAAAUUGGUAUAGUUGAAGAUUCUAUCUGACCUGGUCAGCCUGGACCACAUCAAACUAUUUGUCCUUGGAACCCAAGCUACCAAGAAUGGUGUCGAAAUGUCUAAUAUUGAAACUUUGACUUUAAUAUGUGCUAAUUAAUAAUUGCCUACACGAGUCAAAUUUCUUGUUUUCAUCACAUUUGAGGGGUCGUUUCGGUUUAGUGAUGCAAUUGCGUAUUAAACAAUUGUAGUUUAUUCAGUCUAAUCAAAGAUUAAAAAUGAACGACGAAAUCACUAAACCAAAUAUCUUGUUAAAAAAUAUAAAAUUAUUUUAUUUUGUUGUUUAUUAAAAGUAGAAUAAUAUUUUUAGUUUUUUUAUUUAAUUUUUAUAUAUAUAUUUUGUAUUUAAGUUAUACAAAUUCUUUGUAAGUAUUUAAUUAUAUUAUGCACUAUAAAUGAAAUUGUAUUUCUCUUUAAUUUUUUUUUGGAUUCCUUAACAAAUCUAAGAAGAGCUAAAACUAAUAAGUAGAAAUUGAUGUUUAAUAUCAGAAUGAAUCCAUUUUUUAAGAAAUUACUUCUUUAAUAUCAGUAGAUAACUUUCCAAACAAAUAAUGUUGAAUUUUAUCAUGUUUUCCAUGUAGUUUUAGCUUAUUUAUUAUCGUUUUUUCUCUAGUUGUUGUGGUACUUGAGUUUUUGCCAUAUACCCUUAAUCUACAUGUUUUCUUCGUUCUUCCAAUAUAUUUAUCCUCGUUAAACUUCUUCUUCACGGCGAGUUGUUAUCACUGAUAAACAAAAUUUAAUGUUCGCGAGCUCACCUGGCGAGCGUAUGUCAAUUUUAGGGUUUCAAGAUUUGAUAAAUGUGAUCCAACGACCUAAAAACUGGUGCAUGUGAUGGUUAAUACACCUUCUGUCACCUUGGUCCCAUAAAAUCAUCAAGAUGCCAAUUGAAUUUCAAAUUAAAUAGGUUCAAAUCCCUAGAAAUGCUUUGUAUUCCUGGCAGCUUCAUGUUCUAUGAGUACUAGAGUGUUUGUCUACGUAUUACAAUAACAUCUGUGUUUUAUUUAAAACACAAAUGUAAUAAGAUUUGAUAACAAGAAAAACAUAAGUUAUUAUUUAUGGGUCCUACCAAAUUAUGCGUUUGAAACGCAUGGAAAACAAAAGCAGGUCCUACCUGCUUCUUGCGGCUGCACCAUGCUACACUGUUCAGUGAACAGUACAGCAUUCCUCCACAGUCGCACUGUUCACUAAAGUGAAUAGUGCGAGUGAAUUUUUUUUCACUCCCACUAUACGUGAACAGUUUUUUUUUUGAAAAACCAGUUAACUGUUUUUUUUUCAAAAAACCAGUGCAGUUAAUUAAUUUCACUCGCACUGUUCACGUGAAUGUGAACAGUAAUUUUUAUUUUAAAAAAAUAGUUUAAGGUGAAUUAAAUUUAUUCGUACUGUAAUCUCAAUUUUAUUCCUGAUAAUAUUUUACCUAAUUUUAUUGUACGCUCAAAAAAUCAUGGAAACUGUAGUUCUUGUCGGAUGAAUUUUGUAUGUAAUAGAAUUGUAGAUAGUUUAAUGGAAUAAUAAUUUUUUUUUAUAAAGUAUGAUUUAUUUCACGAUGUAAUAGCAAUAGUUAAAUCUACAAUAUUUAAAUUAAAAACCUUAAAUAUUCAUAUAUAUUUUUUUAAAUUAUUUUAUAACCUCAAUUUCAAAAGCAUUCUUAACCAAACACAUUAAACUACUUUUUGUUCAACCUCAAUUUCAACUACAGUUUUAACCAAACAUAUAUUUUUCCAAACCAACUUCAAUUAAAAGUACUUUUUAUAAAACAACUUUUUUCAAACCACAACCACAACAGCUACCGCAAUACCAAACACACCCAUAGCGAACUGUUUGAAAAAAAAAAGAAUAGGUGUGAUAGCUAAUUUAUAAGAACAAAGCUAAAGAACAUGAAAAAGAAUGAGGGGUAUGAUAUUUUAUUAAGAGUUUUCUCAAAAGAUUACUUGUAUAGCUCUUCUCUAUAUUUGUGUAUAAUGCUUAAGAUUACAAGUCUAAUUAUAGGCCUCAAGUCCUUGCUAAUCAAGGAAUUAAACUAUUCAAAAAAAAAUCCUAAUCUAAUAAGGAAUCUAGCAUUCUAAUUAAACAAGAAUUCUAAUAAACUAGUUUAUUACAAAUUAAUCCUUCUUCAUCAAGGAUUGUUAUAUUAACUAGGAUUCCUCCUUUAACUAAUAUUAAAACUCCUAUAAACACUAAAUUCUAUUAGCUUAAAUCCUAGUUGAUAUUGAAUUUCAACACUCUCUUUUAAUAUCAAUUGUCAUCAUUCUUCAUAACUCCCAACAUAUUUCACUAUCACAAUUUUUAUAUUUACCGAUGAAAUUUUCCAUCGGUAUUUAUACUAUCAUUCCGUUAGUAAUUAAUUUACCAACAAAAUCACUGACGGAAAUGCUUCGUCGGUAAUUUUUUGUCUGUCGAUAAAUCCGUUGAUAAUAAAAAAAUAUUAUUACCAAUGGAUUUACUGACAGAAAAAGCGUGCAAAAACAAUUACCCACUUUAUUCUGUCGGUAUUUCCCUUGGAAAAAUACCGCAUGUAAUUCCAUCGGUAAUUAUUUAAAAAUAUUUUAAAAAAAUCCAUUUUAAAAAACUAAAAAAUAAUUAAAUUAAUAUAAAUCAACACUCUAUAAUACUCAAAAUGCUUGGAAAAAAAGAGAGAAGAAAAUCAACUCAAACAAAUUUGCAACAAAUAAAUAACAUGAAAAAAUAAAUUCAACUAAAAAAAUUCAUAUGAAAAAAAUGAAGUUGCGAUUGCUAAAAAUUUAAAAAUCCUGUAAAUAAAUCAACUAAAAAUUGAUCUCAUAUGAAAACAAAUCUUGAAACAAUAUUCAUACAAUUAUUAAGAAUAAAAACAAUUAAAAAUAAAAUAAAACAAAAAUAUAGUGAAAAACAAAACAUGAAAAAAGGAGAAAAAAUAAAAAUCUUACCUUAAUGUGAUUGCAAGUGAAGCUAAAAAGAAAGAAAGAAAAACAAAUUCGUUAGUAUAUUAAUUAAAAAAAACUGAGACGAAAAAAGAAAAAAGAAGAAGAAUACAUACUUGAGCAAGGAGGAGAAAAGAAGGAGUUAAGGAGAGAAAAGAAGAAAAAGAAAUGGAUAUUGAUGUUUUUUACAUAUGGGGAAGAAGAAGAAGAAGAACAAAUGAGCCCUGUCUGUUGUGAAAUUAGAAAUUCUAAGCUUUUUAUUGGAGCAUUUUACCGACGAAUAAUUAAAUAUUAAUAUUUUUAAUCAUUCCAUCGGUGAUUCUGUCUGUAAUAUUUAAUUUAAAAUUUUAAAUUAAUUAAAAUUUUUCAGAAACCGUCAAAUAUCACCGAUGACUUUUCAAUUUGUUGGUGAUUCCGUCUGUAAUAUUUAAUUAAAUUUUUUAAUUUAAUCAAAAUUUUUCAGAAAACCGCCAAAAAACACCGAAGACUUUUCAAUCCGUCGAUGAUUUUUUAUGUAAAGAACAAUAAUUAACAAUACAAUUGAGAAGUGAACGAUUCUAGAGCUCUUUGGAAAAUACCUACGGAAUUUUUCGUUAGUGAUUCCCUUUGUAAUUGAUAUUAUGAACAAUGUUCACAGUUUACCAAUGAUUUUAUCGACGGAAUAAAUUCCGUCGAUAAUUUUGUUGGUAUAAAUGACACGUCAUCAUUUUUUUUGCUUUGUUUUAAUUUUUUUUCCAUAGUAAUUCUCUCAGUAUAUACCGAGAGAAUUAUUUGUCGGUAAAAGCCAUUAGAAAUUUACCAACAGAAAUAUUCCAUCGGUAUUUUCAUUUGUAUUUAUCAAUUUUCUGGUAGUGUCUCUCAUCUUUGCAAAAACAUCAUAUUUGAGUGGCUUUUUGAAAAUAUCUACGACUUGGUCUUGAGUCUUCACAUACUUAACUUCAACUUUCUUGUUUGCAAUGCAAUCUCUUAGAUAAUAAACUGGAUUUUUAGCUAAUGCAAUGGCUGAUGAGUUAUCCACAUAAAUCUUUUUAGGCUUCUCUUAUGACAUUCGCAACUCCUUCAAUAAUCUUCUUAGCCAUAUGGAAUGACAAACACAUGAUGUAGUAGCUACAUAUUCAGCUUCACAAGUAGAUAAUGUAAUAAUAGAUUGCUUCUUUGAACUCCAUGUGAAAACUGUGUCUCCCAUAUAGAAAACAAAACCUGUAGUGCUAUUUCUAUCAUCCAUAUCUUCAGCCCAAUCACUAUCACUAUAACCCACAAGAUAAAAGCUAUUAGAAUAACUGUAGAAUAAGCCAAAAUCUAUGGUACCUUUGAUGUAUCGUAGAAUUCGCUUCAAGGCUUUGAAGUGAGUCAUAAUUGGUGUCUCCAUAAACCUACUCACAAGUCCUACUCCAUAAAGAAUAUUCAGACGAGUGCAUGAUAAAUAUCUCAAACUCCCAACUAAGCUCUUGAAUGUUGUAGAGUUUAUCUUCUCCCCUUCAUCAUUGUUUGACAUCUUCACUCCACACUCGACUAGAGUAUUCACUUUUGCACAAUUCUUUAUUUUGAAUUUCUUGAGAAUCUCCUUUGCAAACUUCUCUUGAGAAUCCUUAAGCAGUAGGACAUGAUACCAGUAUUCGUCAUCUCAAGCUCCUUGAUCAUUGCUUGCUUGAAGUCUCUAAACAUCUUUGGAUUAUUUUCUGUGAAGAUUAAGUCAUCCAUAUACAAACAUACAAUAAGUGUAUCCCCACUCUCUUUGAUCUUUACAUAGAUACCAUAUUCAUGAGGGCACUUAACAAAUCUAUUCUUUAGGAAAUAGCCAUCAAUGUGACUAUACCAAGCCCUUGGGGCUUGCUUCAAUCCAUACAAGCCUUUAUUUAACUUUAAAAUCUUGUCUUCAUGUCCAUUUACUUCAUAACUCAUAGAUUGCUCAAUGUAGACUUCUUCUUCAAGAAAAUCAUUAAGAAAAGGUUGAUUUGACAUCCAUUUUAUAGAUUAUCCAUUUAUGUUAGGCAACGGUGGCAAUGAUUAAUCAAAUGGUCUCCAAUCUAGCAACAAGAGCAAAAACCUCUUCAUAGUCAAUCUCAUGCUUUUGACGAUAACCUUUUGCUAGUAACCGUGCCUUAUAUCUCUUAACCUCUCUCCACCACCAUCAGAAACAUAAGAAGAAAUAGAGAAGCAAUAGAGACAGAAAGAGGAACCACCGUUUGAAACCAUUGGCAGCCAUGAAAAUGACGCCACCGCGAGCCACCAGCACCGCCAACGCUGCCAGGUCAGCUUCUUCUCCUUCGUCAUCCCCGACUCCUCCAUUAUUCUGUAUGAACAGUGGAGAGUGAAUUAAUUCACUCUCCACUAUUCACGUCAACAGUGGAGAGCUGCUCUACUGUUUACUACGUCGGAUAAGUCCAGCUCAGCCCAAAAUGAUUGGGCCGAGUCUAGCCCAAUCCAAAAAUAAUUUUAAAAAAAGCCUUUUGAAAAACAUUUGUUGAUUUUCCCACGUAUGUUUCUAUUAAUUUUUCUUAAUACUGGAUUGUAUUUUUAUACUGUAAAGAUACAAAUUCGGUAUUAAAAUACCCGGUUUUUGUCAAAACAUUGAAAAAAUUAUAAAACAAAAAAAAGUCUUGCUUUCAUGCAUACGACCAAGUCUCUCAAAAAAAUAAUAUCGUGUUUUCAUACAAAGAAAAUUCAAAAAAAUAUAUGUUUUAGCAUGCAUUUUGGCUUUAAUAACCAGUUUAUUAAAGUCAUGAGAACUAGGCCAAUAUUUCAAAAAACACCCAAAAAAUAUCUUGUUUUGUUUUAGUAUCUAAGAUUAUGAAUUUAUAUGUAAAAUGUAUUUUUGAUAAUAAAAAGAUGGUUCUUUUAUAGAUAUUAGAACGAUUAAGUUUUUACCCGAUAAGAUAAAGAUCUCCUUACCGAUGAAGACUUUUCUUAAACCAUAGGCGGACCAACAAUUAGAAAACACGACAAGACCUUAGUUUUUUUAUCAAAUAAUUAAACAAUGCAGCCUACCUUAGGUGGGACGUUUUUGAAGUGCUAAUAUCUUGUCGUUACGCAACCAGUCCCCGUACCCGAUCUUUAAGACCAGUUAGGGUUUCUAGUGAUCAAAAUACUAGGUGGCGACUCCCAUUUCAUUUUUCCACUAAUAAAAGAUAAGAAUUCCUUGUCUCCCCACAUUUUCCAAAUACAUUACAAGAGUGGAAUAUUGCCGCAACGCCGCACACGUGCGACAAAAUAGCGACUCCAUUAGGGACUCGGUGGACUAAGCUUUGUUUUCGUCUGAUUAUUGUGUUUUGUUGUUGGGUUUGUAUGUUUGUUUGUUAAUUAUGCAUUUUUUUUACGCCUUGAUUCUUUUACAUAUUGUUCAUGCAUUGUAUAGAAAUUGAUCCAUGCAUCAUUCACUUAUUCUGUGAGAGUUGUCAUAACCUAAUUUUGUCCCUUUGGCUUUUAAUUUAAUUUUUACAGGGUUUAAAAUAAAAAAUUAAAAGAUCAGAGAUUUAUUUCGAUGAAAAGUGUGAUUUGUCAACUUUCGUGAAAAUUAAGGACUACAAUGUGCUUUUGUCAUUCUAUCUUUAUCUUCAAGAUAAUCCCUAUCUUCGAGAUAAUCUUUAUCUUCGAGAUAAUCCUUGUCUUUAAGAUAAUAAUAGUUAUCCGCUUUCAAAUUUGAUUCUUAAUCAAAUUCAAACUUCAAAGAAGAGAAUGAGUUUGAUUGAAACUUGGUUUCUCACACACGAAGGGACUCUGACACUAUAAAUACAGAUCUCGGGGUAAAAAAAAAAGGGGGAGGAUAAAAGAAAAAACCCAGGAAAAGGCCAUUGCAGAAACCCUACAAAAAAAAAUAAAAAUAGACAUUUACAAAAAAAUAAAAAGGGUGCGGCCGAAUCCUAGAAUAGCCGCCGCCCCCUCCCCCCAGCUUUUUCCUCUCUACUUCCCUGGUCCCAAACCAUUAAAUGCUCCUAUUCAUUGAUUUUCUUUCCGCCAAUCUCAACCCCAAGGAGCUGCAACUCCUCAUAAAAAUUAAAAUAAAAAGUCUUUCUCCCUCCCAGUCACCGACCUUCAGCCUCUCUUCCCGCUCUCACUCUCCCCAUUAACCACCAUCCUUCAUCUCAGCCUCCUCACCGAGAACACAAGCCUUCACCCAUCAAUCCUCAGCCACAGGGAAACCGAAGGAAACCAUACACAGACAGCCCUUUCACUUCCUUUUUCUGCGACCGAUCGAUCCCUCAAACUGACCACACACGGUCUUCUUCCCCCAUCCGUAAUAUUUCUCUUUCUUCCCUAGCCGACUACCAUGAGCAAUGGAGAAGCAGCACCCGAAGACCCAAUGGUUCCAGCCACAGGCAGCUGCAAAAACAGAGAAGAGUUUUCCUCAUAACUCAGCUGCAGCAGCAAAAGUCGUGUGGUGUAGUUUUUUUUCCUUCCUCCAGCGGUGCAGUUUCUUCAUGCACAAGAACCGUGAGGCUCCAGCAUGGCAGCCAUGGAUUGUCUAGCCUCCAUUGAAGUAACGCUUAGAAGCACUCUUCUCGCCAGCCUUUGCACCAGCGGUGAACAUCAACAGACUACAAGCUCCAACAGCCACUCCUCUCUCCCCACCGUGCUCUUCCUGCCAGCGUCCACUAGUUCCUCGAUCGGGAGAAGAUCCUGCUCCACCAGGGUCAGCUUUCUCUUUUCUCUUCCGGCCGUGGCUCUAGCCAUCGCUAGUGUCAGUGAGUCGCUUCCCCUCCUGUAUUACAAUUCACUUUAGUAGCUGUGAAUUAUAGUUCACUUGAUACUGUAGCAAGUGAAUUAUAAUUCACUUGUCUCAACCGGGUCACUGGCUUAGGCCAGUGACCAGACCGGGGAGGUUGGGUCUACCCAGCCAUGCAGGCUGGGUCAGACCCACCCAAAAUAAAUAAAUAAAUAAAAAUACAUAAUAAAAAAAUAGUUUUUUUUUAUUCAGAUUUUUGUGGGUUUAUUCAUUGGCGCCAGAGUCAGAAAUUAUACCGUAUUUUGUGGAUUGCACAAUAUUUACCAACGCCAGAGUUGGAAAUAUUCAUAGUUCACUGGCGCCAGAGUCAGGGAUUAUACCGUAUUUUGUGGAUUGCACAAUAUUUACCAACGCCAGAGUUGGAAAUAUUCAUAGGUAAAUAUUCAAUUAUGCCAGAGUUGGGGAUAUUAGAGGAUGACCAUAAAAACAGAACACAAACAAACCUUUAGCAAUUUUAGACAAAAUCAGCAAUGCAGCCUGCCUCAGGUGGGACGCUUAAGGGGUGAUAGUAUCUUCCCUUUCGCGUAACCAGUCCCGGACCAUAUAAUUUCUGUUGACCAGUUAGGGUUCCUAGUGACCAUAAUACUAGGUGAUGACUCCUUAAACAAGACCUUUUCCCCUAAAAGAGCAAGAUGUCAGAUAUCUGUUCUUAUUUAAGGUCGCCGCGAUGUCCGGGUGUGACAAGAGUUAUAUGGAAAACUGUAGGUUAAAUGGAGGACUAGCAGCUUACCUUAUGACUUUUAGUCAAGGUUUAAGUUUGUGUGAACCCCAACUCUUCGCUGAGUGCUUAGACUGGUAAUGAUUGGUGCAUAUAUCAUCUCAUUACCUACUGAGCCCCUAUAUUGCCUUCAAGAGGGUGAUUACUCGGUCAACGAAAGACCCUUUUUUAGAGACCAAGUAGUAAACCUACCCCUUGUCUCACAUAAAAAGAUUAGAACUUACUUUUAGGAUGUAUGUUCCCUACACAUUGUUUUGCAUCAAUACAAGCCCUUUUUGAAGCAUAUUGAAUUCAGGACUUACGGGUGACACAAUAGCUGUUGUUGUAACCCAUUUUUGGGUCCCCACAAAAAAUAUAUAAAAAUAUAUAGCCAAAGGAGGGUAGAAAAAUAAUAGGAGGCAGAAGCGCUCAGAAAAUGGUUGGAAAAUUGGUCAAUAAGGUUAAAAAUACAAAGAUUGGAUUUUUGACAGUAUAUUCUUGAAGGAGGAGAACCCUGUUGAGAAGGAAAAUUUGAGGAGAAAAGCCCAAAUUUGGAUGUUUAUGGACUUAAUUGGAUUUUUAAAUGAAUUUGUAGGAGAUUUGUUUGUAAGAAAAAUUGAUUUUUAAGUCAAUUUGGGCUUUAAUUAGAAGAAAUUUAAGUUCUGGGGCCAAAAUAUAUUUUUUAGGAAUUUAUUAGGUCAAAUCAGGGGCCUAAUUGCAUAAAUAUUGAAGUUUAAGGGCCAAUUGGGGACUUAAUUGAGAAAAUCCGAAACCAGGGACCAAAUUGGAAGAGGCGCGUAAAUGGAGGGGCUGGAACUAAUUGAUUCAGGGGCCUAAUUGAAGAAAUUGGAAGUUUUUGAUCAAUUAAGGGCUCAAUUGCAUAAAUCAGAGGCCAAGGACUAAAGUGAAAAACGCGGCCAACAAGAGGGGCGGAGACCGAAAUUGGCAGGGAUGCAAUUGAAGAAAAAAAAGAUGAUUAAGGGCUGAUUUGGAAUUUGGAACGGCGCGUUUUCUCCAAAACGACGCCGUUUCAUACAUUCAAAAAAAAAAAAAAAAGAGCAGAACGGUGUUGUUUUGAACGACACUGUUCAUCUUCUUCCCCCGAUCACGCAGCGGGGAAGAAGGAAAAAGGUUUGCUUUAAUUUGAAUUUUUGCCGGCCACUCUCUCGCCUGGAGCCCACCGAUCGGACACAAUGGCCGACCACCCACCGCGCACCUACCAGAAAGCCGGGAGGGGGGCCGGACCUUGGCAGUCGCGCCAAUGGCCGACCAGCCGGCUGCUCCCCAUGAGAGCAGUACAAAGCCACGCCCUUGGCUCUAUAAAUAGGACCCCAAGAGCGCUGGUGAGGGGGAGAGAGGACCAGAGAGAGAGAAGAGAACAGAGGGGAGGGAGCAAGGAGAAAACGAAAAAAAACAGAGGAGAGAGAGGGGAAGAGAUAGAACGAAGGAGAGAGAAGGAAGAGAGGAGAACGAAAAAAACAGAGAAGAGGAACGGGAAGAGAGGAAGGACCAACCCGAAAACAAAAGAAAAAAAGCAAACCGAGAAAACGAAGAGAAAGGGAGGAACGGAGAGAACGAACCAAACCGUCGGAAAUAGCCGCAGCGCCGCCGGGAGUCGCUGUCCGUGAACAAGUCGCCGCCACCCGCCUACGCCACAGCACUGCCAGAAACGCAGGAAGCCACCGCCACCCCGCGCCAGGUAACUCUUCUUCCUCCCCUAUUCUGGUGUUUCUUUAUUUCCUUCUCUGCAUGCAGAACGAAUAGCGUUCUGCAUGCAGGGGUGGGGGGAAAUUAAUUCCCCCCGCCCGUUUUGAGUCUGGGCCAGGCGGGUCCUGGCCCAGCCCUGUCUUCUGGGCCGGGUCUGGCCCUGAAGAGAAUAUUUUUUUUGGGCCGAGAUCGGCCCAAUCCAUUUUGGGCCGAAAUCGGCCCAGCAAUUUUGGGCUGAGUCCGGCCCAGUAGGUUGGGCCGGACCAGCCCAGCCCAUUUAAUAUUAUAUAUUAUAUAUAUUAUAUUUUGUAUUAUUUAUAUAUAUAUAUAUAUAUAUGUAUAUAUGAAAAAAUUAUAAAAAUUUUGCAAAAAUUAUAAAAAAAUAUAUGUGAUCUUGUUGUAAUUUUAUUACUGUAUUUUGAUUAAUAUCGGUUGUUAUUUUUAUACUGUAAAGAUACAAAUCCGGUAUUAAAAUACCCGGUUUUCAUCAAAACAUCAAGGAUUUUCAAAAAAAAAAAAAAUGUCUUUUGCUUUCAAAAAUUCUCUAAAAAUAUCUUUGAAAAUAUUGUUGAUUUUUUUGCAUUUAUUUUAUCAAAGUGGAUUAAUAUUUGGUUGUAUUUUUAUACCGUAAGGAUACAAACCCAGUAUUAAAAUACCCGAUUUGCGUCAAAACGUACAAAAAUACAUAUUAAAAAAUGUUUUGUUUUAAAAUACAGCCUAGUCUCUCCAAUAUAUAUAUAUAAAUAUUAUAACAUCAUCUUUUUCAUAUAACAAAGAAAAUUUCAAAACAAUAUAUGUAUUAGCAUGCAUUUUGGCUUUAAUAACCAGUUUAUUCAAGCCAUGAGAACUAGGCCAAUAUUUCAAAAAUUCUAAAAAAUCUUUUGGUCUUUUAGUAUAAGGGAUUACGAAUUUAUACGUAAAAUGUAUUCCUGAAAUUAAAAAUAUGAUUUUUACAUAGACGCUAGAACGGUUAGGUUUUACCCGAUAAAGAUAAGGACCUCCUUAUUGAGGAGGACUUUUCUUGAACCAUAGACGGACCCACAACUAGAAAUACAAUAACACCUUAAGCUUUUUAUCAGACAAUCAAGCAAUGCAGCUUACCUUAGGUAGGGCGUAUUUGGGGUGCUAAUACCUUCCCUUUACGCAACCAGUCCCCGUACCCGAUCUCUGAGACCAGUUAGGGUUCCUAGUGACCAAAAUACUAGGUGGCGACUCCCACACCAUUUUUCACUACUAAGAGACAAAGAACUCCUUGUCUCACCAUAUUUACUAGAUAUAUAUUUCCAAGCCCUUCUUGAAGCAUAUUGAAUUCAGGACUUACGGGUGACACAAUAGCUGUCACUCAGGAAAUUUCUGUUGUAGAGUUUGAGCAAGAAUCAAAAUUCUUGUUUCAUCAUGUAAGAAUUACAACUAUAUAUCACCCGUUGAAAGGCGAGUUUAUAAUGUAAAACAUGCUCAUACAUUUAAACGUGCAUGCUUGCUGUUUGGAAUAAAGGUCCCUCAAUUCUGUUUUACUCAUUAGAGUCAAGAGUUGCCGACAUCUGACAGUGUUGAGGAGGAUUCGCUUAAACUUCCAAUCUAGAAGCAUAGCUUGUGGUAAAAGGAUUCGUUGUUCUACCAUGGACCCAGCUGGUGACUUAUGUCGAGAUGCCAUCUAUAAAGUUCUGAUAUGCUCAUCAAUGGAGACUAUAGAGAAAUGUAGGCUUCUUUCUAAGGAGUAUAACAAGUUAACCUACGAAUCCUUUUUCACAAAGCUACACAGCCAAAGAACUAACAUUGUCUCUAGUUUUCUUAUCCAAAGCAUGAUCAGGAAUGAAUAUUAUGUUUUUUUUUUGUUUCAACUGACGCUUUGAUUUUCUUCCUGGACACUUGGAGAUUGUAUCAUCAACAAAUCAAGGAGUUCUACUUUGUCGCGCACACAAUGGACCAUGUUAUUAUGUGUAUAACUCUUCCAUCCAAUAAUGGCAAAAGAUCCUGAAUCCAAAGACGCGAUAUGAUACUAUAGAAUCUGGCCUAAUGAUUGAAAGGUCAAAGCUUUUACGAUACAAGAUUGUUAGAUUCUCAAAGCCCAAGUUUUGAUCUCAUAAAAAAUUAUAUAUGUACGACUGUAUUAGAGUCGAGUUGUUUAAAUCAGUAACUUGGAAAUGGAAGCUGUUGGAUGAAGUGAAGUUGCCUCAUGAAGAGUCCCCUUGUCGCAUGAUAAAAGUAUCUGUGAAUGACUCACUUGGAAGAAAAAUGUAUUUGCAUUUAAUGUAAAAAGAGAGAGUCAUUGUUUGUUUCCACUUCCCCUGCCAACCUCUGAGGGUAAUGAUAACUUAUUAGUACUUAAAAGUGCAUUUUUAUCAUGGUUUUAUAUCAUCAUUUUGCACUUGAAGUAUCAAUAACUCCUUAACUAAAGCAUGUUUUAUAAUAAUAAGUCUGAUACCAUAAGAUACCUUUAAUUUUUGGUAAAUAUUCAUCUUAAAUGCAGGCCUAUCACAUAAAUAAAAGGAUUGAUUGAUGAGUUUAAGUACGGAAAUUGAAAGGACAAAGAGAGGGCCAAACUUAGAAAAGAGAUGCUGGUUCAGUCCAAACUGGAACACUGUUCGGUCAUUGGGUCAUAUCUGGAGCUGUAGAUCUUGGAUUUAGGUUUGCCUUAUAUGGAUAGAAAGCUAAGACAUAGGCCUAAAACUUUCAUGGGGAGUCCAAGAUUUAAAAAGGCCGUUUUCAAGUCCAAAUUAUAGCAACAACGAAGAAGUCUGAAUCUCUCCUAAAGCCCAGACAUUGUUUAGUGUUCAGCCCAUAUCUCAGGUUAUUGAAGUCCAAAUGACCUCAACUGUUUUUUCCUGGAAAGCUGAGACAAUUUCCUAGAACUUUCAUGAUUUAAGUCUGUUCAAAUUAUGACGUUAUCAAUGACUUUUGUGGCAGACAAGGAGAUAAGGAUUGUCACCAAGUCAAGAUAUGGCCACCCACUCAAUAAUUAGUCAACAAAUGAAUAGUUCUGAAUUUUGGCCUAUAAAAGGAGGCAUUUGCCAUGUAUUUAGGCAUCUUGGUUUUCAGAUCAAGAUCAUGCUCUCUCUCUCUCUCUCUCUCUCUCUCUCUCUUUGUAAUGCUUAAGUUUUGUUUAUAUUAAUCUCUUGUUUAUGCUUUUCAUUUCCUUUCCUUUACUUACUUAACUUAUAUCUUAUUUAUGUUCGUAUCUUGUUUAUUUUUGUUUCUCUUCUUCAUUAUGUUUAGCUAAGUUUAUUAUGUCAAGGUGAAAAGGUUACACUAAUGGUGUAAAAAUAAGUAUAGUGUAAACUCAACAUGGACUUUAAUAUUUAGUACUAACAUGUUUUAUAUUUGUUAUUUUGUUCACUUUUAAUACUUUGCUUGUUAAAUGGUUAAUCUAGAUUUAUGUUGUAUAACCUUGGUACAACAAAUACUUGGCACUUUCAUAGCCCAAACUGUAUGGUAUAACCGACACCUGUGCUAUGAAAGGAACUUGAUUUGUUGUUAACAUAAGUUAUAAUCAUGAAUGUCUGACAACAUUUACAAGUAUUAGCAUUAUUCAAAUAAGAUAACUAAUGUAAUCAUGUUAACAAUUUAUAAUUUGAUUGGAACCUCCUUUGUGUGUGGUUUCCAGUUGAAUAAUAAGAGUUUAUACUGUACUUGUUUGAAAUACCAUUAGUGGAUUCUCUAACCUUGACAAUUGUUCUUAUCAUUAUUUAAUCCUUACAUUAAUCUUCCAUCUCAAAGUCCUCUUUAACUUCUUCUUAAUACUACUACUACUACUACUACUACUACUACUACUACUACUAUUAGAAUUAUUAUUAUUGUUGUUGUUGUUGUUGUAGUAGUAUUAUUGUUAUUUAUAAUUUAUACCUCCCUGUGGAUCGACCCCGGUUUUGCCGGGUUUUUUAUUACUUUGACACUCCUGCACUUGGGAGAAGACAUCAAUCUUUUGGUCGUGUCAAUAACAAAGAUAUCAGACUUGUUGAAUACAAAGGAAAGCUCGUCAUGACCUGCAUUGAUAGGGAGAGUAAUUUCAUGGAUGUAUGGAUCAUGGAGGAUUAUGACAUAAAAUGAUGAAGCAAGAGGCAUUUGAUAAACAUAGGGGUUUUAACAAGGAAAGAAUCCCAUGUAAGUCCUUUGGCCUUUUGCAAUGCUGAUGCUGUGUUAAUGGGAGAAUAUUUUCCUGACGUGACAUUCUUCAACUUUAAGACCGGAGAUAUUGACAUGUUACGAUUAGGAAAGGGUGUGCUUUAUGGAUGCUUCCCAUUCCAACUUAACUUUGCCACAAGAAAAAAGCAUAGCUAGUUCAUUGCCCCAAUGCAUGAUUCUCUAUACGGAAUAAUCUAGAUGAGAUGUGAAGAAUUGCAAGAACUUCGAAGAUUAAGUCUAAAAGUUAGUGAGCAAGAGGCAGAUAGAUUUUGUAAAGGAUGACAUCAACGAUCAUAUUGUCAAUAUGCCAUUACCAAGGAGGGAUAACAAAACAUUGAUGAUUGCGGAAGAAGCUAAUUAUAAAUGUUGUUUUGUCAAUUUUGUUGUUCACCAUUUUUGUUUUGGGAUCACAUCUCAUCAUUUAAUGAAAUAUGUCUUUUCUUUGUCUUUUUGCUGUUUUGGAAUCAUGAGAUGUUUAACAUUUUAUUUUGAAAAUAUUUUUUGAUUAAACUCUAACUUGCAUUUAAGACUAAUCAAUCCUGAAUGAUUAAAAGUGUUUUAAUUCCAGAAAAGACUUGAUGUUCGUUAAAAUGACAAGAGGUGACCGAACAAAUUUUAAGCUCACACACAAAAUUGAACCACACACCAUAUAAGCUAAGUUUUAGCAGUAUGCCUAAUGACACACGAUGGACUCAGUAGUUAUGGAUUCACGAAUCAAGACUCUUACAAGUCCAAAGCAUUACACGGGACGAGGUCAAAAUUUAUCGAUUCUAAUUAACCUUGCUUGAAAUGAGAAAACACCAUCUUUGUUCACUCAUUUCACAAUUCUUGAAAUAUAUCCUUUGCAAUCCCAUUUUGAGCCUGGUGAAAUAUUUCAUUAAAAAAGAAAUCUUGACAUGGAUUACACCCCACACUAGAAGCAAACAAGAGAUUUUUGUUAGAAAAGGAUAAAAAUAAUGAUAGAAUCAAUAGUAAAAGGGAUGUUAAGAACAAAAGUCCAAUGAUUGAGAGGGGGCUUAGAGAAAGGGCCAUAGACUAGAAGGGCAUGUAAGAAAAAUUUGAGGAAGGCUAUGUGAAAGCUAAAAAAAGUGAAAAUUGCCUAGAAGGCAAAUCAAAGAUAAAGGAAGGAGAAUGUCUACCAAGUCUAGGAAGGGUAAAAGAGGUUUCAAUCAAUAAAAGACACAACAAAUGUCAAAAGUCAAUGCCAGAAAAAUACUAAGUUACAAACAUUGUCUUUUGAUGUCAGUGAUAAAGCCUCUGAUGUCUUCAAAAGAUCGAAUUGGUUAUUCAUUAAAGAAAAAGUCGAAUUUGCAUUAUGACCUAUGACAAGAGAGUUCUGAUGGUUACAUGACAUAUCCUCUAUAAAGACAACAGUAGAAAGAAAGUUGAUGAAUAUUUGAUGUUGUUUCUAAGUCUUUGAAACUCUCAAACACCUUUUUGAUCCUAUGAAAUUUCUAUUUUUCAUAGCCAUGAACCAUAGCUUGCAUUACAUGCUUUAAGAAGCUUUUUUUUUUUAUCAAGUAAACAAUUUGAACUGAUAAAUGACGCUUUCAAAACUUGAAAAGCUUUUCCAUAAGGGUCGUGGCUUCAUGAAUUAAGCUACUGGUUAUUAUGCAUGCUGAUAAAAUUGGUGCUCAAAAGAACAACUUUUCUUGAUAAAUCCUUAAUUUUUGACUUGGGCAUCCUGUUUCUUUGAAAUUCACAGAAAAUCACCUUAUCAUAUGCCAUCAAAUGAUAUACUCAAAAGCAAAGAUUAAAAUUGAUACAAAGAACCAUAGACAAAGUUGUUUUAAUCUUACAACGGGUCAAUUCCUAAUAUCAAAAUACAAGAUAAUCAAAGGACUACAUGUAUUGAAUAACGUGUGUUGGGUCUUUGACCAAAAAGCUUGAUUUUUAAAAGAUCUUUUCAAAUAAUGACAUCUCUGAUUUUAUUUUAACAAAUUAGACUUUGAAUAGACAUGAUCUUUGAAAUAUGAGAGUUGAUUCUAGAAUAAAAAACAUUUGUCAAACAAGAACAUUGACCGAGUUUAUAAAUUCUUGGAUAAAAAUGACAUUGACACUUCUUGAGAAGUAGAGCAGCUAGGGGCAAUACAUUAAACCCUGAAAAGGAAGAUAAACAAUAUUCAGAUUAGCCGGGGCAAAGAAAGAAUCAAAUGAUGAGUCAGCAAAGUCCAUCAGAGUUAUGAUUAACAUCUAGUAAUGAAAAAAACCUCCUGAUUAUAGACAGAUGAACGAGCACGUUCUGAUCAACUAGGGGCAAUGUUGUUCAAAGACAACCCAUGAUCUAGUAAACCCCGGCAACAAUUGAGAGCAAAGAUGUACCUGAAGGACAUCUUUAUAUCAUCAUCCUUUGAAACAUGGAUAUCGAUUUAUGUGGGCAUACUGUUGCAUUUGAAUGAAUGAUGAAAAGAUGCAAACCACCAAGACUGACUAUGGAACAAGGAUAUACCUAAAGGACAUCAUCAUAUCAUCAUCCUUUGAAACAUGGUUAUCGACUGAUGUGGGCAUAUGGUUACAUUUGAAUGAAUACUGAAAAGAUGCAUACCAUCAAGACUGACGGUGGAACAAAAAUAUACCUGAAGGACAUUUUCAUAUCUUCAUCCUUUGAAACAUGGCUAUCGACCAAUGUGGACACACGAUUGAAUAUAAAUGAAUGGCGAAAAGAUGCACACCACUAAGACUGACUGUGGAAUAAAUGCUACACUUGAAGAACAUUUUCAUAUCAUCAUCCUUUGAAACAUGGUUAUCAACCGAUGUUGUCAUAUGGCUGUAUUUGAAUGAAUAUCAAAAAGAUACAUCCCACCAAGACUGACUAUGGGAAUAAGCUCCAUCGAAGUAAAAGUGCUCUUUACCGUAUGAAUAUGGGUGAUUAACUUCAUUAAUGAUGUUAAUGGAUUUUUUUUUAUAAUCUAAUUAGAUGAGCCAAAAGGGAUCCAUUGAGAAAAGCAUGGACCCUACAAUAAAGAGCCUUUUACUACAAGCUAUGAGAUGCAUGUGUGGAUGACUGGAUAGUUUCCAAGAAGAUUGAUGAUAAUAUAUACUUGAAAAGUAUUGUUUCAACUAGAGACAAGUCUGUAGUUGAUUAGCAAUCUAAGACGAGGAUGACACUAGAAAACCUCUUGAUGAGUAUUAGCAGGACGCACAUAACUAAGCAAAGAACAGUUACCGAGAGAAUCCAAGAGAUGACUGAUUUGUUAAGCUCCUUCAUGAUGAAUCAAACAACACCACACUUGAGGACAUUGUCAAGCUUGAUAAAAAAUAAAAGCAAUAAUCAUCGUGGACAACCCAAAAUGGGCACUACACAUAUAUUUGAGUGGAAGGCUAGCACGCGAAUGAGUCAGUCAGUCAGAAGAACAAGAAAGGUUUUUGAUAGCAAGUAAUAUGAUGAAUCAAGCAACACCACACUUGAGGGCAUUAUCAAGCUUGAUAAACAAUGAAAACAGUAAUCGUCAUAGACAUCCCAGAACGGCUACUGCAUUUACAAUUGAGUGGAAGGCUAACACAUGAAUGAGCUAGUCAGUCAGAAGAACAAAAAAGGUUUUGGAUAGCAAGUAAAGACACCCAAUGCCAAUGGAACAUUAAAUGGGGGGCUAUAUUUCAAACCAGGUAAGGAUGCAUGCAUGUCAUCUAACCUCAAAACAUUGCAUCAAAUAUUUUUGAAUUGUUACAAGAAAGAUCCUCAAUGAAGUUCAGCGAGAUUGUGGACAAAUAAAGAAUCAUUGAGUUAAUGAUAGCAAAGAAAUCACAGCUUUGACCCUAGAACGAGAAGAAGAUGAGAUGAACCCUACCAUUAGGAAAAUCUCAACGAAAUAAAAAGAUUAACCAUAUCAUCAAGAAGAGUCUUCAGUUCGAAUACUGCCAUCAAGAAGAACAUACAUAGAAUUUACCUUUGGUUAAAAGGAAUCAAUAUAUGAGAUUUCAGGUUGACCAAGUUACAUACCGACUUUGGUUCUAGUUAAAAGGGAUCGCCAGAUGGGAUCUUAGAUUGAUCGAGCCACAAAAUAGAUUUUGGUUAAAAGAGAUCGCCAGAAGGGAUCUCAGGUUAACCAUCACACAUAGAUUUUAGCUUUGGUUGAAGAGAGUUGCUAGAUGAGAUUUCAGGUUGACCAAGCUACGCACCGACUUUGGUUCUGGUUAAAGGGGAUCACCAUAUGGGAUCUCAGAUUGACCGAUCCACAAAACAGAUUUUGGUUAAAGGAGAUCGCCAUAAGGGAUCUCAAGUUAACCACCACACACAUAUUUUAGCUUUGGUUGAAGGGAGUCGCCAGAUGGGAUUUUAGGUUGACCAAGCUACUCACGUACACACAGAAUUUUGGUUCUGGUUAAAGGAGAUCAUCAUAUAGGAUCUUAGGUUUAACUCAACCAUAUAAGGAACUUAGCUUUGAUUAAAAGGGAUCACCAGAUAAGAUUUCAGGUUAACUAACCUACGCACAAAACUUUGGUUCUAGUUAAUGAGGAUCGACAGAUAGGAUCUCAGGUUAACCCAACCACAUAUAUUCUUGAAAAAUCUCUGCAUUUUUAACCUUGAAAAUGUUUUUCCGUCUAGGUAGGUCACCCAUUACUAUAAGAUUAUUUUUGAAAAAUCUUCACUUUUUUUUAUUUCCACUUGGGUAAGUCACCCAUAAUAAUGAGACCACUUUCACUUUUCAUUCUAUCUGGGUAGGUCACCUAUUACAACGAGAAUAUUCUUCACAUUUUCUUUCCACCUGGGUAGAUCACCCAUAACAAUGAAACCACUUUCACUUUUCACUCCAUUUGGGUAGGUCACCCAUUACAAUGAGAUAAUUUUUUACAUUUUUCCACCUGGGUAGGUCACCCAUAACAAUUAGACCACUUUUCACUUUUCAUAUUUUUUUCCACUUGGGUAGGUCACCCACUACAAUGAGACCACACAUAUAUUUUCUUUGCUUCUGGUUAAAGGAGAUCGCCGGAUGGGAUUUCAGGUUGACCGAGCUACACAUAGAUUGAUUUUAGGACAGACUUUGGUCUCGGUUAAAGGGGAUCACCAGAUGGAAUCUCAUGUUAACUCAACCAUACAUAGAAUUUAGCUUUGGUUAAAGAGAUUCGCCAGAUGGGAUUUCAGGUUGACCGAGCUACACACAGAUUAAUUUUUGGAUAGACUUUGGUUCUAGUUAAAGAGGAUCGCCAAAUGGGAUCUCAGGUUAACUCAACCAUACAUGGAAUUUAGCUUUGGUUAAAGGGAGUCGCUAAAUAAAAUUUCAGGUUGACCGUGCUGCACAUAAAAUUUUGGUUCUAGUUAAAAGAAAUUACCAAAUGGGAUCUUAAGUUAACCGAAUCAUACACCGAUUUAGCUUUGGUUAAAAGGAGUCGACAUAUGAGAUUUUAGGUUGAUUGAGCUGUAUAUAAAAUUUUGGUUCUAGUUAAAGGAGAUCAUCAGAUAGGAUCUUAGAUUAAUUCAACCAUACAGGGAAUUCAACUUUUGUUAAAGGGAAUCGUCAUAUAGAAUUUCAGGUUGGUCGAGCUACAGACAGACAGACUUUGGUUUUGGUUAAAGGAGGUCACCAAAAAGGAUCUCAGGUUAGCCCAACCAUACAAAAAACUUAGUUUUUGUUAAAGGAAGUCGCUAGAUGGGAUUUUAGGUUGACUAAGCUGCACAAAGAUUUUGGUUUUGGUUAAAGGAGAUCAUUAAAUGGGAUCUCAAAUUGACUUAACCGCAAACAUAGAUUUUUUUGGUUAUGGUGGAAGAGGAUAGCUAGAUGGGAUCUCAAGUUGACCGAGCCGCCAACAUUAUCAUAACAUAGAAAGAAAAAUGAGAAAAAACCUACCAUUAGGAAAUUCUCAAAAGAAAGAAAAAAGAAAGUGCAAAUCCUACCGUUAGGAAAAACAGUUUUAGGUUCUGGUUAAAGGAAAUCGUCAGAUUGGGAUCUUAGAAUAAACAAGUUGCAUAUAGUUUUGAUCUCUAGUUUUGGGUUAAAGGGGGUUGCUGUAAAGAUAAAGUUUCAGAUCAACCAAGCUUCGAGAAGAUCAAUUUCAAAAGUUGAUUUUGUUUAUCUUUACAAAGCUUACUACACAAAGUCUUCGCUUCGUAAGUAUUGUAAAGAGGGGACAUCUAUUGUUACCCAUUUUUUGAUCCCCGCAAAAAAAGAGGAGAAAAUACAAAAAAAAAAUAUAUAUUCGAAAGAAUACCAAAAAAAUAAUAACAAUGAGAAAAGGAUGUCAAAACGCCUAGAAAAUGACCAAAAAUUGGUUAAGGAGGUUUGAAAAUACAAAGAUUGAAGUUUGACAGUAUAUCGUUGAUUGAUGAGAGCCUUGUUGAUAAAGAAAAUUCAAUUUGAGAAAGAAAUGUCCAAACUCAGAUGUUUAUGGACUCAAUUAAACUUUAUUGAAGGUUUAAUUGAAUUUAUAAAGGGUUUGAUUGCAAGAAAAUUUAAUUUUUAAGUCAAUUAGGCUUUAAUUGGAAGAAAUUAAAGUUUUGGGUUCAAAUUAUAAUUUUUAAGAGUUGAUUUUGUCAAAUCAAUGGCUUAAUUGCAUAAUUAUUGAAGUUUGAUGGGCAAUCGAGGACUUCAUUGAACAAAUCACAAAUUAAGGAUCGAUUUGGAAAUUGAAACAUUUUUGGUGCCAUUUCUUUUUAAAUGAAAUGAUGUCGUUUUGAACAACACCGUGCAUCCCCUUCCUUCCCCCCACACACAGACAGGGAAGAAAAAGCUUUCUUUCCAGUGCUAUCUCUCCCUCGACUUGACCAAACACUGACAUGUCAUACCCCUCCACAUGCCCUGCAAUCACGCUGAAAAAAGGAGAGGGGAGCCAUGCCAUGCAAGCAGCUCCUCAUUGCCCACCUUACCCUGCGCUAUGGCAGGGGUAAGGUGGCUCUCUCCUCCUCUGAUUAUAAAUACCAGAGAGGGAAUCAUAAAAAACAGGGGGGAACAUUUUGAGAAGAAAGACAGGGGAAACAAAAAAAAGAAAUAAAAAGAAAGAAAAGAAAGAACCAGAGAGAAAAGGAGGGAAGAACGAAAAAACAAAGAGUAACAUAGGGGGGAGGAAAAAUUUGAGAGAGAGAGGAACGAAAAACAAAGAGAAAACAAAUAAGGGGGGAGAUUUGAAAAAGGGGUAACAUGAGAGAAGAUUUUGAAAAAGAACAAAGAGGUUACAGAGGAGAAAAAAAAGAGCAGAAGGGAGGAGAAGAAGACCACUGCAACAACCAUUUUCAGUCUGCCAUCUCUACCGCCUACCUUCAUUGUCGCCGCCACAAGAACCGCCUUGAGCCACUAUCGACAACAGCUCCACCACCAACAGAAACAGAAGAAGAAAUGAAGAAGCAAUAAAGAAAGGGGAAACAGAGACAGAAAGAAGAAGCCAAGCAUAAACAAAGAAAAAAGAAGAACCACCGUCUAGAACCAUUGGUAGUCGCGACAACAACCCCACUACGAGCCACUAGCACUGCCACCGCUGUCAGGUCAGCUUCUUCUUCUUCGUCAUCCCCGGCUCCUCCACUAUUCUGUAUGAAUAGUAGAGGGUGAAUUAAUUCACUCUCCAUUGUUCACGUCAACAGUGGAGAGCUGCUAAACUGUUCACUAGGUCGUACCGGCCCAAAAUGACUGGGCCAGGCCUGGCCCAAUCCAAAAAUAAUUUUUAAAAAAUCCUUUUAAAGAAAAUUUGUUGAUUUUCUUGCGUAUGUUUCUAUUAAUUUUUCUUAAUACUGGAUUGUAUUAUACUGUAAAGAUACAAAUUCGAUAUUAAAAUACCUGGUUUUUGUCAAAACAUUGCAAAAAUUAUAAAACAAAAGAAAGUCUUGCUUUCAUGCAUACGACCAAGUCUAAAAACAAAAAUCAUAUCGUGUUUUCAUGCAAAGAAAAUUUCCAAAAAAUAUAUGUUUUAUCAUGUAUUUUGGCUUUAAUAACCAGUUUAUUAAAGUCAUGAGAACUAGGCCAAUAUUUCAAAAAAACACCCAAAAAAUAUGUUGUUUUGUUUUAGUAUCUAUGAUUAUGAAUUUAUAUGUAAAACGUACUCUUGAUAUUAAAAAGAUGGUUCUUUUAUAGAUAUUAGAACGGUUAGGUUUUUACCCGAUAAGAUAAAGAUCUCCUUACUGAGGAGGACUUUUUUUAAACCAUAAGCGGACCAACAAUUAGAAAACACAACAAGACCUUAGUUUUUUAUCAGACAAUUAAACAAUGCAGCCUACCUUAGGUGGGGCGUAUUUGGGGUGCAAAUACCUUCCGUUUAUGCAACCAAUCCCCGUACCCGAUCUCUAAAACCAAUUAGAGUUUCUAGUGACCAAAAUACUAGGCGGUGAUUCUCAUUCCAUUUUUUCACUGAUAAAAGACAAGAAUUUAUUGUCUCCUCACAUUUUCCAGACACAUUACGAGAGUGGAAUAUCGCCACACACAUGCGACACCAAGAACUUAUGGUUAUUGAUUUUGAAAUGUUUAUGUUAGAUUUUCUCAUGUAUUUCAUGGACAUAUUGUAUAAUUGAUAGGAAGAAUGUAUUAUGAUCCAUAAGAGGAGCAAUCAUUCAUAACUUUUGUUGACAUGUUAAUACUUGUGAAAGUAUUAAUAGUUUGUCAUCAUCAAAAAAGGAAAAACAAAUAUUAGCAAAAGGCUAUCAUUUGCUUAUAGUUUUGAUGAAUCAAACUAAUAAGUUACUAAUCAUUUUCUUAAGGUUAUAAGUUACUAAUCAUUUUCUUAAGAUGUUGUUAUAGUUUGAUUCAUUUUCUUAGGAUGUUGUUAAGGUUAUAGUUUUGUGUUGAUAUAGGUUCUUUACUAUGUCUAACAUUUCAAGGAUUAUUGACAAGUCUUGAAGUUGUGAUAAAAAUAUGAAACUAUUAUAAUGGUAUACUUUUCUACAAAAUUAUUCUUAGGAUGUUGUUAUAUAUGAUUCAAGUCUUUUUAAAAACUAAAUUCUUAAAACCAACUUUUUAUACCUAAAUUAUUAUCCUGAAAAAUUAGUCAUAAAAUUCCCUAAAAUACCUUAUGACCCUUAAAAAGUCUAAGACCUCUAAUACACCAGAUAACCAUACAAAACACAUCUCUAAAGCCUUUUGAAAUGCUACACAGCAAGCCAAAUAGUAUGUGGUAUACCGAUUAACUAAAUUAGAUAUAAAAUUUCAAAGACAACUACUAAUCUAGACAUCCUUGUUCGAUAAACAUUUUUGAGAUCACUCAUAUACUAGAUGAUUUUUUAGUAUAUGUGGUUGGCCACUUAUUACUUGAAUGAGUUGAAAUUAUUCUUUGUAUCUUAUACUCAAGUGUGUGAGAGUCAUACCAAGGUUGUUCUUGCACUUAUGUUUGAAUUUGAGAAUACCUUAUCUCUCAUCUUCCAACUAGGAUAAGCAAAACAAGCAAUUUAAUUUCCAUCUCCAUGACACCACUUUUUUCUCUCUUGAAUAAUAUAAUUUUUACAUCAUUUAGCUUAAACCAUAUUGUAUACCAAUCUUUAAAAAUUCAAAUUUCUUGGCCUAUUCUAAUAUAUUCUAAACAACUACAAGCUUAAUUUUCUCUAUAAAUUGGCCUCUUCUUAUAUAUUUUAAAGGUUGUUACAAUCAUUAAGCUUUUACUCCUGUUUUUACAAAAUCAAUUCCUUUAAUUUCCAAGGUUGCUUUUUAUUAUUCUCUUGCAUAUUGAUUGCUUCACCUACCUCAUUUAGAAGAGAUAGAUUACACCUAUUAAAGCCUUGAGAUUAUUUUCUAAUAUAAUCUAUAUAUAUUUUUUUGUAUAUUUGAUAUCAUUCAUUUUUAGUUAAACUUCUUGUUAAAGUGUAUACAUAUAGCACUAUAACCACUUGGAUUUCAGUUAUGACCUUUUAUGUGUGAGCUUGUAUGCGUUUCGGUUUAUCUUCAUAAAAAAUACAAUGUUGGGUUUAAUCUUGUUUCCAGUGUUGAAAGGUCGAUUGUUUCUUUGACAUAGAGUGUGGAGUAGACGGUUAGUUAUAAAAAAAAAUGGAGUACGUGGUUAGAACAAAUCACUAUAAAAUUUAUUUGUAUCUCUCUUACCUACUCUUUAUUUAUUUUUUAUUUUUCAUUUUUUUGCACUAUUACUUAUGUUGUUAUGUGGAUUAUAUGUUUAAGCACGCCAUUUUCGUGUGUGUAGGUGACAAAAAUUGUUGUGGUCAUGUGCUUGAUAUUAUUGUGUGGUUGAAAAGGUUGUCGUGAUUGUGUUCCUUGAGGUAAUUUGGUCUAAAAUCAAAUUAUUGGAUAUAGUUAAAAAAUACCUCAUCCAUCUCCCUCUCUUAGAUGCUCCAAGGAUAUCAAAAGAAUUAUGAGAUCAAGAAUCAUGAUUAAGUUUGUUUUCAAUUUUUUAAAAAGAAAUCUAAGAUCAAUUAUAAUUUUGGAAAAGUUUAAUUGGAUCUUGAAAGGUUUUAAGGUAAAUAUACAUAUAUUUUAUUGUAAAAAAUGAAUUUAUAAAGAUGAUGGGAGAUAAGUUUGAUAUAUUUUUAAUUUAAAUGGUGUAAAAAAUAGAGUUUUAGAGGAAAAAUAGAUGAUGAGUAGUUAUUUUCAUAAUCCAAAAGUCAUUUGAAAAGAUAAAACAAACCACGAGUUUUUUAAAUUAGAUAACUUGUUAUUUUUUAAACCACGAGUUUUUUAAAUUAGAUAACUUAUUAUUUUUUAAACUACGAUCGAGUCUUUUAAAAUUUUAAAUUUAUUUGUCACUAACUAAUAUAAUAUAUAUUUUUAAUUGAGAAUUGAUGGAGCCAUAUAACUUUAGGGGUUAAGAAGAUUUUUAAAUAAUAAUGAUAAAUAUUUUUUAUUUUGACCUUUUAUUUUGACCGGAUAAAACUAUAAUUAAAUUUCGGUCUUGAUUUUAGAAACAUUAGUUUAUGAUAAAACUUUUUAUGUAAAAUUAAUAGAGGAAUAAUACUUUAAAAUUUCUCACAGAUUCAUAAAUCUUUAUGAAAGGAUUUUUUUAGUAAAAAAUAAUAUUUUGUUUACUUAAUUAAUAAAAAAUAAUCUAAUUUUAUAGAACUUAAUCUUGGUAGAUUUGUAUUGCAUAAUAAAAGUCGAUUAAAAAUUAAAAUAUAUUUUAGAAGUAGUCCCAUAGCAUCGCGCAAACAUGUUUGCAAGUUUUUUUAUAAGAUUUACUUCCCUUUACUUUAAGAUUCAAGAGUUUUGCAAUAUAUUUUUUGCUUUCAAUUCAUGGAUUUAUUAAAUUUACCAGCAAAUGAGCAUAAAUAAUACCCAUGAGUUUCCUGAGUUUAUAUUUAUGAAAAAAGGAGAUAAAUCACCCUCCCAAAUCAUAUCCUGAAUCUAUAGACUUAGCUUAGUGUAUACAUCUAAUCCUAUUGACAAUUUUCAGUGCUUAGUCAACAUCGACUUAAAUCACUGCAAAUGGAGUUCGGAGAACUAAUUAAUAUUCACAGUAACCUUGAUCUCUGGCCAAGUUCUUCAUUUUCUUUUCAUCUUUUUGAUCCUUAUGUCGUGGAAUUUAUGGCAUUUCAAUCUCAGCUUGCGAGGAACCCUAAUUAUUCUCCAAAUUGUCAGAGUUACUCACAUAUUCCCACUUCGUAGAGCCCCAUUCAUCCUUAUCUAGUGCUUGAGCAAAAGUUGAAGCCCUCCUAGGAACUCUGGUUUUUUCUCCGUUAUAAAAGUAUUUUGUAAUUCUAUCUCCACUGCUUGAACCACUCUUACCACCUGGAGUGAGAUGGCCUCCAUCUGCUUCUUGAUGAGGCCGUGAACUCGUUAACAAGCGAAAGAGAAAUAGUAGAAAACAGAUGGUAGAUACCGCAGCAGAUACAAUGUAGAUUCCCUUGAAGCUGCGGACGCUCAAGCUUUCGACAUUAUUAUUAGUUGCCGAAGUUGAACACUCAGGUGAGGGGGCAAACCAGUUUUCUUCCAAACGUGUUAUGUUCCCAUCCUCCGAUAGGCAUAGAAUCUCUCUAGAAAAAUCAGCAGCAAAAGGAGAGCCUUUCUGGAAUGCCUGAAGGUGCGGAAAAUAUCAUAAUAUUUAGUAAUAAACAAACGUUCAAAGAAAUGGCUACACCGUGUUUCAAGUCUUUAAAAAGGUUCCUGACAUCAUAAGGUAAAGAAAAUAGAAUUGCAUGAGUGCAUAUUAAUACUUACAAAGCCGAACCCUCCAAAUCUGUAUGCUGCUUUUGUGCUGGUGUAACUUUUACAAUGUUGAUUGAGGAAAAGUCUCUCAUAUGGGAGUUCAAGAAAAGCAGCAGCUAUGCUGUUCCUUUCAAAUUCAGUUGUGUAAUUAUUUUCAUGGUCAAAGAUCUUGAUUUUAUCGUGAUCAAAUCCAAGAACAUCCUCGAGGUACUUCUGGACGAAAGAAUCAUUAUCACAACCAACAUUGAACUUGUCCUUCUUUAGUUUCUCAAACUCUGAAAAAUUCGGUUUCAUUCGUUGCACGGUGAGCAUUGAAGUCAAACUGGCAGUGUAGCUUGAGGUUAAGAUAAAGACAACACAAAGCCACGCUACCACCACAACUGGAGUGAAGUUGCUAUAAAGUCUCUCCCCUGCAAAAUGUAACAAUGAGCUUCAGAUUAAGGUUACUAACAGAGAAUGCGCCAUCAAAGAGUCUUGGAUACAUAUGCCAUAUAUAACUUGUGAAACUGAAUACUUACUCUGAGCAAAGAAUAGAGAUGAAAAUAUGAACCAAAACGCGGUCCCGAACUGAUACUUCCAAGGGCCUCUAAAUUCUGGAUUCGUUUGGUUCUCCAGGAACCAAAUUAUAAGCAUUGUGUAGAUCAAUAUAGCACCGCUCACCAUCCACAUCUCUAAGUUAAAAGGCUUCAAGAAAAUCCAUGCUGUAUCUUCAGUCUCAAGUGGAACUAUCAUGGACAAUCCUGACUCUGCAUAAGGUUGAGUGAACUCUACGUAUUCUGCUCUUUCAGCUAAUAUGGUUAUAUCUCCAAUGGCAGCAUCAUAAGUCUUCCGAUUAACAAGUGGCACAAAAGUCAAACAAUGGCACUCAGCACAAAAAUAAUGUUGAAAAAACAGCUGAUAGAACGAGACAGGAGCAAAAUAAUGGCAAAAUCAUACAACUCCUCAGUGGGCCUCAAUGGACUCGUCAAAUUUCAAUUUCUUAUCAAAAUAUGCCUUGUUUGUUUUCGAAAAUUUUUCUAGAAACUAUUUUCUUUAGUUUUCUAUAUUUGAUAACCAUCCAAAAAUCUAAUCAAAGAAAAGUUAAUUCUAAUCAAUAAAAACAGGCAUGUUUUGUGGCAGGAAAACACUUUUCUUUUUUUAUUAUAAGAAAAACAAUUUCCUUUACUUACCAAAAAAACACGUGUGUUGUCUCCUUCUCUUGUGACCAAUGACAAGACCACAUGCACCUCAUCUACACUUGCCAAAACACAUGCUUUAUUAUUUUUUUUUUUUUAUGAAUAGAAAAACUCUAUUUUGCCCCCUGUUGUGUGUGGGAGAUUCAGUUUUCGUUCCUUUUUAUUAUUAUUAUAACGACUGCUUUGUUUCUUUUAUUUUUUCUAUUUUUCUUUAGCCUUUUUCUUAUUGGCAUUUCAUUUUCCUUGUUUUUUCAUUUUUUUUAUUUCCUAGUGCUUUGGUAAUAACAAAUAGAAUAGUGAAAAUUUUAUUCAUAUGAAAAAAACAUAUUUUAAGCUUUUAAAAUUGAAAAAAAAAUAUUAAUAGGUUUUAUUUAUGAAAAAUUUCAUAAGGUUAUAUCUCUAUAAUAUUAUAUGACAUAUAUAGUUAUAUUUUAUAAAAUAAGCUAUAUAUGAUGAAUAUAGGAUAUAAUAAAAAAAUUCAUCAUUAUACUUUUUAGAUUUUAUUUUUUUAUUGUAAGUGAUUAAAUAUUAUAUUAAAUAUUUUAUAUAUAUUAUAUAAACUUGAAAAAAAAUUAAUUCAUUAAUAAAUUAUUUUUCAUUUAAUUUUCCAUAACAUAACCAAAUACUGGAAACACUUUCCAGUUUAUUUUUCAUAACACUACCAAAUAUCAAAAAAUAAUUUACUUUUCAAAAAUUUAUUUUCUCUUAAAUUUACUUAAAAAAAAAAACUUUCCUGCAAAUAAACUAAUUCUAUAUAAAUUUAUUCUUGGUUUUGAGUUGCAGCCAAUUUUGACUGUGUCAUCUCUUUUAUUCGGAUAAGAAUUUAUAGUCGGCAAAUUACAAUUGAUAGAUGAUACUUAUAUUCUAUCUAUAAUAUAUAAUAAUAAAUCAGAAACAAUUCCAAUUAAAAUAUUAGAAUAACAUAUGGAUUUCUGAUCAGAAUGGGCUCGUAUUACUUAAAUGUGUGUGAUAGAAACCAUAAUUAAAUCUUAUGAAUAAAGUUUUUUUUUUUAUCUUUAAUUAAUAGCGUCUACUGGCAAUAGCGUGGCAUUGACUAGUUAUUUUACAAGGCUGUAUUGAUAUGCAUGCGUUCAUACUGAAAAUUAGAGAAGAUCACGUUUGGACGUUUUGGUUAUCGAACAAUUGGGGUUUCUUGCACGAAGAAGAUUGUGUAUUUGAUAUUAUAAAAUAAUUAAUUCAAUUUAAAAUUUUGAAUUUUUUUAAAUAAUAUAUCUUUUCAGUAAAAAAAUUUUGAAUUUGAAACUUAUAUAUAUCCAUAAUAUCUUAUAUUUAAUUUUUAUCAAAUAAAUAAAAAUAACAAGAUUAAAACUCAUUACUGUUUCAUCAUUAAAACUCUAAUAUUAUAUUAAAAAUUAAUUUAAUUAAAAAUUUUAAACUUUUAGAUAAUAUAUCAUAAUAUAAUUUAUAUUAUUUUUUAAUAGAAAUAAAAAAGCACAGUUAAAGAGUCGUUACCUUGUUGAAGACACCUUGAAUCAUAUCACCAUACUGCCCAUCAAACUCGAAGAAUACGGGUGGUAUAGAGUAAUUCAAUCGCUUCACGACUUCGUCAAAGAGGUCAACGCAAAAACCUACAGGCCGCUCCUCGCCAGUUCGAAAUGUCACAAACUUAUUGAACGAGGUUCUUUUAGGGACUAUUAUUCGCAUGGCUUUGCUUCACUAGGCAUUGCCCAUCCUUUUGGAUCUCGGCCGUUGAGAUCCCCAGGACAAAUCACUGGACCGGACAACCCUCCCGAGGUUUUACCACCAUCACUGUUUCUGCACCUUCCUUUGCCUUGUUCCACGUAGAGGGUAUCCGAGAAACCGCAAUUUGGCAACCAAAAAUCCAGUUCCUUACAUUUCUUCCCAACCACAUUAACAAUCCUUAAUGUAGGAGCAUCUGACAGCAUCCCAUCCUUGAAACGUAUUCUACCACUCAAACCAGUGAAAUCGCUUUCUAAUACGCUGUUUAGAAACAUUUUUGGACUAGUAAUGUUGCUACCUAAUUUUUCUAUGGCCUGUGUGACAAUACCAAUGCUGUCAGAGGCUCUUAAUGCUUGAAUUCCUGGCUCAAAAUCAUCUUCAUUUAGAUACUCUGACCGAAAAAGUUUCUGGAACAGUGCUUCGAAUCUUUUGUAAGAACUGUUGGAAGAAUAGUGGGUUUUGAUUCCUAGAGUGCCUUCCAUAGAAGAAAAAACAGGAUUGUCCACAGAAUCCAAGAAAACUAGUAAUACUGUUUGCAACUAUCCAGACUGUGUCAUUUCCUACAAGCCCCGCUUUCUUAGCUUCUCCGAAAAUACAAGUGAGCAUAGGCAAAGAUGACUGAAGAACAAUAAAAACACGAGCUUCUGUUUGAUGUUUUAGCUUCAUAAGCUCAUCUUGAACAACAUCUAUUGGAUCUGUUAAAAAUGAAAACGGUGGAAGAACCAAGCGGUAUUCGAUCUCCGAACCAACCUCUUGUAGAGCCUCGGUUAAAAGAGCAAAAUUGCCAGAUUCACUUCCUAACACGUCAUCUUCAUAAAUCACUACUGCCCUUUUCCAAUUAUAUGAAUGGACAAGAGCUGCAAUGCAACUCAUCUGUUCUGACCCAUCACUGGCCAUUCUAAUUAGAAAAGGCCAACGAAGUGAAGUUGAUAUCGGGGUUCUGGCUGGUGCUGCAAAUGAAAGAAUUGGAACUUGAGACUGGUUUCCAAUAUUAGCAACCAGGGCUGCUUCCUCCCAUUUGUCCAUGCCAAUAAUCACUUCCACUUUCUUCUCUUUGAUCAGCUCUUCAGCUGCAAGAAAAAUUGACCAGUCACUACUGCUUCAAAUCUUGUUAAUGUUAAGCUAGAAACUCAAAAUCAUUUAGAGAUGGCUAGAUUAUUUACCUGCAUAAGCUGCUUGAAGAGGGUCUCCUUUAGGAUGCUUGAAGUGGAGAGCUUGUGGUUGCUUGAGAUGUUGUUGAAGUUUUGGACUGCAAUUUCCAUUGCUGUUUUCUCUUCUUUUCCUGUACGGGAAUUACCAUCGAUGAUAGCACCAAUAUUAGUAACCGUGUUCGUGCUGGCCGCAGCUUCAACUCCAUUGGAGAGGAUGAGAAGGAAGUUGAUGAGCACAGAUAAAAGAAAGCAAUGUUUUAGAACUUUAUUAACAGGAAUAAGAGGGCAAGUGCUUAGUUGGGAAUUUACUUUGGUGAACAAAUUAGUACUUUUCAUUCUGUUAUACGAAGUUUUGAUUUUGAAAGUCUUAAAAUCCUUGUAAUACAUGGAUAUACACACACACACACAUUCAGCAAAGAUUUAUCUGUAGAAGGGGAAGACCAGAUUCUAUCUGACCUGGUCAACCUGGACCACAUCAAACUAUUUGUCCAUGGAACCCAAGCUACCAAGAAUGGUGUCGAAAUGUCCCAAGUAUUUCUACACCUUGACUUGGAUAAAAGUAAACUACACGUACUAAUUAAUAAUUGCCUACUUGAGUCAAAUUUCUUGUUUUCAUCACACCUCUCUCACAUUUGAGGGUCGUUUCAGUUUAGUGAUGCAAUUGCGUGUUUUGACAAAGUGUGUGAUAUUAAACAAUUAUAGUUUAUUCAAUCUAAUCAAUGAUUAAAAAUGAACGACGAAAUCAACCAAACCACAAGACUAAAUCUUGUUAAAAAAUAUAAGAUUAUUUUAUUUUAUUGUUUAUUAAAGAUAUAGUAGUUAUUACCAGAAAAUCAACGAAAACGAACGAAAUUACCGACGAAAUUUUUUCGUCGGUAAUUUUUACUGACGGAAAUAAUUUCGUCUCUAAUUUUGUCGGUAUAUACCAACAGACCAUUUCUGUCUGCAAUACGGUCGGUAUAUACUGACGGAAUAUGUCCAUCGGUAUAUACCGACCGUAUUGCUGACGAAUUAUAUAGAUUUUUGAAAAGUUGCAACGGUGUGAUGAUGUGGAUUUUUUUCAGAUGAUUUUACCGAUGGAAUGACCGAGGGAUUCAAACUAGGAUCUCCGUACAGUGACGUGGCACAUUCACCGGCGGACUUACCGACAGAAUGUUUCGUCGGUGAUUCCAUCGGUAAAAGCCAAUAUAUACCCACUAUGCCGACUCUUUCUUCCUCUAUUUCUCUUUCUUCUUCCCCUUCUUCCCAUCCCAACUCUCCCCUCCCAAAUUGCAGCCAACCACCCAUCCCAUUUCUCCCACUCUUCUCAACACAAGCACUCAAGUUUCUUAUACUUUUAAACGUGGUCACAACAUCCGUUCUCCGAGCAAUUUAUUGUGGAUUUUAUCAUUUUUUGUAAGUAAAUCUAUCAAUUUUAGUUUUAACAUUUAAAUGUCAAUUUUAUUGUUUUUUAUUGUUUUUUUUAGUAUAUCUAUUUUGUUAACAUAGUACUUGUUUGAUUGUUAUUUGUCAAAGAAACUUGUAGUAUAAAUGUAUAAUUUUGUAAUUGUUAUAGUUUGUUUUAGAUUUUGUCAAACUGUAUUUGUUUGUAAAUUGUUGAAACUUUGUUUGAAUUACACCGAAUUAGAUGUGUUGUGAUGAAAUAAAUAAUAGCUUGUUUAAUGGGUCCGUUUUAAUUUUUAUCAUUUCUAUUGCGGAGUUGUGAUUUCUGUAAAUUUAUAUAUGUAUAAAUUUGUAUGGACGUUGAUAAUUGAUAAUUAAUAAUUAAUAAUGAAUAUUUAACAUAAGUGUUUUUUUAGUUUGUUCGAUAAUGUCGAGACAAACCAAUAUUUUUGCAAAUUUAUUUACGUAACAUAGUUAAUUAAUACAUGUUGUCGUCAUAAUUUUAUAGAGGUUCGAUAGAAGUCAUAGAUGAUCAUUCAUGGAUGUAUCAGGACGCACCCCAAAGAUUGCGGAGGAUGGAUUAUUGUAACGGAGUUUAGGGUUUUAUUAAUUUCACAACAUCUAUUCCGAGGAAUUUUACUAAUGGCGGUAUUAGAUGUCCAUGUAGGAAAUGUAAAAAUAAAAAGUUUCUGCAUCAAGAUGUUGUUUCUAAUGAGGGUUCAUGGAAGAUUACUUGUGUUGGUAUGCACAUGGAGAACUAUUUGUUUCUAAUGAGAGCAUGGUAGAAAGGGUAGUUGGGUUAACUUCUAGUGCUAGCAACGUGCAUGAAGUUGUAAAUGACAACAGUAAUUCUUACAAGAAUAUGGUUAUGGAUGCAAUGAGAAUGAAUGAAGGUAAUGUCAGUGAAUGUCCAAUCAUAGAAGAAUAACCUAAUGCAGAUGCAACAAGUUUUUUUGAUCUGUUGAAAGAUUCUGACGAACCAUUAUGGGAUGGUUGCACGAACCACAACAAAUUAUCGGCCGUAGCACAGGUGUUCACCAUCAAGUCAGAUCACGGGUUGAGUAAGGCCGGUUAUGACAAGAUUAUCGAAAAGGCGAGAAGCAUUUUACCUGAAGGGAAUAGGCUGAAAGAGAACUUCUAUGCUACAAAGUCCAUGAUGAAACCCCUCGGUUUAGGAUACCAGAAAAUUGACAUGUGCCCUAACUUCUGCAUGUUAUACUACCUUGAAAAUGUUGAGCUAAUCGAGUGCAUGACAUGUGAGCAUUCCCGUUACAAACCCAGAAGUGGCAGGGGAACGACUCUCGUGGCAUAUAAAAAACUUAGAUACUUCCCAAUCACACCUAGACUGCAGAGGUUAUUCAUGUCACCAAGGACUGCUGAGCACAUGACAUGGCACCAAUCACAUCAUGCGGUUGAUGGAGUUAUGAGCAUCCUUCUGACGGUGAAGCAUGGAAACACUUUAAUAGUGUGCAUCCUCACUUUUCAGCUGAAUCAAGGAACGUGCGUCUUGGGUUGUGUAUAGACGGAUUCAACCCAUUCGGGUCAUUUGCUGCUCCUUAUUCUUAUUGGCCGAUCAUACUGACCGUUUAUAACUUGCCAUCGAGGAUGUGUAUAAGGCCAGAAUUCAUGUUUUUAUCUAUGGUCAUACCAGGUCCGAGCAGUCCGGAGUGGAAUAUAGAUGUUUGUCUUCGACCGUUGAUUGAUGAGUUGACGUAGUUGUGGUCCUCUGGAGUUUUGACUUAUGAUAUCUCGAGGAAACAAAAUUUUGUUAUGAGAGCGGCUUUGAUGUGGACUAUCAAUGAUUUCCCAGCUUAUGGAAUGGUUUCUGGUUAGAGCACGUAUGGAAAAUUAGGAUGGUCAUACUGUUUGGAAAACAACAAGGCAUUUAACGCUAACAAACGGGGUUAAAGCUUUUGUUUUACUGUCACCGUCGUUUCUUGCCACCGAAUCACAGGUACAGAAAGAACUUCUUUAUUUGUUGAGUUGAAAAGGAUGUUGCACCCCCACGUCUUUCUGGUGAAGAAUUGCAUGAUGUUGUAUCAGAGUACGGUUACAUUGUGUUUGGUCUCCAAUCAGGUAAGUAGAAGUUUCCUGGUUUUGGUUUGACCCAUAAUUGGGUAAAGCGAAGUAUCUUUUGGGAGCUUCCUUAUUGGAAGACCAAUCUUCUCCGCCAUAACCUUGACGUCAUGCACAUUGAAAAGAACAUGUUUGAGAACAUUUUCAACAUUGUCAUGGAUGUGAAGGGGAAGACAAAGGACAACAUCAAGGCUAGAUUGGAAUUAGCGUUGUUCUGUAACCGUAAAAAUAUGGAGUUGGUUUAUGAUGGGUCAUGGGUUGCAAAACCAAGAGCAAGUUUCGUGUUAGAGAAAAACGCACAACUACUAGUCUAUGUUUUCCCGAUGGACAUGCUUCGAACAUAUCAAGGCUGGUUAAUACGGAGGAAUGCAUAUUAUAUGGAAUGAAGAGUCAUGACUGCCAUGUGUAUAUGCAAAUACUCAUCCUAUUAGCUUUUCAUGAUUUGUUGCCAAAGGGGAUAUGGGAUGCACUCACGGAGAUUAGUCAUUUCUUCAGAGAUAUAUGCUCCAGCAAGUUGAAUGUUGAUCACAUUGAAAGGCUUGAAACGAAUAUCGUCGAAACAAUAUGCAAACUUGAGAUGAUAUUCCCUCCAUUAUUUUUCUACUCAAUGGAGCAUAUACCCGUAGAUUUACUGUUUGAGGUAAAAGUUGGAGGACCGGUGCAGUAGAGAUGGAUGUAUCCAUUCGAGAGGUUAGAUAUUACAGUUGCAACAUAAUUCAUAAUUAAAUGUUUUUUUAUUUUUUUAAUUGAUAAUUUUUGUUUAGUUCUAUAUAUGUAGGUACUUGUUCAAUCUUUAAAAAAAGGUUAAGAACAAGGCGCAUGUUGAGGUGUCAAUAUGUGAAGCCUAUAUUGUUGAGGAGAUCUCAACAUUUAUCUCAUACUAUUUCGAAUCUCAUUUGAGAACGAGGAUCAACCAUGUUUCAUGGCAUGAUGAUGGUGGUGAAGUGCCUUCAAGUGGGAACUUGUCAAUAUUCUUCAAUCCUGGACGACCCACACUUAAAAAUGUCAUAAGAGGAAGAUAUUUGUCUGAAAUAGAGUUCAGACAAGCACACAAUUAUGCCCUAUUUAACUAUGAUGAGCUGAGACCUUUUAUUAAGUAAGUAGAUGUUCUACUUAAACUUUGUCAAAAAUAUACUAUUUAUAUAUUAUGAUAUCAUAAACUAAGAUAAUUUAGAACAACCUUGCAAACAACAUCGAUGAUAUUUACUGUCCAAUAACUUACAGCUGAUCGAAUCCCAAAUCUUUCAAUUACAAGAUGAACAAUUUGUCACGUUGUUUAGAACACAUUUAAGUCCUAUCACAAACUCAUUAUCUCUUGUAAGGUAAUUGUACAUCAAUAUUACAGAAUAUUUGUUUAUUGAUUAUUGUUGUAUUUGAUAUACAAGGUUUAUCAAAUGGGAGAUAGUGUUGCUAUUUCACUGUCUUUACUAAGCCUGAGCCCUGAAAGAAAAGUCAAGUGUUAUAACGAGUAUUUUGUCAAUGGAUAUGUCUUUCAUACUCAAGAAUACGAGCAUGGAAGAAAGACAUGCAACAACGCUGUUUGUAUUAAGGGAUCAACUUCUAGUGAGUUUGAAGUUGACUAUUAUGGUAGAUUAGAAGAGGUCAUCGAACUGCAAUAUCAUAGCGAGCAGAAUAGAGUGUUUUUAUUCAAAUGUUAUUGGUAUGACACAACUGACAAAGAAAUCAAAGUACAUCCUCACUAUAGUCUCGUUGAAAUUAACUCAAAAGCUAGACUCUGCAACGUAAACGAUGCCUUUUUUUUUCGCAAAGCAAUGCCAACAAGUUUAUUACACAUACACCCUUUUCUUUAGAAAGGAUCGAUCAAGAGUUGAUUGGUUAUUCGUUUUAAAAACCAAACCCAGGGGUCAUGUCGAGGUUGUUCAGGAUGAGAACAAAGACACAAGUGUGAUAGAUGAAGUAUUUCAAGCUAGUGAGUUGGUUGAACCAUACCGAGUUGCUCCUUCGAUUGACUUAGAAUAAAAUUUGAUUUUUUAUGUUCUUGAUGAUAAUCUUGUUGAUGUUGACGCAGAGGAGUUGAACGUUGUUUUGAGCUCUAGUGGACUAGAGAAUGUUGAUGAAGAAGAUGAUAACCACAUUGAAGAGUGCAAUGAAGCUGAUAACAAUUCAAUUGAGGACGAAGAUGAAAAUUCUGACUAAAUAUGUUGUAAAGCCUUUUUUGUAUAUAAUGUAAUAUUAUGGAUGAUAUUUUGGAACAUGAAAUAUUUAUUUUAUAAUUGAUUGCUCUUGUUAUUGUGUUGUGCGUGUUGUAAGUUUGCAAUUUAAUCGUUUGUUCAGUAGGAUAGACAGACAAUACAAACAAAACAUGCGAAAGCUUGACACGAACACCAACGGAUAGACCGACGGAUUGUGUCCCAUCGGUAUUUUACCUAGAUUUGCAAAAACACUACAGCAUUUUACCACAAUCACCGAUGGCUAUAACGACGAAAUAGGUCCCAUCGAUAUUUUACCAAGAGUUGUAAAACAAUUACAGCCCCUGCCAUAAUCACCGGCGCGUUUCCCGAUGAAAUCACCAAUGGAUGGUGCACAUUCCAUUACGUGCGACUGUCAAACUGCCUGGUCGGUCGCACAGUUACCGAUGGAAUCACCAAUUGACGUGGCAAAUCCAAUGCGCCCAUGCUCUGACAUCUUUUUACCGAUGGAUUUGCUGACAGACUUCAAAAAAUCUGGAGGGAUUUUCAAAAUUUUAGUUCGAAAUUCAAAAAAAUACCGACGGAAUUUAAUGCCACCGCCCAAAAAAAUAUUAUUCUAUGUUUUGUCGGUAAAAUUGCAGUAUAAAACCGACCACCCCCCUCUGCGGUUCAUUUUUUCUCGGCUCCUCUCAUUUCUUCUCUUCUCCUCCUGUAAAUCCUUUGCGUUUCUCAUUGUAUUUUUAUUGUUUUGAUUGUAGUUUUCAACAUAUUAAAAGGUAUGAUUCUCUUUUCUUUAUCUUUGUAUUUUUUUUACUUUUUUUUUAAUUAUGAUUAUUUUUGUGGUGUUCUUUUUUUGUGUAUUGUUUGUAGAUAAAAUCUUGAAAUCAACAUACUAUUAAGGUAAACAUUUUUCAUUCCUAAAGUCUUUAGUUUUUUCUUUUUAUUUGUUCAAUUUAUUUUAUUGUUUGUAUUGCCAUAAUAAUUGAAAAUUUUGUUAAAUUUGAAUUGUUAUUGUUGAAUUUACCUUUAAAAUGUUAAUUGAAAUAUAUAAUUAAAUUUAAUUAGUUUAUCUUAAUUUUAUUAUAUUAUUGCUUGUUAUGUUUUUUAUUAUUUCAAUUAAUUUUAAUUGUUAUUUAUGAAUUUGUAUAGAUGUUAGUUGAAAAUAUGACCGAUGUUGAAUUUCUAUAGAUGUUAGGUUGUAUAGAGUUGAUUUUGCAAUAUUUGUGUAAUUAUCAAUAUUUGUAGGUAUGAAAACUGUGGGUAGUCUCUAAUAUAAGAGAGGUGCUGGUGAAUGUUUUUUAAAUAAUUGAAUUUAAUUAUUUAAUUAUUUGUAUAAAUUUGUGUAGAUGUGUAGAAUGAAAAUUGGCUUGUGGAUAUUAUCAAUAUUUGUAGGUAUGAAAACUGUGGGUAGUCUCUAAUAUAUGGGAGGUGCUGAUGAAUUGUUUUUAAAUAAUUGAAUUUAAUUAUUCAUAUAAAUUUGUGUAGAUGUGUAGAAUGAAAAUUUAAUUAUUUUAUUCUUUGUAUUUUAAUAAUUAUUUGAAAAUUUAGUUUCUUUUAAUUGUUAUUGUUGAAUUUUCCAUGGAAAUGUUAAUUAAAAAUGAAGAAUUAAAUUUCAUUGUUUUAUCUCAAUUUUAUUCUAUUAUUGAUUGUUAUGUUUUUUAUUAUUUUCAUUAAUUUUAAUUGUCAUUUAUGCACUUCUAUAGAUGUUAGUUAAAAAUAUAUAGAUGUUAAAUUUCUAGAGAUGUUAGGUUGUUUAUAAGAUUUUUCAAUGGAGUUAAUUGGUUUGUGGUUAUUGUAAAGAUUUACAGGUUUGAAAACUGUGAGUAGUCUCCAAUAUAGGGGAGGUGCUGCCAAUUUGUUUUUUAAAUAAUCGAAGUUACUUAUGUAAUUAUUCGUAUAAAUUUGUGUAGAUGCGUAGAAUGAAAUUAACAGCAUGUCGUCAGCAGACGGUUGCAUCUAGUUCUUCUAGCAGCGAGGAUGACUUAUCCUUAGGUGCUGAUCACGAAGAGGCAUCUGCGCCAACUUGUGAUGCUGCCUCUUCUAGCGCGGUUUCACAGCGCAGAGGUGGUGUGCCUUCACAGCGGGGUCAAUUCACCCGCAUGUACCAAGCACAAUGAAAGGUUGACAUUUCAAUGUCAGUUUGUUUAGGUUUUAGUUUUUUUUUAUACUUAUAACAUAAUUUAUGAACAACUAAUUAAUAUUUUAUUAAUUUUAUUUAAUUUCAGGUUCACAAACAUUGAGGCUACCCAGACAAUAAUAUCGGCGUUUAAAUCAUCGAUGGAGAUUUCAUUGUUUCAAUGGAGUCAGGUUUCCAGACAUCCUGAGUGGAGACCUAAUAUCGAUGCAUGGUUUUGACGAUUUUAGGUAGGUGUUAACUUUUAAUUUCCAGCUUAUUUUUAAUAAAUUAUUUUUAUAAUUUUAUAUCUUGUACUAUUUUUAUUUUAAAUGAAUUAUUUAUACACAACAUAAAUUUGAGUGGGAUAGCGUGGACAAUGAUGUUGUGAGGAGGGUAUGAGAGAAUCACGCGGCAACUAGGUAACAUCGAAAAUAAUAUAAUUUUUUGUUUUAUAAUUUUAUGUUCUAAAUUCUAAUUUGUUACUAUGGAAGUAGGUUACAGAGAGUUCUGAAAUAUUUACUGCCUAUGCCACAAUCACCGACGGCUAGUCCGUCAGUGAUUACCGUUGAAAAUACAGACGGAAUAAGUCCGUCGGUAAAGUUCUCGCGGAAAAAAAAAUUUUGGCGCGCUUCCCCGUCUGAAAGACCGUCAGUGUUUGGUUUUCUUAUUUCCAACGGAAUUAGCGAUGAAACGGGGAAGCGCGCCAAAAUUAUCUGAUUUUACGAGUUAACUUGUAUAUACAGUAUACAAUUGGGUUAGAAACUUAAAACCCAACAAACUCAGUCAAACUCGGGUAACUCAAACCGAGUUUACGAGUCUGACAAACUCUUCAACUCUAUGUGUAUUUGUUAACUGACAAACUCUAGGAUCUCCAACUCUCUGUUGAUCUCUGUGUUCAUCUCAAACAGAAGAAAAACACCUAGGCUUGGAGGUCCAGCGAAGAUUACUGGAAGCAACACAGUUCCAGCUACAAGAGAUGACGACGCAUCGUGCCACGCUGCGUGCAUCGAGGUUGUUCAAAACCCUCAACAUCAAGUCCCUACCAAACAGAUCUAAUGGGUCUUGAGUUAUUACUUACAGGGAGAGUGAGAAGAUACAGCAAAGGGUGGUGAGUGGAGUCGGGGGAGAGAAGAUGAGAGAGUGCAUCAAGGGCAGUUGAUUUCGGUGAUGAUGCUACAAAUUUCUUGAUCAAACGGUUAGUAGCUGAAGUAUCUCUUGUGGCAACGGUGGGCAUUGGGCAAUACUGCAGAGAAAAAACGCUGGGCUUGUUUGCUAAUUGCUGCUAAAUAUUUAAAGUUGUUCCACUUGGUUGAUAAAUUCAGAGGUGGUGAUGUUGGCUGUGAAAGAUAAGAUAGUGGACCAAUGGUUGUUGACUGUGGCUGAGGUGGUGAUGUUGGCUGUGAAUUGUGAAAGAAAAAGUUUUAUCAUUUAUGUUUUCUUUGUUGUCGUGUUGUGAGAUUGGGAUUCAUUUCUGCCCAUUGCUUUAUGAAUAAAAAACAUCAAUUAAGAAGGAAAGACAUGAGAAAAACAAUGUGGAUUGACUUUGUGAGUAAAGUUAUAGAAACUAAUCCUUAAUUAUUUUUUAAGUUUUAAUUAAUUUUUUUAAUUGUUUUAAUGUAUUAAUAUUAAAAAUAAAUUUUAAAAAAUAAAAAAAUAUAUUAUUUUAAUACAUUUCAAAGUUAAAAACAUUUUAAAAAACAAGUUUAUCGUAUUAUUAAACAAUCGCUAAACCCCACACUAAGUUAUUAUUUACUACUUGACUGAAAUUAUUAAUAUAUAAUUAAUUAAAAUAUUUUUCUUUUGACUUUAUGAUUUUACGAUUUGAGUUUACGAUCCGAGUUUAUAUUGUAUGUUCUGUGUCGUGUCAAAAAAGCAUUUUUGACAACCUUGCCUUGGACUCCAUGAUUCAGCUGAUUUUCUUUCCUUUGAACAUCAAUUCUUCUUCAAUAUCUUUGAAAAACUUAGCAAACUGUUGGAAAAAAAGAAUAAGGUGUAAUAGCUAGUUUAUAAAAACAAAGCUAAAAAACAAGAAAAAGAAUGAGAGAAAUGAUAUUUUAUUUAAAGUUUUCUCAAAAGAUUACAUUUAUAGCUCUUCUCUAUGUUUGUGUAUAAUGCUUAAGAUUACAAAUCUAUUUAUAGGUUUCAAAUCCUAGUGAUUAGUACUUAAAAGUGCAUUUUUAUCAAGGUUUUAUAUCAUCAUUUUGCACUUGAAGUAUCAAUAACUCCUUAACUAAACCAUGUUUUAUAAUAACAUAUAUAAUAAUAUAAGAUACCUUUAAUUUAUGGUAAAUGUUCAUCUUAAAUGCAGGCCUAUCACAUAAAUGAAAGAAUUGAUUGAUGAGUUGAAGUACUGAAAUUGAAAGGACAAAGAGAUGGCAAACUUAGAAAAGAGAUGAUUGAUGCAGUCCAAACUAGAACACUGUUCAGUAAUCGGGUCAUAUCUGGAGCUCUAGAUCUUGGAUUUAGGUCUUCUUUAUAUGGAUGGAAAGCUAAGACAUAGGCCUACAACUUUCAUGUGGAGUCCAAGAGACAAGGCCGUUUUCAAGUCCAAAAUGUAGCAACAACGAAGAAGUCUGAAUCUGUCCUGCAGCCCAGACACUAUUCAGUGUUCAGCCCAUAUCUCGAGUUCUAGAAGUCCAAAUGAUCUCAAAUGUUUACCCUGGAAACAUGAGACAAUUUCCUAGAACUUUCAUGAUUUAAGUAUGUUCAAAUUAUGACGUUAUCAAUGAUGUUUUUGGCAGACAAGAAGAUAAGAAUUGUCACCAAGUCAAGAUGUGGCCAUCCAUUCAUCAAUUAGUCAACAAAUCAAUAGUUUCGAAUUUUGGCCUAUAAAAGGAGGCAUUUACCAUGUAUUUAGGCAUCUUGGUGUUCAGAUCAAGAUCAUGCUCUUGCUCUCUCUUUAUAUUUUGUAAUGCUUAAGUUUUGCUUAUAUUAAUUUCUUGCUUAUGCUUUUCAUUUCCUUUCCUUGUUUAUUUAUGUUUCUUUCUUUUAUUAUGUGUAGCUAAGUUAAUUAUGUCAAGGUGAAAAGGGUACACUAAUGGUGUAAGAAUAAGUAUAAUAUAAACUUAACAUGGACCUUAAUGUUGGAUACUAACAUGCUUUAUAUUUGUUAUCUUGUUCACUUUUAAUACUUUGCUUGUUAAAUGGUUAAUCUAAAUUUAUGUUGUAUAACACUUGGUACAACAAGUACUUGGCACUUUCAUAGCCCAUACUGUAUGGUAUAACCGACACCUGAGCUAUGAAAGGAACUUGAUUUGUUGUUAAGAUAAGUUAUAAUCAUGAAUGCCUGACAACAUUUACAAGUAUUAGCAUUAUUCGAAUAAGAUAACUAAUGUAAUCAUGUUAACAAUUUAUAAUCUGAUUGGAACCUCCUUUGUGUGUGGUUUCCAAUUGAAUAAUAAGAGUUUAUACUAUACUUGUUUGAAAUAUCAUUAGUGGAUCCUCUAACCUUGACAUUUGUUGUUAUCAUUGUUUAAUCCUUACGUUAAUCUUCCAUCUCAAAGUUCUCAUCAACUUCUUCUUCUUCUUCAUCUUUAUUAUUAUCAUUAUUAAUAGUAUUAUUGGUAUCAUUAUUAUUAUUACUACUAUUACUAUCACUAUUAUUAUUAUUAUUAUUAUUAUUGUUAUUGUUAUUAUUGUUACUAUUGUUGUUGUAUUAUUGUUGUUUAUAAUUUAUACAAUUAACCUCCAUGUGGUUCGACCCCGGUCUUGUCGGGUUAUUUAUUACUUCGACACUCCUGCACUUGGGAGAAGACAUCAAUCUUUUGGUCGUGUCAAGUUUUUGGCGCCGUUGCUGGGGAGGUAAAUUCUUGUAGAAAUUAUAGUGUUUAUUUUAUUUUCUCUUUUCACUUUUCAUUGUAUUUAACUUCGUUUAUUUUGUUUUGUUUAUUUUUCUUUUGCUUUCUUCUUCUUUUUAUUCUCUUUUUACACGUGCAUGAGAGUUUGGUCACGUACAUUAAGUGGUAGACUUUGUAGGGUAUCGUCAUCAUUUUCAGAAAAUAUGGUCGAAGAAGAUAACCAAUCGCUUCAUAAUGAGAAUAUUCGGGUUAGAACACUUAGAGACCACAUGAAUCCCACAAGAACAAGUGCACCCUCAUGCAUAGUUUUUCCUCCUGAUGCAUCUCAUUUUAAUUUUAAGCCAGGCAUUAUUCAACUUUUACCUUCUUUUCAUGGUUUAGAUUUAGAAAAUCCAUACUUGCAUUUAAGGGAAUUUGAGGAGGUCUGCAACACCUAUAAUGACUCAAAUUGUAGCAUGAACACCAUUAGGUUAAAGCUUUUUCCUUUUUCAUUAAAAGAUAAAGCUAAAACAUGGCUACAAAAUUUGAGACCAGGAUCUAUUCGUGCUUGGGAUGAAAUGCAACAACAAUUUUUAAAGAAGUUUUUUCUGUCCCAUAGAACAAACUCUUUCAAAAGACAGAUCAUCACUUUCACUCAAAAACCAGGAGAAACAUUUUACCAAUGUUGGGAUAGGUAUCGAGACUUGCUUAAUACUUUCCCUCAUCAUGGUUUUGAAACAUGGAGAUUGGUUUCACAUUUUUAUGAAGGGUUAACUCCUAGAGAUAGGCAAAUGGUUGAAUUGAUGUGCAAUGAAACUUUUGAGGAUAAAGACCAUAAUGAAGCCAUGAAAUACCUAGACUUGAUAGCUGAAAAUGCACAAAAUUAGGACACUACAGGAACUUAUGAGGCACCAAGUAAAACCCAACCUCAUACAUCUAGUGGAGGUAUGUACAACCUUAGGGAAGAUCAUGACCUCCAAGCCAAGUUUGCAUCUUUAGCUAGAAAAGUCGAGGCACUAGAAUUAAAAAAGAGUGGUCAGCUAAAAUCUGUUCAAGACAUUGAGUGUCAAAUCUGUGAAACCAAUGAACAUUCAACCAAUGACUAUCCAACUUUGCCUUCUUUUAAGGAAUGUCUCCAUGAACAAACCCAUGCUUUAAACAGUUUCCAAAGGCCCAAUCAUAACCCAUACUCACAAACAUCCAACCCUGGUUGGAGAAAUCACUCAAAUUUCAAUUGGAAGAGUGUUAAUAAUAAUGCACAAACUUCACAGCCACCGUUUCAAGCACACCAUAAUUUCCAAAAUUCUCAUGGAUAUGCACCUCCUUAUGCUCCACCUCCUAAAAUAAAUCUUGAGGAAACAUUGCAUGCAUUCAUGGAAAAGCAAGAGACAAUCAACACUCAACUUGCUCAAAGCUUGACAGAUUUUAAAGAUACUCUUGCAAAAUUGACAUCUGCUCUUAGUUUUCAAGAGAAAGGUAAGUUUCCAUCUCAACCACAGCAAAAUCCAAAAGGGCAAUACAAUGUGAAUGCAAGUAGUUCUGGAAGCCAACACAUGGAUCAAGCCAAAUCAGUCAUCACUCUUCGCAAUGGUAAGGUUAUUGAAAACCCCAUUCUUGAACCUUGUUAGAAAGAUGAUGAGUCAAUCUCUGAGGGUAAGGAAGAGGUUGAAUCUGAACAUUGUAAAGAACAGACUGAUUCUUCGCCAGCACUUCCAUUUCCUCAUGCCAUGACCAAACAAAGGAAAGUCAAUCACAACUCUGAAAUCUUUGAAACUUUCAAACAGGUAAGGAUCAAUAUACCUUUAUUGGAUGCUAUUAAACAAGUUCCUUCUUAUGCUAAAUUUUUGAAAGAUCUGUGCACUGUGAAGAGAAAACUGAAUGUGAAAAAGAAAGCCUUUUUAGCCGAACAAGUAGGUGCUAUUCUUCAGAACAAUAAUGCUUUGAAAUAUAAAGACCCUGGUUGUCCUACAAUUUCUUGCUUUAUUGGAGAACAUAUAAUUGAAAGAGCUUUACUUGAUCUUGGAGCUAGUGUGAAUUUACUUCCAUAUUCAGUUUUUCAAAGUCUCAAUCUAGGUGAGUUAAAACCAACUUCUGUAACUCUUUUACUUGCCGACAGAUCUGUAAAAGUGCCUAGAGGAAUAGUUGAGGAUGUGUUAGUACAAGUCGUUAAAUUCAUUUAUCCUGUGGAUUUUAUUGUCUUGGACACACAACCUGUUGAAGCAUGUAAUUCAUUUCCUGUUAUUUUAGGACGUCCGUUUCUUGUAACUUCUAAUGCAUUGAUUAAUUGUAGGAAUGGACUAAUGAAGCUAUCAUUUGGGAACAUGACAUUGGAGAUGAAUAUUUUCAACAUUUGCAAGCAACCUGGAGAUGAUAAUGAUUUACAAGAAGUAGAUUCUAUUGAAGAAUUAGUUUAUGAUCAACUUCAAUCUACUUUGAGUAAAAUUAAGUUGGAUGAAUCUGAAGAUUUGCAAAUGAUUUAUUCUCAGGAAGAAAUCACGGAUGAAAAAGACACCGAAAAUGUUGAUACGGAUCUUUUGUCAAGAGUGACAACAGAUUCGACAUCCGACAUCACACCAAUCGACGAUUACUUUCCUGAUGAAUCCUUACUUUCUCUUAGUUCAAUGCCUUGGUUUGCUAAAAAUAUCAAUUUUCUUGCUACAGGAGAUUUGCCAACUCACUAGAGUACCGAAGACAAAGGUAAGUUUUUGAAUGAAGUGAAGAAAUUUUAUUGGGAUGACCCUUACUUAUUCGAAUAUUGUCCUGAUCAAAUAUUUCGAAGAUGCAUUCCUGACAAUGAGGUAAGUAAUGUCAUUAAACUUUGUCAUUCUGAAGCAUGUGGGAGUCAUUUCUCGUCAAAAAAGACUGCUGUGAAAAUCUUACAAAAUGGAUUUUAUUGGCCCACCAUGUUCAAGGACACACAUGCAUUCUGCAAAACUUGUGAAAAUUGUCAAAAAAUUGAUACUGGUCAAAAAGUUUUGCUUUAUAAUUCUCGACUCCAUUUAUUUCCUGAAAAACUAAGAUCAAGAUGGAGCGGUCCAUUUAUUGUGAAACAUGUGUAUCCUUAUGGGGCCCUUGAUAUUGAGAAUCCAAAGAAUGACAAUGUUUUGAAGGAAAAUGGACAUCGUUUGAAAGCUUACUUUGAUAAGUUUCCUAGUGAAAAUGAAUCCAUUGGUUUGAAUGAUCAUGUAGAUAAAGGUUGAUUAUUUUGUUUUUCUCACAUUGUUCUUGUGUUCCUUUUUGGUGUGAUUCUUGUUUUGCUAGUCUUUCUCACCCCGGUUAAAUGGCGGAUAACGGUACUCCGUGACUUUAGUCAGUUCUUUCAGUUUCCUAUAAUAACUGAUAUAUGUAUAUAUUUGUGCAAUUAUUUGCUCUUUCUCUCUUCUUUGAAUCUCUUCUCCAAUUCUCAUUUGAAAAUGGACACCACUCUUGAAAAAUUGAAAAAGUACUUUCCCGCUCUGCCUCAGAAUGCGAUUACAAAAAUUUGUCGUGCUAGGUGUGCAAGAUUGAGGUUGUUAAUGAAUCAUGGAAUUCCUGAAGAUAUCCGUUGGUUGAUUAAAGCAAAGGUCCGAUUAUUAGGUGAGUCCUCCAAUUCUUUCAUCUCAUACAUGCCUGGAACAGGUAAAAGCACUUUUGCAAAGAAACAUCGUGCAAAACGACUGAAAGUCUGUCACAGAUGUGCCAGAUGGAUUUGUAAUGCAACAUGUCGUUCUUUAGGAAUGGUAUCUAUAAAUCGUGAAGAUAAAAUACAAUUCAUUAAGGAUGGCCUGAGUAAGGGGUCUUUAGAUAAUCUUCUAUUAACCCUUGAGACGUAUCCUAGUGGAGAUGUGCAUCGUGUUAUUCAUGAUUUAUGGCCACAAUUCCAUAAGGAACAUGAUCGACUUAGUCUUGAGAAUCUGACUAUAAAAGACCAUGUUUGCCAGUUUUUAAGAAAACUGGAUGGGAAGCCUAUCCCCGACCCAUAGAGGGCGUUUAAGCCGUUCUUGGACGUAAAACCAAGGGAAGAUGUGAGCCACAAUCACAACUACCUGUACAUACACAUGCUUUUUCAAAAUAAAUAAAUAAAUAAAGAGAGAGAGAGAGACAGAGAGAGAGUGAGACUCCAGCUGGCCUACAUAUAGGUGGUAUGAUUGCAUCUUCAAUUUCUCAUCUAUAAAAUCUUCUCUUCCUUCCCCUCAUUUCUACUCAACCCAUACAUUUAACAAAUAUAAAAGUGUGUAGAAAUGGCAGGUUCCUCAAGUCAUCACAUCAGAAAUAUUUGUGUUUUCGGUGGAUCCAGUCCUGGGAAAGAAAAAGAGUUUUUAGAAUCAGCAAAUCAUCUUGGUCAGGUAUUAGCUGAGAGAAAGAUUCAUUUAGUAUAUGGAGGAGGCAGCCUUGGGUUAAUGGGGGGUGUCAAUAGCUGCAUUUUUAGGAGGAAGUCAAGUUUUGGGGGUCGUCCCCAAGGCUUUAGCAAAAGGGGAUAUCAUUGGAAAAACAAUUGGAGAGGAACUACAGGUCUCGACAAUGUUUGAUCGAAUGAAUGCAAUGUUUAACCAUGCUGACGCCUUCAUUGCCUUACCAGGUGGUCUAGGCACAUUGAAAAAGAUCUUUCAUAUUUCCUCUUGGGCCCAACUUCACAUUCACCAUAAACCUAUAGGUCUAUUAAAUGUUAAUGGUUUUUAUGAUAAUUUGUUGUCUUUUCUUGAUCAAGCUGUGGAACAGGAAUUUCUAACAUCUUCGGCACGACAAAUCAUAAUCUCUGCUGCUACUGCUGAACAAUUGAUCAACCAACUACAAUCUUUCACCCCUGUAAUUGAUCCUUCCAUGAGUCGCAUAAAUUGAUCAACUAAGGAAAGCCGUAAAAAGCUUAGAUUGGAUUUGAGCCUUCGUUUGUGAAUCCUCGUGUCUUUUGGUUUUAUUAUUAGCAUAUUAUUUUGUUUUGUUAUUUUUUAUAUUUGUUUAAGUGUGUUUCAGGUUUGUCAGUGUUCGUUGUUUCAGGUGAUGUCUUCUAUACUCUAUCUUUCUAUCUUAUGACAUUGAGGACAAUGUCUCGUUCUGGUUGGGGGGAGAGGGUAGUAGUUGACAUUAAAAAAAAAAAACUAACUUACUAACUGUUUUUGCUAUUAUUAAAACCAUUUGACAAAACUGUUAUUAGGAUGGCAGAGUAAGGAGGAAUUUUAUUGACUCUUGAGACGCAUCUUAGUAAAUAGUCUUAUCAAGGCCUAUCAUAAUACUUCUUGAAAUAUUCAGGUUUACAAACUCUCACAUUGUUAUCACUUGAUUCUGCUCAUAUACUCAUUUAACAAAUAUUCUUAAACCUUCAUUUUCACACACACACUUUAACAUAUGAUUGUGGGUUGCACAUUGGAUUAUUACAUUAUUUAUGUUCUUUUGUUAAAGGUAACAACUAAGGGAAAGGGAUAGUAUAUAAUUUUCAAAAAAAAAAACAAAUCGAUAAUAUUGAUGAUAAUAAAAACGUAGAUAAGUUUGGUUUCGUAGCCUCCCCAACCUAAGCAAUUAAGCUCGAAGGGGUGUUUUAACACCUAAUACCCUAAAGUCAACUGACUUGGGAGCUAUUGGCCCAAAACUUGUUACAUGGGUUAAGGAUAAAAGCUUAAGGGAAUCAAAUAUUGCACUAUCUACGUAUCAGUAUCUACAACCCGAGUCACUAAGCUCGUAGGGGUGUCUCAACACCUAAUGCCCUAAGACCAACUGGUCUGGGAGUCAUUAGCCGAAAGCUCGUUACAUGGGUUAAAGAUGCAUUGUGUUUUAAGUUAUAUAUAUUUCAAAAAAAAAGAAAAAAAAAGAAAAGAAAUAAUAGUAAUAAUAAUCUCAACCCAAGGAAGUUAACCUUAAACAUUAAAACAAAAUAUUGUUUUCUUCCAAUAAAAGCCCCAUCAUCUAUGUUUUUAUACAUUGAGCACAUAACAAGGAAGGUUUAUUAAUAUUUUGUUUAAGAGCUAUUGAGCAGAUAUAUAAAAUUUUUUAGAGUUUGUUUAUCUAGAUAGAGUAAUGGAAGUUGAAUGAUGAAUGCCUUGCUUUGUGGAAUUUGCAAAUUGUUUUUCUAUUUUAACGCUUUGAUUACUAGGGACUAGUAAUAAGCUGGUUGGGGGGUAUGAUUAGUACUUAAAAGUGCAUCAUCAUUUUGCACUUGAAGUAUCAAUAACUCCUUAACUAAACCAUGUUUUAUAAUAACAUAUCUAAUAAUAUAAGAUACCUUUAAUUUAUGGUAAAUGUUCAUCUUAAAUGUAGGCCUAUCACAUAAAUGAAAGAAUUGAUUGAUGAGUUGAAGUACUAAAAUUGAAAGGACAAAGAGAUGGCCAAACUUAGAAAAGAGAUGAUUGGUGCAGUCCAAACUGGAACACUGUUCGGUAAUCGGGUCAUAUCUGGAGCUGUAGAUCUCGGAUUUAGGUCUGCUUUAUAUGGAUGAAAAGCUAAGAUAUAGGCCUAAAACUUUCAUGGAGUCCAAGAUUUAACAAGGCCGUUUUCAAGUCCAAAAUGUAGCAACAACGGAGAAGUCUGAAUCUGUCCUGCAGCCCAGACAUUAUUCAGUGUUCAGCCCAUAUCUCGAGUUCUAGAAGUCCAAAUGAUCUCAAAUGUUUACCCUGGAAAGAUGAGACAAUUUCCUAGAACUUUCAUGAUUUAAGUAUGUUCAAAUUAUGACGUUAUCAAUGACGUUUUUGGCAGACAAGAAGAUAAGAAUUGUCACCAAGUGAAGAUGUGGCCAUCCAUUCAUCAAUUAGUCAACAAAUCAAUAGUUUCGAAUUUUGGCCUAUAAAAGGAGGCAUUUACCAUGUAUUUAGGCAUCUUGGUGUUCAGAUCAAGAUCAUGCUUUUGCUCUCUCUUUAUAUUUUGUAAUGCUUAAGUUUUGCUUAUAUUAAUUUCUUGCUUAUGCUUUUCAUUUCCUUUCCUUGUUUAUUUAUGUUUCUUUCUUUCAUUAUGUGUAGCUAAGUUAAUUAUGUCAAGGUGAAAAGGGUACACUAAUGGUGUAAGAAUAAGUAUAAUAUAAACUUAACAUGGACCUUAAUGUUGGAUACUAACAUGCUUUAUAUUUGUUAUCUUGUUCACUUUUAAUACUUUGCUUGUUAAAUGGUUAAUCUAGAUUUAUGUUGUAUAACACUUGGUACAAUAAGUACUUGGCACUUUCAUAGCCCAUACUGUAUGGUAUAACCGACACCUGAGCUAUGAAAGGAACUUGAUUUGUUGUUAACAUAAGUUAUAAUCAUGAAUGCCUGACAACAUUUACAAGUAUUAGCAUUAUUCGAAUAAGAUAACUAAUGUAAUCAUGUUAACAAUUUAUAAUCUGAUUGGAACCUCCUUUGUGUGUGGUUUCCAAUUGAAUAAUAAGAGUUUAUACUAUACUUGUUUGAAAUACCAUUAGUGGAUCCUCUAACCUUGACAUUUGUUGUUAUCAUUGUUUAAUCCUUACGUUAAUCUUUCAUCUCAAAGUUCUCAUCAACUUCUUCUUCUUCUUCAUCUUUAUUAUUAUCAUUAUUAAUAGUAUUAUUGGUAUCAUUAUUAUUAUUGCUACUAUUACUAUCACUACUAUUAUUAUUAUUAUUAUUAUUGUGAUUGUUAUUGUUAUUGUUAUUAUUUUUACUAUUGUUGUUGUAUUAUUGUUGUUUAUAAUUUAUACAAUUAACCUCCAUGUGGUUCGACCCCGGUCUUGUCGGGUUAUUUAUUACUUCGACACUCCUGCACUUGGGAGAAGACAUCAAUCUUUUGGUCGUGUCACCUAGCUAAUCAAGAAAUUAAAAUAUUCAGAGGAAAUCCUAUUCUAAUAAGGAAUCUAACAUUCUAAUUAAAAAAGGAUUUUAAUAAACUAGUUUAUUACAAAUCCUUCUACAUCAAGGAUUUCUAUAUUAACUAGAAUUCCUCCUUUAACUAAUAUUAAAAUUCUUAUAAACUCUAAAUCCUAUUAGCCUAAAUCCUAGUUGAUAUUGAAUUUCAACACUCCCUUUCAAUAUCAAUUGUCGCCAUUCUUCUCCCAGCAUAUCUCUCAUCUUUGCAAAAACAUCAUAUUUGAGUGGCUUUGUGAAAAUAUUUGUGACUUGGUCUUGGGUCUUCAAAUACUUAACUUCAACUUUCUUGUUUGCAAUGCAAUCUCUUAGAUAAUAAAAUCUUGUGUCAAUAUGCUUGCUUCUGUCAUGAAAAACUGGAUUUUUAGCUAAUGCAAUGGCUUAUGAGUUGUCCACAUAAAUAUUUGUAGGCUUUCUUGUGGCAUUCACAACUCCUUUAAUAAUCUUCUUAGCCAUAUGGAAUGACAAACACAUGUUGUAGUAGCUACAUAUUCAGCUUCACAAGUAGAUAAUGUGAUAAUAGAUUGCUUCUUUGAACUUCAUGUGAAAGUUGUGUCUCCCAUGUAGAAAACAAAACCUGUAAUGCUCUUUCUAUCAUCCAUAUCUCCAGCCCAAUUACUAUCACUAUAACCCACAAGAUCAAAACUAUUAGAAUAACAGUAAAAUAAGCCAAAAUCUAUGAUACCUUUGAUGUAUCUUAGAAUUCACUUCAAGGCUUUGAAGUGAGUCAUAGUUGGUAUCUCCAUAAACUUACUCACAAGUCCUACUCCAUAAAGAAUAUUCGGACGAGUGCAUGUCAAAUAUCUCGAACUCCCAACUAAGCUCUUAAAUAUUGUAGAGUUUAUCUUCUCCCCUUCAUCAUUCUUUGACAUCUUCACUCCACACUCGACUAGAGUAUUCUCUUUUGCACAAUCCGCUAUUUUGAAUUUCUUGAGAAUCUUCCUUACAAAUUUCUCUUGAUUAAAAAAGAUUCAAUAUUAUCUUGUUUGAUCCCAAUCCUAAGUAGUAGGACAUGAUACCAAUAUCCGUUUUCUCAAGCUCCUUGAUCAUUGCUUGCUUGAAGUCUUUAAACAUCUUUGGAUUAUUUCUUAUGAAGAUUAAGUCAUCUACAUACAAACAUACAAUAAGUGUAUCACCACUCUCUUUGAUCUUUACAUAGAUAACAUAUUCAUGGGGCCACUUAACAAAUCCAUUCUUUAGGAAAUAGCCAUCAAUGUGACUAUACCAAGCCCUUGGGGCUUGCUUCCAUCCAUACAAGCCCUUAUUUAACUUUAAAAGCUUGUCUUCGUGUCCCUUUACUUCAUAACAUAUAGGUUGCUCAAUGUAGAUCUCUUCUUCAAUAAAAACAUUAAGAAAGGCUGAUAUUACAUCCAUUUGAUAUAUUCUCUAUCUAUGUUAGGCAGCAGUGCCAAUGAUUAAUCGAAUGGUCUCCAAUCUAGCAAAAGGAGCAAAAACCUCUUCAUAGUCAAUCCCAUGCUUUUGACUAUAGCCUUUUUCCACGAACCAUGUCUUAUAUCUCUCAACAUCUUCUUUGACAUUCUUCUUUUCUUUGUAGAUCCAUUUGGCACCUAUUGGCUUCUUUUCAUUUGGUCUAGGAACCAAUCUCUAUGUGUAAUUCUUUUAAUUUGAUGCAAUCUCCUCAUCCAUAGCAAUUCUCCAUUUUAUAUCUUUUAUUGCUUCUUCAAACACUACAGUAUCACUUGUAGUAAGAUGACAAUAUAGUGUUACAUGAUCAAUAUGAUUAGUUACCUCAUAUAAGUCAUCAAGGCUCCUCAUAUUUCUUGGUGGAGUGCCACUACUUGAGCUUUUAUUAGAAGAAGAAGAAGUUAAACACAUUGGUGUUUAUGGAGGUGUGACUAUAGGUUCUUGAUGAUUUUCAUAUCUUUCUUCCUCUUCAUCAAGAAUCGGUAAGAAGUCAUAUUUCUCACCAUCAUUUACCUUCCAAUCUCAUGCUACUUCUUCAUUGAACUCAACAUCUUUACUAAUCACCAUCUUUCCUUCAUUAGGGUUGUAAAGCUUGUAUCCUUUGGACUUUUGGUUAUAGCCCACAAAUAUCAUCUUUUUGCUUUUGCCAUCUAGCUUGGUCCUUACUUGAUCAUCUUCAUGCACAUAACCAAUGCUUCCAAAAACUUUCAAGUGAGAGACAUUUAGUUUUCUUCUACUCCAUGCUUCUUUUGGAGUCAUGUCAUUUAAGUUUAUAGUAGGACAUCUAUUUGACAAGUAGAUAGCAUAAUCUACAGCUUCAGCCCAAAACUCUUUAGGCAUUUUCUUCGUUUUGAGCAUGAUUCUCGCCAUGUUGAGAAUGCUUCUAUUCUUUCUCUCCGCCAUGCCAUUUUAUUGUGGGGAUCUAGGCACCAUUAGGAAUCUCUUUAUACCAUUAUAUUCACAAAACUCAUUAAAAUUAUUAGAAUAAAAUUCACCCCCUAUUCGUCCUAAGUGAUUUUAUAGAAUAACCAUUCUUCUUUUCAACUAAUACCUUAAAUUUAUUAAAAUAAAUAAACAUAUUAGACUUUUCUUUUAAGAAAUAUACCCAAGUGUUUCUACAAUAAUCAUUAAUAAAAAAUAGAAAAUAUAAAUUUUUACCAAACAAGCAUGAUUUGAUAGGACCACAAACAUCGACAUGUAUUUCUUGUAGGGGUUGAUUUGCUCUUGAUAUAAACUAUUUUAGAAAACUCAUUGUUAAGAUCACAAUUUCUUGUAAUGAAAUUGCUUACCCACUAAACAUCCUUCACACAACUGAUUUGGAUGUAUAAUAUAUGGUAGACCCUUCAACAUCUCCUUUUGUGCCAUCAUCUUCAAGCUAUCAAAGUUUACAUGCCCAAGUUUCAUAUGCCACACAUGCAUUUAGGUAUUUAGGCACAUCCGUCUCUAUGUUUAACAAGAGCAUUCUAUUCUUUGUCAUGGAUACCUUUACAAUCAUAUCUCCUUUAGGGGGCAUUUGUUUGAUGGAAAACGGUUUCCUGGAAACCACUUUCUAAACUUUCCUGUAUUUGUUUGUUAUUAGAAAAGUUGGUCAAUGGAAAACACUUUCUACUCAAAGGAAAAUUUGGCUUGAUUGCCAGGAAAGUGUUUUCCUUUUAUUUUGGGCGGAAAACACUUUUCGGAAGUUAUGAAAAUUUCAGAAAUGUCAUAUUAUUUGCUGAUUAUAUAUAUUUUGUUUUGAUUUUUUUUUUCAAUUUCAUCUAUUAGAAUUUAAUUUUUAUAUUAACUUUGGUCCUCAUUUUUAUAAUUGUUAUUUGCUUUUCCCUUAUCAUUUUUUAAUUAAAAUUUUUUAUCUAUCAAAUUUGAUCCUCAUUCUUUUUAUUGUUACUUUUUUAUUUGAAAUAAUUUAUGAAAUGGUAAUUGUUAUUAUUUUAAUUUCUUCAUCUUUCAAUUUUUUUAUUUGUUAGAUUUGAUCUCUAUUAUUUUGAUUAUUAUUUAUUUUAUUUGAGAUAAUUUAUGAAAUUAUAUUUUUUUUCAAUUUCAUUCACUUUCAACUUUUUAAUUUGUAAGAUUUAUUCCUCAUUAUUUUAAUAAACUUGAAAAAAAAAUAUAAUAAGUUAUUUUCCAGCUCAUUUUCCAUGACAUAACCAAACACUGGAAAGUGUUUUCCAACUUAUUUUUCAUUACAUUACCAAACAUCGGAAAAUAAUUCACUUUCCUGGAAUUCACUUUCCAAAAGAAAACUACUUUCCAGCAAACAAACGGGGCCUUAGUGUCAAGUAAUGUCAAAGUACGAUCUUUCAUCUUAAUCUUAUACCCCUUCUCUAACAAUUAUCCUAAGCUCAAUAUGUUGCUUUUCACCAUUGGUAUAUAAUAGACAUCACCAAUAAAUUGAUGACUUCCAUCUUUCAAUUUAAUCAAAAUUAUACAUUUUCCUUUGAUGGCAACCUUAGAAUGAUCUGCAAAGGUGACAUUAUCUUUAAUUGCUUCAUCAAGCUUCAUGAAUUUAUCUUUGUCUCCACACAUGUGAUUACUGGCUCCAUUGUCUAGAUACCACAUGUUCUCUUUAUCUUGCAUUCUUUCAUUAUACACUAGUAGUAGAGUGGCUUUCUUCUCUUCUUCUAUCACAAGAUUUGCAAUCUUCUCAACCCUCUUGGUUGGACUCCAACAAUCCUUAGCAUAGUGACCUAUCUCCACACAUCUGAACAUUGGUGAAUGAUUGUUAAUGCUAGUUGAUCUUUCCUUUGUGCUUUUUGCACGGUUUCCUUUUGGGCUAAAGUCAACGUUGCUUCAUCUAUAGGCUCUUCAAAGCAUUUUUCAACUAUCUCUCAUACAUCUUGGGAACCUAGCCAGGCCUUUACUUGAAUACACCAAGUUUGAUAGUUGUUCUUCGUUAACCUAGGACAUUGAAGUGGAAGGUUUGAAUAGACCAUGUUAAAUAAUCACACCUAAGCUCUGAUACCACUUGUUUGAAAAGAAUAAUAAGGUAUGGUAGCUAAUUUAUAAGAACAAAGUUAAAGAACAAGAAGAAGAAUGAGAGGAAUGAUAUUUUUAUCAAGAGUUUUCUCAAAAGAUCACCUUUAUAACUCUUCUCUAGCAUAAGAAUUAUGUUGAUGAUGUAAGAUGAAUAUAUAUGUGAUUUGUAUUUAAUCGUAAUGGUUGUGACCAUAAUAUAGAUAUGAAUGACUAUAAUGACAAUAGUCCAUAUAUAUAAAUUAGAAUUUACCACAACAAUGGAAAUAAAAAAUAGAAAAAAUUAUAUAAAUCAGUGGCAAUAACAAAUUGUUCUAUUGUUUAUUAAAUGUGUUUGGAAUAAAAAGAAUUGAGUUAUGUGAUUGGAAUGGAAAGAUGCAUAGUGUUGCUACCCAAUUUUUGACCUAUGUUUUGAUAAAUUUUCAAAAAAAAAAAAACAGAGAGAGAGAGAGAACAUGUGGCGAUAACAUAAAGCAUCAAGGCUAAUAUUAAGAAAGCAAUAUGUCAAGGAGAUAAUUACUGAAUCAUAUAUAAUUACUGCAAAAUAAAAUACCAUAGAUAUAGGAUUUGCUUCGUGCUGGUUAUGGAAAAUAAUCACUACAAUAUAAAAUACUAUAUAUAUAGGAUUUGUUGGUGCUGGUUAUAGAAGACAAUCUCUGCAAUAAUUAUUGCAAUAUUUCCUUGAAUAGCAAGUGUAGAGAUUUUCUAUAUAAUUGAACCUCCAACCAUAUACAAAAAGGGGGGAGAAAAUUUACAGAGAAACAAUUUUAAGACAAAAAAUGAAGGCAACCACAAAACCCUAAACCUAAUUUUCUCUCCCAACCAAGAAAAGCAGCCACCCUGACUUUGAAAAGAAAACAGAGUGAGAAGAGAAAGUAAAAACAGAGAGAAGAGACCAAAAACAGAGGGAGGAGAAAGUAGAGAGAGACACAAAGAAAGAGUGAAGAAAAAAACCGAGAGAACCAGCAUAAGGUUGAGGUGAGAGAUAUAGAAAAACAGCGAGAACGAGAGGGAAGAUUAUCUCCAGUCUAUCUUACAUUGCAAAACAGGAGUUCACAAAAUCUAAGGGUCUUUUAAAACUCCUAAUAACAAAAAGAGGAAGGCUUUCUUUGGUUUUCAGAGGCCGGCAAAGGCUUUUCCAUCUAUCUGAACUUCAUCUUUUGCAUUCAGACAAGUAAGAUCUGCAGGUUAGUUUCCAUUUUUUUUCUUCCUUGCUAUAUUCAAACUUGGCAUCUGUUGUUUUUUUCUGUUCCAAACCUGUUCCUUCCUUUUACUCUGGAUAUUCGGUUCUGGUUGGACAAAAGGUCAUAUGCUUGCCCAUGGUUCAUGCAUGGCUUAGAGUUUAGAUUUUUUUUGUUCAUGUUAAAGUUACAUUUCUUUUCUUAUUCUCUUGCCGUGAGGAACCGUGAGCUUUAAAGGCUUUCAUUAUCUUUCCCUUUCUUUGUUCGAGUGUCUCUUUGCCUUAGGAUGUUGCAUAGUUUGAGUUUGGCUCCUAAAUAAAGCUCUAUCUAGAAAGUGAAACACAAGGGAAGUCCCUUUACAAUCAAGGCGGUCUUUUAGCAGACUUUUGGAUCACGUUUUCAUUUCUAUUGUUUUUUCUGAAAAAAGAGCUAAUUGGCCGUUGGUUUGUGUUUGUAGUUCUUUAUUUGCUUCAGUAUAAAGGUAUUGCUCAAGUCGUUUCCUUUUGCAUGAGACUAAUGAGUAUGGUAGUAUUAAAGAUCGGAAAAGAGGAUAGGUGUUGAGUCAUGGUUACUGUUAUAGGUUUUUGUUUUCAGAAUUAUGGUCUUCUUGUGCAUACAGACUUGCUAUCCUUUUUCAAUUAUAGGAUUUCGGUUUAAAUGGACGGACUGACUCUUGUGUGAUUAAAGUUUGGCUUUGGGAAAUUUAUUAUAUAUAUAUAUAUAUAUAUAUAUAUAUAUAUAUAUAUAUAUAUAUCAAUGUUUUGGGCCUUUUGCAAAUUUUAGAAUGGAUGUGUAUGGCUUGUUUUUCUUUUUUGUGAUGCUUGUGUUUUGACCAAAUAUAAAAAAUGUUUAUGUAUGUUGCAUACGGCCAAUACCCUAAUAUAUAUUGAAUAUUCCUUUAAAAAAAACAAAUAUUUCAAGUUUUAAAAGAAAAUGUGUUUUUAUCAUGGAUUUCUUAAACAAAAAAAUUGUUUUCUUGCAUUCUGGAUUUUAUAACAUGUUUGAAAAACUCCAAAGGGUGUUGGCCAAUAUUCCAAAAAAUAUAAGAAUCUUAUUUUUUGGGGAAUUCAUCUAUUAUUCACUGUUAAUGUUUGGAUAAAGAAAUCUCUAAGGGAUGAAUAUCCAAAAUAUUAUUGGGAAUAAUUUGUUAUUAUUCACUGUUAAUAUUUGGAUAAAGAAACUCCAAGUGGUUAAUAUCCAAAAUAUUUUUCUAGGAAUAAUAAGUUAUGAUUAUUUAUCACACAUCCUUGAAAGAAGUCUCGAUUAUAAUUGGGGACAUUUCAAUUUUUGACUCCACGGUUUACGAGCCGUGAAAGUAUGAAAUACUAAGAAAAAAUAGGCUUCUAAAGCACCUUGAAUUUCCUUAGAUAUCUAACUUAGUUUUUUUGUUUCUCUUUCCUGUGAUUUACGAGUCGCAAACACUUGAAAUACUAAGGGAAAAACGAGCUCUUAAGCACAUUGAAUCUCCUUAGUUCUGUCUUACCUAUCUCAUAAAUCAUAGGUUAUAAAUUAAGUCUGAAUCAAACUCAGAUUUCAAGAGAUCUGUAUUGGUUCUUCUAGGUACUUUGUAGGCAUAUCUAAGGGUGUGAUCCAUAUUUACUAAGGGUUCUUUCUUUUUAGACUUUGAGUCCAAGUUUGUUCAUCAUAACAAACUUAUCCUAGGAAAACUAAUGGGAUUAGAUGUCAAAGGAAAUACCUAUACCUACACAUUUAAUGCCAGCAGAUUCUUUGCCUAUUUAUUCUUUCCUUUAUUGGGAUAUAUUAGCUGUAGGUUAGCUGUUUCUAAGGGCUAAAGAUCAGCCUAUAUUAUUUCGUGUACUAGCCUGUAUUAUUUCCUGUUGUAUUGUUUCCUUUCUUAGCUUGUAAAUUCUACUUAUAUAAUGGGCAAUUCUCAAUAAGAAGACAUACAAUUUUAUUCAAAAGACUCUAAACUGUUAUGGUAUCAGAGCUACAACUCUGAAUUAUUAUUUGCUAUCAAGUUUCUUAGUCUCGGUUAUUCUUGAUCAAAGUUCUCUUGACCUCAUGUCUUCAGAUAAGUCUGAUGUUUCUAUGAUUCGUUUUAAUGCCAAGAACUACUCUGCUUGGGUGUUUCAUUUCAGGAUUUUUGUCAAAGGUAAGAAGCUGUGGGGAUAUGUUGAUGGAAGAAACCCAACUCCUGAGAAAAUCAAAGACAUAGACCAGCACGCCAAGUGGGAAGUCAAGGAUGCUCAAGUUAUGGCUUGGAUCUUAGGAUCUGUCAAACCUAACAUCAUCUUGAAUCUUCGAUCCUCUUAGACUGCAGCUCAGAUAUGGACUUACCUGAAGAAAUUCUAUAGCCAAUAAAACACUGCUCGUUGGUUUCAUCUUGAACAUGAAUUGAGCACUCUUCAACAUGAUAGUCUUUCUAUCUCUGAUUUUUACUCUAGAUUCAUUAAUCUUUGGAUUGAAUACACUAAUAUAGUUUAUGCUGGCUUACCAUCCGAAGGUCUUAGCUUUGUUCAAUCUGUUCAUGAAACUACUCAACGGGAUCAGUUUCUAAUGAAACUGAGACCUGAAUUUGAAGGCACCAAAUCCAACAUGAUGAACCGAGAAUUUGUUCCCUCCUUGGAUACAUGCCUUAGUGACCUCCUUUGCGAAGAACAACGCCUUCUCACUCAAACCACCAUGGAACAAUGACGAUCUACAUCUAUUCUUGUGGCCUAUGCAGCACAAGGUAAUCCAAGAGGUAGAGAUAUGAGCACUAUUCAAUGUUUUUGUUGUAAGGGAUUUGGCCAUUAUGCUACAAAUUAUCCUCGAAAAUUCUGCAACUAUUGCAAAAAAGAUGGCCAUAUCAUCAAAGAAUGCCCUACUCGACCUCCCAAGAAAAUAGAGACAGCAUAUACCGUCUUAGUUGGCUCUUCACCUCUGACAUAAAGUGCUCCUACUCCUGUCCAAUCCGUGACUCCUGCCAUGAUUCAAUAAAUGAUCAUUUCUGUAACAACCCGGCUUUCUAAGCCCAAAACAAUAGUAAAUUUUUUUUUUAUAUAUAUAUAUAUUUAAUACACAUGGUGCCGGUAAUCAAAGAACUUGAAUCCUCACAUCAUCAAAAUACAAUCCAUACAAUCAACAGUUCAUUCAAAAGCGAAUCUUACACAAACACAUAAUAUUAAGGUUGCAUGAUUUGAAGUUCAUAUUAAAAAUAUAUAUACAUGGACAUGAGUUUGCACUCUUAUACUUCUAAUAGCCAUCACAAUUUUUAAACAAAAAGGAUCUAAUAAAAGUUAUACAUUCAGUACAUUGAUCCCUACAAAAUACAUUGUGAUUUAGAAUGCAUCUACUUAAUUCCUUGCAAAAGUAGGUUCCCGUGUAUCGGGUAUCCUAGACAUCUCGUUGGUGUGACGUCCCUGCAGCAGUACAAAACAUUUAAGAGAAAACAAAUACUUAAUAAUAAUAAUAAUGGUAACUAACGGCCUAGCAAUUAAAUAAGCAUUAACAUUUAUAAUUUCUUCAUGUAUUUGAUGUAACAAUUAGUAGUACAUAUAGAUACACAAGUUUUCAAAUGCCAUUCGCCGAAACUAGUCGUUUAUUUGUCCCGGCUAUCCAUCCGGAUUCCAUAGCGAUAGCUGCGUCGCUGCCAAUCCUAAAAUCAGCAGCCGAAACUACAUCGCUGCCGAUCAAGGAAUCGGCAGCGAAACUGGGUCGCUGCCGAUGUCUGUAUCGGCAGCGAAGACUGCAUCGCUGCUGAUCCAGAAUCGGCAGCGAAUACUGUGUCGCUGCCGAUCCAGAAUCGGCAGCGGAACUGCGUCGCUGCCGAUCCACAAUCGGCAGCAAAAUCAUCCCUUUUUAACCCGGCCAUCCAUUCGGACGCCAUUAGCCAAAGCUAAUCAUUCUUUGUCCCGGCCAUCCAUUCGGAUGCCAUUAGCCGAAGCUAAUCACUCUUUGUCCCGGCCAUCCGUUUGGAUGCCAUUAGCCGAAGCUAAUCAGUCCUUCAUCCCGGCCAUCCAUUCGGACGCCAUUAGCCAAAGCUAAUCAUUCUUUGUCCCAGCCAUCCGUUUGGAUGCCAUUAGCCGAAGCUAAUCAGUCCUUCAUCCCGGCCAUCCAUUCGGAUGCCAUUAGCCGAAGCUAAUCACUCUUUUAUCAACAAUUAAGCGUUCGACAAUUUAAUAUCGGUUCUAACAAUAUGGUAGUACUCAAGUUAAAAUAUUCCAAGAUUCAACGUAUGAAAAAGAAAGGUGCAAGUCACCUACCUGCUCCACCUGUGGGUCGUUCCUGUCUUGAUGAUGGUCCAAUCCCGACCGCACCACCUAAGACAUCAAUGGUCACAAAUCAGCACAGUUGUAUUUAUUUUAUUUUUGAAUCACAUUCAUCAUCACACUUAUUUCUAUAGUUCAUAUGUUCACAUUCAAGUGUUCCCUAUUUUACACCAUCACAUCAUGAAAUUGUUAUUAGCAUUUAAGUCAUUCCUGCCUAGGAGGCUUAUUGUAGGAAUCGGCAGCGAGAACUGGUUCGCCGCAGGCUGCCAGUUCGGCAGCGAGAACUGCACCGCUGUUGGCGCCACAGUUUCGCUGCACAACGCACAACUCGGCAGCGAAUAUCACUUCGCUGCAGGACGUUCAGCUGCGGCAGCGAAACAGAAUUUCGCUGCGCAACACACAAAUCGGCAGCGAAUAUCAAAUCGCUGCAGGAGGUUCAGUUGCGGCAGCGAAACAGAAUUUCGCUGCGCAACACAUAAAUCGGCAGCGAAUAUCAAAUCGCUGCAGGAGGUUCAGUUGCGUCAGCGAAACAGAAUUUCGCUGCGCAACACACAAAUCGGCAGCGAAUAUCAAAUCGCUGCAGCAGGUUCAGUUGCGGCAGCGAAACAGAAUUUCGCUGCGCAACACACAAAUCGGCAGCGAAUAUGAAUUCGCUGCAGGAGGUUCAGUUGCGUCAGCGAAAUAGAAUUUCGCUGCGCAACACACAAAUCGGCAGCGAAUAUCAAAUCGCUGCAGCAGGUUCAGUUGCGGCAGCGAAACAGAAUUUCGCUGCGCAACACACAAAUCGGCAGCAUCAAUUUCAGCACAAUCAUCACAGCAGAACACAUUAAUUCCAGCAACAAACAUCACAGCAGAACACAUUAAUUCCAGCAACAAUCAUCACAGCAGAACACAUUAAGUCCAGCAACAACAUCACAGCAGAACACAUUAAUUACCCCCUAGUUAAAGCCAGCCCUCUACCAUGAUUUGUUAGAUGUUCUGAAAUUGACUUUAUUUCACUUUUGUUUGCUUGUUCUCUUGGUUAAUUUCAGCUUCCUUCACAGCUGGCUUAGGUCUUAGAUCAAUUCUUUUCUUAGGGUUUUUCUUCUUCAUUUUCGUUUUUGAUCUUACGGGGGAGAGGAAGAGAGUUUCAUGACCCAUACCUUCUGAAUUUAACUAAGUUUGAGGAAGGUUGGACACUAUUCAGCUGCUGGUUCUCCUCCUUCUUCUUCCUCUCACGUUUUCCAGCUCUCUUUUUCCUCUCCUCUAUGCAGCUGCCCACUCCUCUCUCAAGGUCUCAUCUCUCCCUCACAAGUUCACAAAGUAAUCUCUACUGGUCUGAUUCACGUUUCUGUUGUGAAAGGGGAAGGGAAGAACGGCAUGCAGCUGCUGGAUUUGGAAGAAGAUGGGUCAUUCUCUCUCCCCUCUUUGUAUUUAUACUACCCAUCCAAUGAAAUGGGUUGUUUGGGGGUUGGUUUAGGUGUGUCCUUAUCCUUGUUUGGUUUAUCUAAAAUCAGUUUUACCCCUCCCUCCCAGCUCUGCGUCACUGUUCAUUGAGAAAUCGGCAGCGAAAACUGCAUCGCUGCCGAUUUCUGCAUCGGCAGCGAAAACUGCAUCGCUGCCCAGUCCAGAAUCGGCAGCGAAAACUGCAUCGCUGCCCAGUCCAGAAUCGGCAGCGAAAACUGCAUCGCUGCCCAGUCCAGAAUCGGCAGCGAAUACUGCAUCGCUGCCGAUUUCUGCAUCGGCAGCGAAAACUGCGUCGCUGCCGAUUUCUGCAUCGGCAGCGAAAACUGCAUUCAUCAUCAUCUCUCUCUCUCUAAAUAUAUAUAUAUUUUCCUUUGGGUGUUUACAAUUUCUGCAUUUUCAGCUUUGGGACUCUCAGGUAAAAAUCUUUCUACAUCAUCUUCUUGGUAUUUUGAUUCCGCAGCUUCCAAUCAUAUGACAAACAAUGCUGCUUCUCUUACCAAUGUCAACGAAUAUUUUAGAAAUCUCAAAAUUCAUAUUGUUGAUGGCAGUCAUUUACCUAUCACGGCCACUAGUGAUGUUUCUCCUUCUCUCACUAAUGUUUUUGUAUCACCUGGUCUUACCACCAAUCUUGUGUCUGUCGGUUAGUUGGUUGAAAAUGAUUGUAAACUGGAAUUUUCCAAAUCUGGUUGUGUUGUGCAGGAUCAACAGUCAAGGAGAAUGAUUGCGAGGGGGCCUAAAGUGGGACGUCUUUUCCCUCUUUAAUUUCCUUUGUCUCCUUUUUCUUUGCCCUUUGUCACUUGUAAUUCUGCUCAUGUAGAUUACCAAGUGUGGCAUAAACAUCUCGGACAUCCAAACUCUAAUGUUCUUCAUGAUUUAUUGAAAUCUGGUUUUCUUGGAAAUAAAGAUUCACCAUCUCUUAGUGCUGUUCAGUUUGAUUGCAAUUCUUGCAGGCUUGGCAAAAGUAAAACUCUACCCUUUCCUAUUCACACACCACACAUAGUCCAACCUUUCGAUUUGAUACAUAAUGAUGUGUGGGGUAUGGCACCAGUCACUUUUCAUGCUAAUUACAAAUACUUUGUCACUUUUAUUGACGAUUAUAGCCAUUUGACAUGGAUUUAUUUCCUUCAUUCUAAAGACGAAGUAUUUUCUGUUUUUAAGAUUUUUCAUGCACAUAUCCAGAACCAAUUUUCAGCCCAAAUCAAAAUCCUUCGUUCUGACAAUGGGGGUGAGUAUAUGUCUAAUUUGUUUCAAGACUUCUUACAGCAUCAUGGCAUCAUUUCUCAACGGUCUCGCCCUUCAACACCUCAAUAAAAUAGGGUGGCUGAAAGAAAGAAUCGUCAUCUUCUUUAUGUUGUUCGUACUCUCCUAUUAGAGUUGUCUAUACCUUCUCGUUUUUGGUGGGAAGCUCUCUCCACUGUUGUCCACCUCAUCAACAGAUUGCCUUCCCCCACAUUGAACCACGACACUCCUUUCCUCAGGUUGUUUGGUCAUCCUCCAACUUAUUCCAACCUCCGUACCUUUGGUUAUGUCUGUUAUGUGCAUCUUCAUGCACAUAAACGCACAAAACUCACGGCCCAGUCAAUUCAAUGUGUUGUUCUAGGAUAUUGAGUACACCAGAAAGGUUUUCUUUGCUAUGACCCAAAUCUGCGUCGCAUUCGAAAAUCUAUAAAUGUGAUCUUUCUAGAAAACCAAUAUUUCUUUUCUGUGCAUCAGGAUCCUGUUCCUCCUUCAUUUUCUGUUUUGCGUAUGUUUACUAACUCUUUUGUAGCUCCAGUCCCUUCUAAACCUCUCCUAGUAUAUCAAAGAUGUUCAUCUGCUACUUCCCACCAGCCUCCAGACCCUCUCAAGCCCCCUCACGUUCCUUCCUCGAUUACUGCUCCUAUUCUAGCAACUACAACCCCCUGUCAUCGAUAAAGUACUCAGGCUCGUAGACCCCCUGAUAGGUAUGGUUACUCUCCUUCCUCAUCUUUCACAACCACCUUGUCUUCUACUUUUCUUCCUUCAUCUUAUAAACAGGCAAUUGAGCACGAGUGUUGGCGAAAAGCCAUUGAAACUGAACUUCUCACACUUGAAGAAAACCAAACCUGGGAUGUUGUUCCAUGCCUCUCAUCUGUGAAUCCCCUUGGCAGUAAAUUUGUGUUUUCUAUCAAGCGUCGUUCUGAUGGGUCCAUCGACCGUUACAAGGCUCGGUUAGUGGCACUUGGCAACAAACAGGAAUAUGGUCUUGACUAUGAUGAGACCUUUGCACUAGUCGCUAAAAUGACCACUGUCCGAACUAUACUCGCCCUUGCUGCAUCUCAAUCCUGGCCCUUACAUCAAAUGGAUGUCAAGAAUGCCUUCCUUCAUGGUGAUCUCAAGGAAGACAUUUACUUGAAACUUCCUUCUGGUAUAUCCACUUCCUCAUCUAAUGAUGUUUGCAAACUGAAACGUUCUUUGUAUAGUUUGAAGCAAGGAUCGAAAGUAUGGUUUGACAAGUUUCGAUCCACGUUGCUGGGUUUCUCCUUCACUUAAAGUCAAUAUGACUCCUCUCUCUUUCUACAAAAGACAUCCAUGGGUAUCGUUGUCCUCCUUGUUUAUGUGAACGAUAUCGUCAUCACUGGCUCUGACUUGGAGGCAAUCUCUGCGAUUCAGACUUUGUUGCAUUCUACAUUCCACAUGAAAGACCUCGGUUAGCUCACCUAUUUUUUGGGCUUGGAAGUGCAUCAUCAACCUCACGGUCUCUUCCUGCAUCAGCCAAGUAUAGUCAGGAACUAGUUCAGUUAGCCGGCCUCACCAACACUACUUCGGUUGACACUCCCAUGGAACUUAAUGUGAAAUAUCGUUGUGACGAAGGGGAGCUUUUUGAUGAUCCUACUACCUAUCAGAAGCUAGUUAGUAGUCUUAUCUAUCUAACUAUUACUUGACCAGACAUUUGUUAUGUUGUUCACACUGUCAGCAAAUUCAAGCAAGCACCAAGGCAUCUCCAUCUAUCUACUGUCUGCCGUAUAAUUUGCUACAUUCUUGGCACUCCUAGUCGUGGCUUAUUCUUCCCUACAGGUUCUUCACUUCAACUAUAAGCCUAUAGUGAUGUUGAUUGGGCCGGUUGCCCUGACACUAGGAAAUCUACUACCGGCUGGUGUAUGUUUCUUGGUGAUGCCCUUAUCUCAUGGAAAUGCAAGAAAUAAGACCACGUCUCCAAAUCAUUAAUUAGUACUUAAAAGUGCAUUUUUAUCAAGGUUUUAUAUCAUCAUUUUGCACUUAAAGUAUCAAUAACUCCUUAACUAAAGCAUGUUUUAUAAUAACAAGUCUGAUACUAUAAGAUACCUUUAAUUUAUGGUAAAUGUUCAUCUCAAAUACAGGCCUAUCACAUAAAUCAUUGGAUUGAUUAAUGAGUGUAACUACUGAAAUUGAGAAGACAAAGAGAGGGUCAAACUUAGAAAAGAGAUGCUGGUUCUGUCCAAACUAGAACACUAUUCAGUCAUUGGGUCAUAUCUGGAGCUGUAGAUCUUGGAUUUCAAUUUGGUUUAUAUGGCUACAAAGCUAAGACAUAGGCCUAAAACAUUCAUGCGAAGCCCAAGACUCAAUUCUGCUGUUUAGAAGUCCAAAUCUUAGCAACAACAGAGAAAUCAGAAUAUGUCCUGCAGCCCAGACACUGUUCAGUGUUUAGCCCAUAUCUCGAGUUCUAGAAAUCCAAAUGUACUGAUUCUUUUUUUGUUGGAAAGCUGAGACAAUUUCCUAUAAAUUUCAUAGGAUAAUCUAUUCAAAUUCUGACAUUAGUAAUGACGUUUUGUUCAGACAAAAAGAUAAGGAUUGUCACCAAGUCAAGAUGUGGCCACCCACUCAACAAUUAGUCAUCAAAUCAAUAGUUCCAAAUUUUGGCCUAUAAAAGGAGGCAUUUGCCAUGCAGUAGGCAUCUUGGUUUUCAGAUAAAGAUCAUGCUCUUGCUCUCUCUCUUUUUGUAAUGCUUAAGUUUUGUUUAUAUUAAUCUCUUGUUUAUGCUUUUCAUUUCCUUUCGUUUACUUAGUUAACUUAUAUCUUAUUUAUGUUCUUAUCUUGUUUAUUUAUGUUUCUCUUUUUCAUUAUAUUUGGCUAAGUUUAUUAUGUCAAGGUGAAAAGGUUACACUAAUGGUUUAAGAAUAAGUAUAGUGUAAACUCGACGUGGACUUUAAUGUUUAAUACUAACAUGUUUUAUAUUUGUUAUCUUGUUCACUUUUAAUACUUUUCUUAUUAAAUAGUUAAUCUAGAUUUAUGUUGUAUAACACUUGGUACAACAAAUACUUUGCACUUUCAUAGCCCAAACCGUAUGGUAUAACCGACACUUGUGUUAUGAAAGGAACUUGAUUUGUUGUUAACAUAAGUUAUAAUCAUGAAUGUCUAACAACAUUUACAAGUAUUAGCAUUAUUCGAAUGAGAUAACUAAUGUAAUCAUGUUAAUAAUUUAUAAUCUGAUUGAAACCUUCUUUGUGUGUGGUUUCCAGUUGAAUAAUAAGAGUUUAUACUAUACUUGUUUGAAAUACCAUUAGUGGAUCCUCUAACCUUGACAAUUGUUUUUAUCAUUGUUUAAUCCUUAUAUCAAUAUCACAUCUCAAAACUCUCUUUAUUAUUAUUAUUAUUACUACUACUACUACUACUACUACUACUACUACUACUACUACUACUACUACUAUUACUAUUCUUAUUGUUGUUGUUGUUGUUGUUAUUGUAUUAUUGUUAUUUAUAAUUUAUAUAGUUAACCUCCUUUUGGUUCGACCCCGGUCUUGCCGGGUUAUUUAUUACUUCGACACUCCUGCACUUGGGAGAAGACAUCAAUCUUUUGGUUGUGUCAAUCAUCUACUGAAGCAGAGUACCGAGCCAUGUCUGCUGCUUGCUAUGAGAUCAUUUGGUUGCGUGGUCUCCUCACAGAACUCAGUUUCUGUCCAGUUCAUCCUACUCCACUUCAUGCUAACAACACUAGUAUCAUCCAAAUUGCAGUCAAUCCUGUCUAUCACGAACGCACCAAGCACAUUGAGGUUGACUGUAACUCAAUCAGGGAAGCAUAUGAUCAUCAGAUUAUCACCCUUCCACAUAUCUCCACCACUCUACAGAUCGCAGAUAUCUUCACCAAAUCCAUGCCCCGUCAGCGCCAUCAUUUCCUUACUGGCAAAUUGAUGCUUGUCGAUUAACCAACAUCAAUUUAAGGGGGGAUGUCAAAGGAAAUACCUAUACCUACACAUUUAAUGCCAGCAGAUUCUUUGCCUAUUUAUUCUUUCCUUUAUUGGGAUAUACUAGCUGUAGGUUAGCUUAGCUAAUUCUUUCCUUUUAGGUUGUUGUCCACAAGCUCUUGUUGCCUAACUUAGCUGUUUCUAAGGGCUGAAGAUCAGCCUAUCUUAUUUCCUGUAUCAACCUAUAUUAUUUCCUGUUGUAUUCUUUCCUUUCUUAGCUUGUAAAUUCUACCUAUAUAAUGGGCAAUUCUCAAUGAGAAGACACAUAAUUUUAUUCAAAAGACUCUAAACUGUCAUUAGAAAACACCAACACCAUAGCAAUUAUAAGGCAAACCAAACACCAACCAGCUUACCUUAGGUAAGGCAUACUAGGGGUGCUAAUACAUUUCCUUUACGCAACUAGUCCCUUGCCUUAGAAUCUCUGAAAGACCAGUUAGGUUUCCUAAUGACCAUAAUACUAGGUGGCGACUCCCUUAUUCACAAAACAAAAAAACUCGACAUGAAUCCCCGCUUUCAGGGAGGGUCGCCGCGACUCCGCGCUCUGCGCGAGGGUGCGACACAUAGUAUGGUCAAAAUGAAAAUAAAUAGAUUAAAUAUUGAAGGAGGAAUAUAUGAAUUAAUUGUAAAAAUGUGAUUAAUAUGAUACUUAGUCAGUCAUUUGGAUGGGGACUAAGGUUAUAAAUAUGAUAUUUAGUCAGCUAAAAGAGAGAAAGGUUAUGAAUAUGAUACUUUAUCAACCAUAUAGACGAGACUAAGGUGAUGAAUGUGAUAUUUAGUCAGCUAUGUGGAUGGGACUGAGGUGAGGGAAAUGAUACCUAGUCAGUCGUGUGGACAGUGAUUAAGAAUAUGGAUAUGUUACACAAUCAACCAUUUGAACGGAGGCUAUUGAUAUAAACAUGAGAAUUAAUAGGUUAUUUAGAUUGAGACUCACAAAAUUAAAUUAAAGUUGGCUAUUUGGAUAGUGACUUGUGGAUAUGAAUUAAAGUUGGCAAUUUGAAUGGAAACGAACUAGUACUAGGUAAUAAUUGUAGUUAAGGAAAAUGCGUAAGCACUAAAUAUAAUCAAAUACUUCUUAAUUAUUUUUUAUGUUAUUAUGAUAUUUAAAUUGGUAGUAUGUAUAUCAUUUCAAAUGGCUUUUCAUUUGGUAGUGAGUAAAUGUUUUUAUAUGCCAAGAACUUAUGGUUAUUGAUUUUGAAAUGUUUACGUUAGAUUUUCUCAUAUAUUUCAUGGACAUAUUGUAUAAUUAAUAGGGAGAAUGUAUUGUGAUCCAUAGGGGGAGCAAUCAUUCAUAAUUUUUGGUGACAUGUUAAUACUUGUGAAAGUAUUAAUAGUUUGUCAUCAUCAAAAAAGAAAAAAAAUACUAGCAGAAAGCUAUCAUUUGCUCAUAGUUUUGAUGAAUCAAACCAAUAAGAAGUUACUAAUCAUUUUCUUAAAGUUGUGUUGAUAUAGGUUCUUUACUAUGUCUGACAUUUCAAGGAUUAUCGAUAAGUCUUGAAGUUGUGAUAAAAAUAUGAAACUAUAUUAAUGGUAUACUUUUCUUCAAAAUUAGUCUUAGGAUGUUAUAUGUUGUUCAAGUUUUUUUAAAAACUAAAUUCUUAAAACCAACUUUUUAUACCUAAAAUAUUAUCCUGAAAAAUUAGUCAUAAAAUUCCCUAAAAUACCUUAUAACCCUUAAAAAGUCUAAGACCUCUAAUACACCAGAUAACCAUACAAAACACAUCUCUAAAGCCUUUUGGAAUGCUACACUGUAAGCCAAAUAGUAUGUGGUUUACCAAUUAACUAAACUAGAUAUAAAAUUUCAAAGAUAACUACUAAACUAGAUAUCCUUACUAGAUAAACAUUUUUUAGACCACUCAUAUACUAGAUGAUUUUUUAGCAUAUAUGGUUGGCCAUUUAUUACUUGAAUGAGUUGAAAUUAUUCUCUGUCUCUUGUACUCAAGUGUGUAAAAGUCGUACCAAGCUUGUCCUUGCACUUAUGUUUGAAUAUGAAAAUACCUUAUCUCUCAUCUUCCAACUAGGAUAAGCAAGACAAGCAAUUUAAUUUCCAUCUCUAUGACACCACUCUAUUCUCUCUUGAAUAAUAUAGUUUUUACAUCAUUUAGCUUAAACCAUAUUAUAUACCAAUCUUUAAAAAUUCAAAGUUCUUGGCCUAUUCUUACAUAUUCUAAACAACUACAAGCUUGAUUUUCUCUAUAAAUGGGCCUCUUCUUAUAUAUUUUAAAGGUUGUUACAAUCAUUAAGCUUUUAUUCAUGUUUAUACAAAAUCAAUUCCUUUAAUUUCCAAGUGUACUCUUUAUUAUUCUCUUAUAUAUUGAUUGCUUCACCUACCUCACUUAAAAACAAUUAGAUUACACCUAUUAAAGACUUGAGAUUAUUUUCUAAUAUAAUCUAUUUUUUGUGUAUAUUUUAUUUCAUUUGUUUUUAGUAAAACUUCUUGUUAAAGUGUAUAUAGCACUAUAACCACUAAGAUUUUAGUUAUGACCUUUAUGUGCAAGCUUGUAUAGAUUUCGGUCUAUCUUCCUCAAAAAGGAAAUGUUGGGUUUAAUCUUGUUUCCAAUCUUAAAAGGUCAAUUGGUUCUUUGACAUAGAGUGUGAAGUAGACAGUUAGUUAUAAAAGAAAAUGGAGUAUGUGGUAAAAACAAAUCACUAUAAAAUUCAUUUGUUUCUCUCCUACCUAUCUCUUUAUUUAUUUUUUAUUUUUUAUUUUUUUGCACUUUUACUUGUGUUGUUAUGUGGAUUGUAUGCUUAAGCAAGCCAUUUUCAUGUGUAUGGAUGAUAGAAAUUGUUGUGGACAUGUGUUUGAUAUUAUUGUGUGGUUGAAAAGGUUGUCGUGGUUGUGAUCUUGUUCUUUGAGGUGGAUUUAAUUAUAAAAAAAAUACCUCGUCCAUCUCCAUCUCUUAAAUGCUUAGGGGUAUCAAAAGAAUUAUGAGAUCAAGAUUCAUGAUUAAGUUUGUUCUUAUUUUUUUAAAAAAGAAAUCUAAGAAAUGGAUCUUGAGAGGUUUUAAGGUAAAUACAUAUAUAUUUUAGAGUAAAAAAUGGAUUUAUAAAGAUGAUGGGAGAUAAUUUUGAUAUAUUUUUAAUUUAAAUGUUGUAAAAAAUAGAGUUUUAUAGGAAAAAUAAGUGGUGAUUAGUUAUUUUCAUAACUUAAAAGUCACUUGAAAAGAUAACAAACCAGGAAUCUUUUAAAUUAGAUAACUUGUCAUUUUUUAAACCAGACUCACUCUAUCUUUAGCAUUGUUUAAUGUAUUUUUUUAAUUAUUAUCUUUUUAUAAAAAUCAAGUUGGUACUCAUAUAAAUUUUAAAAAUUAAAUACAUAAUAAGAAUAUUAUUCCUUUUGACAUGAUUUUAGUGAAGCGAAUUUUAAUGAAGUGAUAUUGAAAAAGUUUGAGACAAAAUUUUCCAUUAAAAUUUUAAAUUUAUUUGUCGUUAACUAAUAUAAUAUAUUUUUACAUAUUAAUAUUAUUAUCAAUAUUUUUAAUUGAGAAUUUAUGGCGCCAUAUAACUUUAGGGGUUAAGAAGAUUUUCGAAUAAUUGAUAAAUAUUUUUUAUUUUGACGUGAUAAAACUAGAAUGAAAUUUCAAUCUUGAUUUUAGAAACAUUGGUUUAUGAUAAAAAAUUUCAUGUAAAAUUUAUGGAGGAAUAAUACUUUAGAAUUUCUCAGAAUUCAUAAAUCUUUAUGAAAGGAUUUUUUUAGUAAAAAUUAAAAAAUUUUACUUAAUUUAUAAAAAUCAUCUAAUUUUAUAAAACUUAAUCUUGGUAGAUUUGUAAUGCAUAAUAAGAGUUGAUUAAAAAUUAAAACAUAUUUUAGAAGCAGUCUCAUAGCAUCGCGCAGACAUGUUUGCAAGCUUUUUUUAUUUGAUUUGCUUCCACUAUCAUAAUCUUUAGAUUUACCGACGGAAUGUUUCGUCGGUAUUUACACUAUCAUUCUAUUGGUAAUUAAUUUACCAACGAAAUCACCGACGGAAACACUCCGUCGGUGAAUCUUGUGUCAGUAAUUUUUUGUCCGUCGGUAAGUCCGUUUGUAAUAAAAAAAUAUUAUUACUGAUGGAUUUACUGACAGAAAAAGCAAGCAAAAAGAAAAAUUACCCGCUUCAUUCCAUCGGUAUUUCCCUCGGCAAAAUACCGUAUGUAAUUCCGUCGGUAAUUAUUUAAAAAUAUUUAAAAAAAUCUAUUUUACAAAACUAUAAAAUAAUUAAAUUAAUAUAAAUCAACACUCUAUAACACUCAAAAUGCUUGGAAAAAAGAAGAAAAUCAACUCAAACAAAUUUGCAACAAAUAAAUUCAACUAAAAAAAUUCAUAUGAAAAAAAUUUAAAAAUCCUAUAAAUAAAUCAAUUAAAAAUUGAUCUCAUAUGAAAAUAAAAAUCCUACACCAACAUUCAUACAAUUAUUAAGAACAAAAACAAUUAAAAACAAAUAAAAAACAAAUAUAGUGAAAAAAACACGAAAAAAUUAGUUGUAAGUGAAGCUAAGAAGAGAAAAACAAAUUCAUAAAGUAUACUAAUUAAAAAAAAAUUAAGAAGAAAAAAGAAGAAAGGAAAAGAAGACAUACCUGAGCAUAGAGGAGAAGAGAAGGAGUUGAGGAGAGAAGAGAAGAAAAACAAAUGGAUAUUGAUGUUUUUUACAUAUGAGGGAGAAGAAGAAGAAGAAGAAGAAAGGAGACGGGUCUGUUGUGAAAUUAGGGAUUCUAGGUUUUUUAUUGGAGUGUUUUACCGAUGGAUAAUUAAAUAUUAAUAUUUUUAAUCAUUCCGUUAGUGAUUUCGUUUAUAAUAUAUAAUUUAAAAUUUUCAUUUAAUAAAAUUUUUUCAGAAACCGCUAAAUAUCACCGACGACUUUUCAAUCUGUUGGUGAUUCCGUCUGUAAUAUUUAAUUUAAAUUUUUAAUUUAAUCUUAAGUUUUUAGAAAACCGUCAAAUAACACCGAGGACUUUUCAAUCCGUCGGUGAUUUUAUCUAUAAAGAACAAUAAUUAACAGUGCAAUUGGGAAGUGAACAGUUCCAUCCGGAAAAUACCGACGGAAUUUUCAGUCGAUGAUUCCCUUUGUAAUUGACAUGGUGAAUAGUAUUCACAGUUCACCAACGGUUUUGCCGACAGAUUUUACCGACGGAAAUAUUUCCUGUUCCCUCGGUAUAUUUCGGUAAUUUUGUUGGUAAAAUCGUCAGGUCAUCAUUUUUUUUACUUUGUUUUAAUUAUUUUGUUUCUCACUGUAAUUCCCUCGGUAUAUACCAAGAGAAUAUUUUCAUCGGUAAAAUCUGUCGGUAUAUUUUCGAUGGAAAUAUUUUCUCGGUAUUUCCGUUUGUAUUCAUCAAUUUUUUGGUAAUGUUCCCUUUACUUUAAGAUUUAAGAUUCAAGAGUUUCGCAAUAUUUGUUUUUCUUUCGAUUCGUGGAUUUAUUAAAUUUACCAGCAAAUGUACAUAAGUUUCCUGAGUUUAUAUAUAUAUAUAUUAAAAAAAGAUAAAUCACCCUACCAAAUCAUAUCCUGAAUCUAUAGACUUAGAGACUUAGCUUAGUGUAUGCAUCUAAUCCUAUUGACAAAUUUCAGUGCUUAGUCAACAACGACCUUAAUCACUGCAAAUGGAGUUAGGAGAACUAAUUAAUAUUCACCGUAACCUUGAUCUCUGGCCAUGUUCUUCAUUUUCUUUUCAUCUUUUUGAUCCUUAUGUCGUGAAAUUUAUGGCAUUUCAGUCUGAGCUUGCGAGGAACCCUAAUUAGUCUCCAAAUUGUCAGAGUUACUCACAUAUUCCCACUUCGUAGAGCCCCAUUCAUCCUUAUCUAGUGCUUGAGCAAAAGUUGAAGCCCUCCUAGGAACUCGGGUUUUAUUUCCGUUGUAAAAGUAUUUUGUAAUUCUCUCUUCACUGCUUGAACCACUCUUACCACCUGGAGUGAGAUGGCCUCCAUCUGCUUCUUGAUGAGGCCGUGAAUUCCUGAACAAGCGAAUGAGAAAUAGCAGAAAACAAAUAGUAGAUAUCGCAGCAGAUACAAUGUAGAUUCCCUUGAAGCUGCGGAGGCUCAGGCUUUCGACAUUAUUAUUAGUUGCCGAAGUUGAACACUCAGGUGAGGGGGCAAACCACUUUUCUUCGAAAAAUGUUAUGUUUCCAUCCUCCGAUAGGCAUAGAAUCUCUCUAGAAAAAUCAGCAGCAAAAGGAGAGCCUUUUUGGAAUGCCUGCAGGUACAGCAAAUAUCAUAAUAUUUAGUAAUAAACAAACGUUCAAAGAAAUGGCUUCACCGUGUUUCAAGUCUUUAAAAAGGUUCCUGACAUCAUAAUGCAAAGAAAAUAGAAUUGCAGUGGAUAUUAAUACUUACAAAGCCGAGCCCUCCAAAUCUGUAUGUGGCUUUUGAGCCGCUGUAACUUUUACAAUGUUGAUUGAGGAAAAGUCUCUCAUAUGGGAGUUCAAGAAAAGCAGCAGCUAUGCUGUUCCUUUCAAAUUCAGUUGUGUAAUUAUUUUCACGGUUAAAGACCUUGAUUUUAUCGUGAUCAAAUCCAAGAACAUCCUGGAGGUACUGCUGGACGAAAGAAUCAUCAUCACAACCAACAUUCAACUUGUCCUUCUUUAGUUUCUCAAACUCUGAAAAAUUCGGUUUCAUUCGUUGCACGGUGAGCAUUGAAGUCAAACUGGCAGUGUAGCUUGAGGUUAAGAUAAAGACAACACAAAGCCACGCUACCACCACAACUCGAGUGAAGUUGCUAUAAAGUUUCUCCCCUGCAAAAUGUAACAAUGAGCUUCUAAGGUUACUGACAGAGAAUGUGCCGUCAAAGAGUCUUGGAUACAUAUGCCAUAUAUAACUUGUGAAACUGAAUACUUACUCUGAGCAAAGAAUAGAGAUGAAAAUGUGAACCAAAACGCGGUCCCGAACUGAUACUUCCGAGGUCCUCUAAAUUCUGGAUUCGUUUGGUGCUCGAGGAACCAAAUUAUAAGCAUUGUGUAGAUGAAUAUAGCACAACUCACCAUCCACAUCUCUAAGUUAAAAGGCUUCACGAAAAUCCAUGUUGUAUCUUCAGUCUCAAAUGGAACUAUCAUGGACAAUCCUGACUCUGCGUAAGGUUGAGUGAACUCUACGUAUUCUGUUCUUUCAGCUAAUAUGGUUAUAUCUCCAAUGGCAGCAUCAUAAGUCUUCCGAUUAACAAGUGGCACAAGAGUCAAACAAUGGCACUCAGCACAAAAAUAAUGUUGAAAAAACAGCUGAUAGAACGAGACAGGAGCAAAAUAAUGGCAAAAUCAUACAACUCCUCAAUGGGCCUCAAUGAACUAGUCAAAGUUUGUCUAGUUAAACUAUGAGAAAAGUCUGAAGUAUCUCAUAGAAAUGUAUGGUGGAGAAAUUUCAAUUUCUUAUCAGAAACAAUGCUAUAUGAAUUUAUUCUUGGUUUUGAGUUGCAGCCAAUUUCGACUCUGUGUCAUCUCUUCUAUUCGGAUAAGAAUUUAUAGUCGGCAAAUUAAUGAUAUUUAUAUAUUCUAUCUAUAAUAUAUAAUAAUAAAUCAGAAACAAUUCCAAUUAAAAUAUUAGAAUAACAUAUGGAUUUCUGAUUAGAAUAGGCUCAUAUUACUUAAAUGUGUGUGAAUACAUGUGGAUAUGUAGUUUAUGAACACCCUUUUCUUAAUAUUAUCACCAUAAUUAAAUCUUAUCAAUAAUUAUUUUUUUUUUAAUCUUUAACAGCGUCUAUUGGCAAUAGCGUGGCAUUGACUAGUUAUUCUAGAAGGCUAUCUUGAUAUGCAUGCGUUCAUACUGAAAAUUAGAGAAGAUCACAUUUGGAUGUUUUGGCAAUUGGGUUUUUUUUGUAGAAGAUUGUGGAAUCAAUAUUUAUGGAUAUUAUUUAUAAAAAUCUAACUAAACCUAAAAGAUAAAAUUUAAAAAUAUAAUUUAUAUUAUUCUUUAACAUACCCCUAAAAUAAAAGUUAUUUGAAUUUAAAACUUAUACAUAUUUACAUUAACUUGUACUUAAUUUUUAUUAAAUAAAUAGGAAUUGUGACAUUCAAACUCGUGAUUAUGAAGUCAUCAAAAUUUUAAUACCAUAUUAAAAUAUCAAUUUAAUUUAAAAUUUUAAAAUAAUAUUUCAAAAUAUAAUUUAUAUUAUUCUUUAAUAAAUAUCUAUUAUCAAAGUUAAAAUUCAAUUCUUUAAUAAAUAUCUACCAGCAAAGUUAAAGAGUCGUUACCUUGUUGUAGACACCUUCAAUCAUAUCGCCGUACUGCCCAUCAAAGUGGACGAAUACGUGUGGUAUGGAGUAAUUCAAUCGUCUCACAACUUCGUCAAAGAGGUCAACGCAAAAACCUACUGGCCGCUUCUCGCCACUUCGAAAUGUCACAAACUUAUCGAACGAGGUUCUUUGAGGGACUAUUAUUCGCAAUGGCUUUGCUUCAGUAGGCAUUGCCCAUCCUUUUGGGUCUCGGCCGUUGAGAUCACCAGGCCAAAUCACUGGACCGGACAACCCUCCUGUGGUUUUACCACCAUCACUGUUUCUGCACCUUCCUUUGCCUUGUUCCACGUAGAGGGUAUCCGAGAAACCGCAAUUUGGCAACCAAAAAUCCAGUUCCUUACAUUUCUUCCCAUCCACAUUAACAAUCCUUAAUGUAGGAGCAUCUGACAGCAUCCCAUCCUUGAAACGUAUUCUACCACUCAAACCAGUGAAAUCGCUUUCUAAUACGCUGUUUAGAAACAUUUUUGGACUCCUAAUGUUGCUACCUAGUUUUUCUAUGGCCUGUGUGAUAAUACCAAUGCUGUCAUAGGCUCUUAAUGCUUGAAUUCCUGGCUGAAAAUCAUUUUCAUUUAGAUACUCUGACCGAAAAAUUUUCUGGAACAGUGCUUCGAAUCUUUUGUAAGAACUGUUGGAAGAAUAGUAGGUUUUGAUUCCUAGAGUGCCUUCCAUAGAAGAAAAAACAGGAUUGUCCACAGAAUCCAAGAAACUAGUAAUACUGUUUGCAACUAUCCAGACCGUGUCAUUGCCUACAAGCCCCGCUUUCUUAGCUUCUCCGAAAAUACAAGUGAGCAUAGGCAAAGAUGACUGAAGAACAAUAAAAACACGAGCUUCUGUUUGAUUUUGUAGCUUCAUAAGCUCAUCUUGAACAACAUCUUUUGGAUCUGUUAAAAAUGAAAACGGUGGAAGAACCAAGCGGUAUUCAAUCUCCGAACCAACCUCUUGUAGAGCCUCGGUUAAAAGAGCUAAAUUGCCAGAUUCACUUCCUAACACGUCAUCUUCAUAAAUCACGACUACCCUUUUCCAAUUAUAAGAAUGGACAAGAGCUGCAAUGCAUCUCAUCUGUUCUGACCCAUCACUGGCCAUUCUAAUUAGAAAAGGCCAACGAAGUGAAGUUGAUAUCGGGGUUCUGGCUGGUGCUGCAAAUGAAAGAAUUGGAACUUGAGACUGGUUUCCAAUAUUAGCAACCAGGGCUGCUUCCUCCCAUUUGUCCAUGCCAAUAAUCACUUCCACUUUCUUCUCUUUGAUCAGCUCUUCAGCUGCAAGAAAAAUUGACCAGUCACUACUGCUUCAAAUCUUGUUAAUGUUAAGCUAGAAACUCAAAAUCAUUUAGAGAUGGCUAGAUUAUUACCUGCAUAUGCUGCUUGAAGAGGGUCUCCUUUAGGAUGCUUGAAGUGAAGAGAGAGCUUGUGGUUUCUUGAGAUGUUGUUGAAGUUUUGGACUGCAAUUUCCAUUGCUGUUUUCUCUUCUUUCCCUGAACGGGAAUUGCCAUCAAUGAUAGCACCAAUAUUAGUAACCUUGUUAGUGCCGGCCGCAGCUUCAACUCCAUCAGAGAGGAUGAGAAGGAAGGUGAUGAGCACAGAUAAAAGAAAGAAAGGUUUUAGAACUUUAUUAACAGGAAUAAGAGGGCAAGUCCUUAGUUGGGAAUUUACUUUGGUGAACAAAUUAGCCCUUUUCAUUCUGUUAUACGAAGUUUUGAUUUUGAAAGUCUUAGAAUCCUUAUAAUACAUGGAUAUAUAUAUACACACACAUAUUCACCAAAGAUUUAUCUGUAGAAGGGGAAGACCAGAUAGAAUCUGAAAUUGCUAAGAAAACUGGUAUAAUUGAAGAUUAUGUCUGACCUGGUCAGCCUGGACCACAUCAAACUUUGACUUUAAUACGCACCCUAAGUAUUUCUAUAUUCUACACCUUGACUUGCAUAAAAGGAAACUACAUGUACUAAUUAAUAAUUGCCUACAAGAGUCAAAUUUCUUGUUUUCAUCACACCUCUCUCACAUUUGCGGGGUCCUACAAGAGUCAAAUUUCUUGUUUUCAUCACACCUCUCUCACAUUUGCGGGGUCGUUUCGAUUUAGUGAUGCAAUUGCAUGUUUUAACGAAGUGUGUGAUAUUAAACAAUUGUAGUUUAUUCAAUCUAAUCAAAAUGAAUUGAGUUUCGAGCUCUCUGGUUGCUCAUAUGAUGGUCACUGAAAACUUACAUGGUCGUUAACUUCAGGGCCCAUGAGAUUAGUCGAGGUGCGCGCAAGCUGACCCGGACACCCACGUUAAACUAAAAAAAAAAAAUGAACGGCAAAAUCAACUAAACCACCGGACUAAAUCUCUUGUUAAAAAAAUAUAAUAUUAUUUUAUUUUAUUAUUUAUUAAGAAUUCAAUAGUAUUUUCAGUUUUUUUGUUUAGUUUAUAUAUAAUUUUUUUAUAUUUAAAUUAUAUAAAUUCUUUACGAGUAUUUAUACAGUAUGAAUGAAAUUAUACUUCUCUUUAAUUUUUUUGGGAUUGCUUAACAAAUCUAAGAUGAGCUGAAACUAAUAAGUAGCAUAUUAUUAGAAAUUGUUGUUUAUUAUCAGAAUGAAUCCAUUUUUUACCGACAAUGGCAUGGCAUAAUUAAUUAUAGGUCUGUUGAAUUUUGUAGAUAACUUUCCAAACAAAUAACUGUUGAAUUUUAUCCAUUUUCUCUUUAUAGCUUUGAGUAUAAUACUUAAAAUUACAAAUCUAUUUAUAAAUCUCAAGUUCUAACUAAUUAAAAAAUUAAACUAUUCAAAAACUAUUCAAAGAAAAUCCGAAUCUAAUAAAGAAUCUAACAUUCUAUUUAAACAAGAAUUCAUAAAGGAUUCACAAAUCCUUCUUAUAAUAAACUAGUUUAUUAUAAAUCCUUCUUCAUAAAGGAUUCCUAUAUUAACUAGGAUUCCUUCUCUAACUAAUAUUAAAACUCUUAUAAACUCUAAAUCCUAUUAGCCUAAAUCCUAGUUGAUAUUGAAUUUCAACACUCCCUCUCAAUAUCAAUUGUCAUCAUUCUUCAUAACUCUCAACAUAUCUCUCAUCUUUGCAAAAAUAUCAUAUUUGAGUGGCUUUGUGAAAAUAUCUAUAACUUGGUCUUGAGUCUUUACAUACUUAACUUCAAAUUUCUUAUUUGCAAUGCAAACUCUUAGAUAAUGAAAUCUUAUGUCAAUGUGCUUACUUUUGUCAUGAAAAACUGGAUUUUAGCUAAUGCAAUGGCUGACGAGUUGUCCACAUAAAUCUUUGUAUGCUUCUCUUAUGGCAUUCACAACUCCUUCAAUAAUCUUUUUAGCCAUAUGGAAUGACAAACACAUGUUGUAGUAGCUACUAAUUCAGCUUCACAAGUAGAUAAUGUGACAAUAGAUUGCUUCUUUGAACUCCAUGUGAAAGUUGUGUCUCCCAUGUAGAAAACAAAACCUAUAGUGCUCUUUCUAUCUUCAUAUCUCCAGCCCAAUCACUAUCACUAUAACUCACAAGAUCAAAGCUAUUAGAAUAACCAUAGAAUAAGCCAAAAUCUAUGGUACCUUUGAUGUAUCGUAAAAUUCGCUUCAAGGCUUUGAAGUGAGUCAUAGUUGGUGUCUCCAUAAACCUAGUUACAAGUCCUACUCCAUAAAGAAUAUUCGGACGAGUGCAUGUCAUAUAUCUCAAACUCCCAACUAAACUCUUGAAUGUUGUAGAGUUUAUUUUCUCCCCUUCAUCAUUCUUUAACAUCUUCACUCCACACUCACUGGAGUAUUCACUUUUGUACAAUCUUCUAUUUUGAAUUUCUUGAGAAUCUCCCUUGUAAACUUCUCUUGAUUCACAAAAAUUCCAUCUUUUCGUUGUUUGAUCGUAAUCCCUAAGUAGUAGGAUAUAAUACCAAUAUAUGUCAUCUCAAGCUCCUUGAUCAUUGCUUGCUUGAAGUCUAUAAACAUCUUUGGAUUAUUUCUUGUGAAGAUUAAGUCAUCCACAUCCAAACAUACAAUAAGUGUAUCACCACUCUCUUUGAUCUUUACAUAGAUAACAUAUUUAUGGGGGCAUUUAACAAAUCCAUUCUUUAGGAGAUAGCCAUCAAUGUGACAAUACCAAGCCUAUAGGGCUUGCUUCAAUCCAUACAAGCUUUUAUUUAACUUUAAAACCUUGUCUUCAUAUCCCUUUACUUCAUAACCCAUAGGUUGCUCAAUGUGGAUUUAUUCUUCAAGAAAACCAUUAAGAAAAGUUGAUUUGACAUCCCUUUGAUGAUUCUUCAUCUAUGUUGGGCAGCGAUGGCAAUAAUUAAUCGAAUGGUCUCCAAUCUAGCAAUAUGAACAAAAACCUCUUCGUAGUCAAUCUCAUGCUUUUGACUAUAGCCUUUUGGCACUAAUCGUGCCUUACAUCUCUCAACCUCUCGUUUGGCAUUCUUCUUUUCUUUGUAGAUCCAUUUGACACCUAUUAACUUCUUUUCAUUUAGUCUAGAAACCAAUCUACAUGUGUCAUUUUUCUCAAUUUAUACAAUCUCCUCAUCUAUAGCAAUUCUCCAUUUUACAUUUUUUAUUGCUUCUUCAAACACUGUAGUAUCACAUGUAGUAAGAUGACAAUAUAGUGUUAUAUCAUUAAUAAGAUUAGUUACCUCAUAUAAGUCAUCAAGGCUUUUCAUCUUUCUUGGCAGAUUUAGUGGAGUGCCACUACUUGAGCUUUCAUUAGAAGAAGAAGAAGUUAAGCUCAUUGGUGUUUAUGGAGGUAUGACUAUAGGUUCUUGAUGAUCUUCAUAUCUUUCCUCAUCUUCAUCAAGAAUUAGUAAGAAUUCAUAUUUCCCACCAUCAUUUACCUUCCAAUCCCAUGUUUCUUCUUCAUUGAACUCAACAUCUCUAUUAAUCAUCAUCUUUCCUUCAUUACGGUUAUAAAACUUGUAUCCUUUAGAAUUUUGGUCAUAGCCUACAAAGAUCAUCCUUUUGCUUUUGUCAUCGAGCUUGGUUAUUACUUGAUCAUCUACAUGCACAUAACCAAUGCUCUAAAAAACUUUCAAAUGAGAGACACUUGGUUUUCUUCUACUCCAUGCUUCUUUUGGAGUCAUGUCAUUCAAGCUUUUAAUAUGACAUCUAUUUGACAAGUAAAUAACACAAUCUACAGCUUCAACCCAAAACUCUUUAGGCAUUUUCUUGGUUUUGAGCAUGUUUCUUGCCAUGUUGAGGAUGCUUCUAUUCUUUCUCACCACUAUAUCAUUUUAUUGUGUGGAUCUAGGCACCGUUAGGAGUUUUUUUUUAUACCAUUAUAUUCACAAAACUCAUUAAAAUUACUAGAACAAAAUUCACCCCCUAUCGUCUUAAGUGAUUUUAUAGAAUAAUCACUCUUCUUUUCAACUAAUAUCUUAAACUUCUUAAAAUAACUAAACACAUUAGACUUUUCUUUUAAGAAGUAUACUCAAGUCUUUCUACUAUAAUCAUCAAUAAAAAGUAGAAAAUAUAAAUUUCUACUAAACAAGCAUGGUUUGAUAUGAUCACAAACAUAGAUAUAUAUUUCUUGUAGGGGUUGAUUUGCUCUUGAUGUAGACUCUUUAAAAAAACUCUUGUGAAAUUGCUUGCCCACUAAACAUCCUUCACACAACUUAUUUGGAUGUAUAAUGGAUGGUAGACCCUUUAACAUCUCCUUUUAUGUCAUUAUCUUCAAGCUCUCAAAGUUUAUAUACCCAAGUCUCAUAUAUCAAAGUCAAGUUUCAUCUUUCACACAUGUGUUUAGACAUUUAGGCACAUUCAUCUCUAUGUUUAAGAAGAACAUUUUAUUCUUUUUCAUGGCUACCUUUACAAUCAUAUCUUCUUUAAUGUCAAGUAAUGUCAAAGUACGAUAUUUCAUCUUAAUCUCAUACCCUUUUUCCAACAAUUAUCCUAAGCUCAAUAUGUUGUUUUUCAUUAUUGGUAUAUAAUAGACAUCACCAAUAAAUUGAUAACUUUCAUCUUUCAAUUUAAUUAAAAUCGUACAUUUUCCUUUGAUGACAACCUUUGAAUGAUUUGCAAAGGUGACAUUACCUCUAAUUGCUUCAUCAAGCUUCAUGAACUUGUCUUUAUCUCCACACAUGUGAUUACUGGCUUCAUUGUCUAGAUACCACAUGUUCUCUUUAUCUUACAUUCUCUCAUUAUGCACUAGUAGUAGAGUGGCUUCCUUCUUUUCUUCUACCACAAGAUUUACAAUCUUCUUAACCUUCUUAGUUGGACUCCAGCAAUCCCUAGCAUAAUGACUUGUCUUUUAAAAAUUAUAGCAUCAAACUUUUGAUUUGUCAAAUCUGCUGUAAAAUCUAGAUCUCGUAUUGCUACUGCCAGUUAAACCAGUUGAUCAGAUCCCUUCAUUCGAUCGACUGUUUGAUCUGUUGAGGUUGCCUCAACCUCAUUUCCAAAUCUUCCUCUUCCUCUUUCUUAUUGGGAAUAUCCAAAACCAUCUUGCUUUGAAAAAAGUGCUUGUGCACCCAUAUCCUUUUGAAUCUCAUUGACUUUUUCCUCAUGGGCUUGUAAUUUUGCUAUGAGACCUUAUAUUAAAAGAAAACCAUAUUUUGUGACUCCUCUAUAGCGACCACUAUAUAAUGGAACUUCUUUUGCAGCAAGCAUAGGAUUUUCUCUAUCAUACGUGUCUCUUCCAUCUUCUCCUCAUAUCUCUUUAUUUGAUUGUAUAUAGCCAAUACUCUUGCAAAGUAUUCUGAAAUAUUCUCUGAUUUAAGCAUAUGUAAAUUUUCAAAGUCACCACGUAGUUUUUGUAGACGUACAUAUCUCACAUUGUUAGCUUUUUGGUUUGAUUCUUGUAAAACUUCAUAUGUUUGCUUAGCGGUGGUUGCAUUGGCCAUUAUCUCAAAUGUGGUGUCAUCUAGACAUUAGUGGAUGAUUGUUAAUGCAAGUUGAUCCUUCCUUCAUACCUUUUGCACGACCUUUCUUUGGACUGAAGUCAAUAUUGCUUUAUUUAUAGGCUCCUUAAAGCCUUUUUCAACCGUUUCCCACACAUCUUGGGAACCUAAUCAAGAUUUUACUCGAAUACACCAAGUUUGAUAGUUGUUCUUCGUCAACCUAUAACAUUAAAGUGGAAGGUUUGAAUUGACCAUGUUAAAUAAUCAAACCUAAGCUCUGAUACCACUUGUUGGAAAAGAAUAAUAGGGUGUGGUAGCUAAUUUAUAAGAACAAAGCUAACGAACAAGAAGAAGAAUGUGAGGAAUGAUAUUUUAUUAAGAGUUUUCUCAAAAGAUCACCUUUAUAGCUCUUUUCUAUCAUAAGAAUUAUGUUGAUGAUGCAAGAUGAAUAUACGUGUGAUUUAUAUUUAAUUGUAAUGGUGGUGAUCAUAAUAUAGAUAUGAAUGACUAUAAUGAUAGUAGUCCAUAUAUAUAAAUUAAAAUUGACCAUAACGAUGAAAGCUAAAAAAGAAAAAAGUAUAUAAAUCAGUGGCAACAACAAAUUAUUCUAUUAUUUGUUAAAUGUGUUUGGAAUAAAAAGAAUUGAGUUACGUGAUUGGAACGGAAAGAUGCAUAGUAUGGUCAAAAUAAAAAUAAAUAGAUUAAAUAUUGAAGGAGGAAUAUAUGAAUUAAUUGUGAAAACAUGAUUAAUAUGAUAAUUAGUUAGUCGUGUGGAUGGUGACUAAGGUUAUGGAUAUGAUAUUUAAUCGGUUAGAGGAGACUAAGGUUAUGAAUAUGAUACUUUUUCAGCCAUGUAGACGACACUAAGGUUAUGAAUAUGAUACCUAGUCAACUAUGUGGAUGAGACUAAGGUGAGGGAAAUGAUACCUAGUCAGUCGUGUGGAAGGUGAAUAAGAAUACAGAUAUGUUACAUAAUCAGCCAUUUGGACGGAGGCUAUUGAUAUAAAUAUGAGAAUUAGUGGGUUAUUUAGAUUGAGACUUACGAAAUUAAAUUAAAGUUCGCUAUUUGAACCGAAAUGAACUAGUAUUGGGUAAUAAUUAUGGUUAAGGAAAAUACGUAAGCACUGAAUAUAAUCAAAUACUUCUUAAUUAUUUUUCAUGUUAUUAUGAUAUUUAAAUUUGUAGCAUGAAUAUCAUUUCAAAUGGCUUUUCAUUUGGUAGUGAGUGAAUGUUUUUAUAUGCCAAGAACUUAUGAUUAUUGAUUUUGAAAUGUUUAUGUUAGAUUUUCUCAUGUAUUUCAUGGACAUAUUUGUAUAAUUGAUAGGGAGAAUGUAUUAUGAUCUAUAGGGGGGCAAUCAUUCAUAAAUUUUGUUGACAUGUUAAUACUUUUGAAAGUAUUUAAUAGUUUGUCAUCAUAAAAAAAAAAUAUUAGCAAAAAGCUAUCAUUUGCUCAUAGUUUUGAUGAAUCAAACCAAUAAGAAGUUAAUAAUCAUUUUCUUAAGGUUGUGUUGAUAUUGGUUCUUUACUAUGUCUGACAUUUCAAGGAUUAUUGACAAGUCUUGAAGUUGUGAUAAAAAUAUGGAACUAUAUUAAUGGUAUACUUUUCUUCAAAAUUAGUCUUAGGAUGUUGUUAUAUGUGAUUCAAGUCUUUUUAAAAACUAUAUUCUUAAAACCAACUUUUUAUACCUAAAAUAUUAUUAAGAAAAAUUAGUCAUAAAAUUCUCUAAAACACCUUAUGACCCUUAAAAAGUCUAAGGCCUCUACUACACUAGAUAACCAUACAAAACACAUCUCUAAAGCUUUUUGGAAUGCUACACAGUAAGCCAAAUAGUAUAUGGUAUACCAAUUAACUAAACUAAAUAUAAAAUUUCAAAGACAACUACUAAACUAGACAUCUUUACUGGAUAAACAUUUUUUAGACCACUCGUAUACUAGAUGAUUUUUUAGCAUAUGUGGUUGGCCACUUAUUACUUGAAUGAGUUGAAGUUAUUCUCAAUUUCUUGUACUCAAGUGUGUGAGAGUCGUACCAAGCUUGUCCUUACAUUUAUGUUUGAAUUUGAAAAUACUUCAUCUCUCGUCUUCCAACUUGGAUAAGCAAAACAAGCAAUUUAAUUCUCAUUUCUAUGACACCACUCUUUUCUCUCUUGAAUAAUAUAGUUUUUACAUCAUUUAGCUGAAACCAUAUUGUAUACCAAUCUUUAAAAAUUCAAAUUUCUUUGCCUAUUCUUAUAUAUUCUAAACAACUACAACCUUAAUUUUUUCUAUAAAUUGGCCUCUUCUUGUACAUUUUAAAGGUUGUUACAAUCAUUAAGCUUUUAUUCCUGUUUUUACAAAAUCAAUUCCUUUAAUUUCCAAGCUUACUCUUUAUUAUUCUCUUACUUAUUGAUUGUUUCACUUAGCUCACUUAAAAAAGAGUUAGAUUACACAUAUUAAAGACUUGAGAUUAUUUUCUAAUAUAAUCUAUUUUUUUGUGUAUAUUUGAUUUCAUUCAUUUUUAGUAAAACUUCUUGUUAAAGUGUAUAUGGCACUAUAACCACUUGGAUUUCAGUUAUGACCUUUUAUGUGUGAGCUUGUAUAGGUUUCGGUUUAUCUCCGUAAAAAAGGCAAUGUUGAGUUUGAUCUUGUUGUUAAAAGGUCGUUUGGUUCUUUAACAUAGAGUGUGGAGUAGGCGAUUAGUUAUAAAAGAAAAUGGAAUAUGUGGUUAGAACAAAUCACUAUAAAAUUUAUUUGUAUCUCUCUUACCUAUCUCUUUAUUUAUUUUUUAUUUUUCAUCUUUUUUUGCACUAUUACUUGUGUUGUUAUGUGGAUUAUAUGUUUAAACACGCCAUUUUCGUGUGUGUGGGUGACAGAAAUUGUUGUGGUCAUGUGCUUGAUAUUAUUGUGUGGUUGAAAAGGCUGUCGUGGUUGUGAUCUUGUUCCUUGAGGUAAUUUGGUCUAAAACCAAAUUAUUGGAUAUAGUUAAAAAAUACCUCAUCCAUUUCCCUUUCUUAGAUGCUAGGGGUAUCAAAAGAAUUAUGAGAUCAAGAUUCAUGAUUAAGUUUGUUCUCAAUUUUUUUAAAUGAAAUCUAAGAUCAAUAAUAAUUUUGGAAAAGUUUAAUUGGAUCUUGAAAGAUUUUAAGGUAAAUAUACAUAUAUUUUAGAGUAAAAAAUGGAUUUAUAAAGAUGAUGGGAGAUAAGUUUGAUAUAUUUUUAAUUUAAAUGGUGUAAAAAAUAGAGUUUUAGAGGGAAAAUAGGUAGUGAGUAGUUAUUUUUAUAAUCCAAAAGUCAUUUGAAAAUAUAAAACAAACCACAAGUCUUUUAAAUUAGAUACCUUGUUAUUUUUUAAACUACGAGUCUUUUAAAAUUUUAAAUUUAUUUGUCACUAACUAAUAUAAUUAAUAUAUUUUUACAUAUUAAUAUUAUUAUCAAUAUUUUUAAUUGAGAAUUUAUGGAGCCAUAUAACUUUAGAGGUUAAGAAGAUUUUUGAAUAAUAAUGAUAAAUAUUUUUUAUUUUGACUUUUUAUUUUGACGUGAUAAAAUUAUAAUUAAAUUUCGGUCUUGAUUUUAGAAACAUUGGUUUAUGAUAAAACUUUUCAUCUAAAAUUAAUGGAGGAAUAAUACUUUAGAAUUUCUCACAGAUUCAUAAAUCUUUAUGAAAGGAUUUUUUUAGUAAAAAAUAAUAUUUUUUUUACUUAAUUAAUAAAAAAAUCAUCUAAUUUUAUUGAACUUAAUCUUGGUAGUCCCGCGCAAACAUGUUUGCUAGUUUUUUCUAUAAGAUUUACUUCCCUUUACUUUAAGAUUCAAGAGUUUUGCAAUAUAUUUUUUGCUUUCAAUCCGUGGAUUUAUUAAAUUUACCAGCAAAUGUACAUAAAUAAUACCCAUGAGUUUCCUGUGUUUAUAUAUAUAAAAAAGGAGAUAAAUCACCCUCCCAAAUCAUAUCCUGAAUCUAUAGACUUUGCUUAGUGUAUACAUCUAAUCCUAUUGACAAUUUUCGGUGCUUAGUCAACAACGACUUUAAUCACUGCAAAUGGAGUUCGGAGAACAAAUUAAUAUUCACAGUAACCUUGAUCUCUGGCCAAGUUCUUCAUUUUCUUUUCAUCUUUUUGAUCCUUAUGUCGUGGAAUUUAUGGCAUUUCAAUCUCAGCUUGCGAGGAACCCUAAUUAUUCUCCAAAUUGUCAGAGUUACUCACAUAUUCCCACUUCGUAGAGCCCCAUUCAUCCUUAUGUAGUGCUUGAGCAAAAGUUGAAACCCUCCUAAGAACUCUGGUUUUUUCUCCGUUAUAAAAGCAUUUUGUAAUUCUAUCUCCACUGCUUGAACCACUCUUACCACCUGGAGUGAGAUGGCCUCCAUCUGCUUCUUGAUGAGGCCGUGAACUCCUUAACAAGCGAAAGAGAAAUAGUAGAAAACAGAUAGUAGAUACCGCAGCAGAUACAAUGUAGAUUCCCUUGAAGCUGCGGACGCUCAAGCUUUCGAAAUUAUUAUUAGUUGCCGAAGUUGAACACUCAGGUGAGGGGGCAAACCACUUUUCUUCCAAACGUGUUAUGUUCCCAUCCUCCGAUAGGCAUAGAAUCUCUCUAGAAAAAUCAGCAGCAAAAGGAGAGCCUUUUUGGAACGCCUGAAGGUGCAGAAAAUAUCAUAAUAUUUAGUAAUAAACAAACGUUCAAAGAAAUGGCUACACCGUGUUUCAAGUCUUUAAAAAGGUUCCUGACAUCAUAAGGUAAAGAAAAUAGAAUUGCAUGAGUGCAUAUUAAUACUUACAAAGCCGAACCCUCCAAAUCUGUAUGCUGCUUUUGUGCUGGUGUAACUUUUACAAUGUUGAUUGAGGAAAAGUCUCUCAUAUGGGAGUUCAAGAAAAGCAGCAGCUAUGUUGUUCCUUUCAAAAUCAGUACUUGUGUAAUCAUUUUCAGGGUUAUAGAUCUUGAUUUUAUCGUGAUCAAAUCCAAGAACAUCCUUGACGUACUCCUGGAUGAAAGAUUCAUUAUUACAACCAACAUUUAACUUGUCGUUCUUUAGUUUCUCAAACUCUGAAAAAUUCGGUUUCAUUCGUUGCACGGUGAGCAUUGAAGUCAAACUGGCAGUGUAGCUUGAGGUUAAGAUAAAGACAACACAAAGCCACGCUACCACCACAACUCGAGUGAAGUUGCUAUAAAGUCUCUCCCCUGCAAAAUGUAACAGUGAGCUUCAGAUUAAGGUUACUGACAGAGAAUGUGCCAUCAAAGAGUCUUGGAUAUAUAUGCCACAUGUAACUUGUGAAACUGAAUACUUACUCUGAGCAAAGAAUAGAGAUGAAAAUGUGAACCAAAGCGCGGUCCCGAACUGAUACUUCCGAGGGCCUCUAAAUUCUGGAUUCGUUUGGUGCUCCAGGAACCAAAUUAUAAGCAUUGUGUAGAUGAACAUAGCACCGCUCACCAUCCACAUCUCUAAGUUAAAAGGCUUCAAAAAAAUCCAUGCUGUAUCUUCAGUCUCAAGUGGAACUAUCAUGGACAAUCCUGACUCUGCAUAAGGUUGAGUGAAUUCUACGUAUUCUGCUCUUUCAGCUAAUAUAUAUGGUUAUAUCUCCAAUGGCAGCAUCAUAAGUCUUCCGAUUAACAAGUGGCACAAAAGUCAAACAAUGGCACUCAGCACAAAAAUAAUUUUGAAAAAACAGCUGAUAGAA
rnacentral:lncRNA from 1 species